UACUCCCAAUAUAUGGAAAUAGUUGUGCCCUUGAGUACCUGAAAAUUAAAGAUUGCCCAUCUCUUAUUGGCUUUCCGAAAGGGGAGCUACCCACCACCCUUAAGAAGCUGAUAAUUAUAAAUUGUGAGAAGCUAGAGUCUCUACCUGAGGGAAUUGACAACAACAACACUUGUCAUCUUGAAUAUCUACAUGUAUGGGGAUGUCCAUCUCUCAAGUCCAUUCCAAGAGGUUACUUUCCCUCGACACUUGAGACCCUUUCCAUUUGGGACUGCCAGCAAUUGGAGUCGAUUCCAGGGAAUAUGCAGCAAAAUCUCACAUCUCUUCAAGUUUUGCAAAUAUGUAAUUGUCGAGAUGUGUUGUCCUCUCCAGAAGCGUUUUUGAACCCUAACCUUGAAGAACUUUGUAUUUCAGAUUGUGAGAAUAUGAGGUGGCCUCUAUCUGGGUGGGGCCUCCACACACUCACCUCUCUUGAUAAGCUCAUGAUUCAAGGCCCAUUCCCAGAUCUGCUUUUUAUUUCCCAGCUCUCACCUUCUUCUUCCUACAUCUAUCACAUGUCUCCGGUUGGUAAAUCUCUACAACUUGAAAUCCAUAGCCUCCAUAAGUCUCCAAAGCCUCAUCUCUCUUAAAAGCCUUGAACUCUACAAUUGCCCUAAGCUCUGGUCCUUUGUGCCCAAGGGCGGGCAACACUUGCAAUACUUGAAAUCUGGGAGUGUCCUAUUCUAGAAAAGAGGUGUCUCAAGGACAAACGGAAAGAUUGGCCCAAGAUUGGCCACAUCCCCUAUGUGGAAAUAAAUGACAUUGUACAACAAUAACAGCUUCAAUAAGGUACUCCUAAUUCUCUGUAAUCUUCCAUCAAAGGUUCUACUUGCUAAUUACUACUCUCUCUAUAAUAUUUGAGUCGCCCUUUUGUUAUGUAAUCAGGGGUUCUCCUAAUUUUUCAGAAGUUAGGCCUUCCUACCACAAUUUAAUACUGAUAUUUGGCAUUGCCCUCUUCCAAAACAAAGGUGCGUAUUAAUGCAUUGAAUUGUAAGUUCUGAUGGAACAUAAUUUUCACCAUUUUCAACCCUAACAUAUUGCUUUCAUUUUCUAAUAAUGAUGGAAUUUAUGUUGCACAGAAUUUCCUGCCAUUCAUAUCUGCAAAGGGUAAAUACUAAAUAUCCUACACAUGAAAGAAGAUGUACUAAAUGCCCCAUUCUUUUCUAGUUUCUGGAUUUACAUGUGAUUCAAGUUUUAAACCCUAUCAAAUUUGGGCACACUUCACUUCCCACCAAGGGAUGGGCAAANNNNNNNNNNNNNNNNNNNNNNNNNNNNNNNNNNNNNNNNNNNNNNNNNNNNNNNNNNNNNNNNNNNNNNNNNNNNNNNNNNNNNNNNNNNNNNNNNNNNUGGAUUUACAUGUGAUUCAAGUUUUAAGGCCCUAUCAAAUUUGGGCAACAACUUCACUUCCCACCAAGGGAUGGGCAAAAGGCCUUAUGUUUGGUGCUUCUUUUUGUUUAAAGCUCAGUAUACUGAUUCAAUCACCAUUAAUUGUUAAAAGGUAUUUAAGAUUUUGUUUUAGUUCUGUUUCAUUCCAGUCUAAAUUUGAAUCUUAUUAUGUUAAUGAAGCCCUUUUAUUUAAUUUUUUUUUCUGUACUUUAAUCACACAGGAAUGCUCCUUUAUUUAACACCUUGGUUUUUUGGGAUUCUGCCAUCUUUUUGCAAAUAUGUAGUGCAAAAACGGGAGAGGUAUAACUUUCUCAAACUUCUAAACUGACCAUUGUAUUUCAUCAGAUUGUUUUUAACUUUCUCAUAUUUUUCCCCUCAAAUUUACAUCUUUUUGACUAAUUACAUGAUAUUGUAGUUACUGUUGACCUAGAGAGGACCUUUCUACUAGCAUCUGGUAUGUCAAGCAGUUCAGGAUACACAGAAAGGGCAUAUAUCCCAGGUUGUUCUUUUUCUCAUUAUGUCUCUCCUCACUUGUAUUAAUUUCAAAUGUGCUCAUUCAAAUUUAUAUUAUCAUAAUAUAAAUUGAAGAUAAAAUCCCUUAAUGAGAGGUGGUAGUUAGGUCUUUGUAAGUAAGUUGUUGAAGGUAAACCUUGGUGAUGAGCCGGCAUGUUUGAGGAAGCCUGGAUUUGGGUUGGAAAACCUUGGUGGUUUAUGGAUGGAUGGGUGUGAUGGGGUUGUAUCCUUGGACGAGCAAAGGCUGCCUUGCAAUCUUCAAUAUUUGGAAGUGAAAGGAUGUUUCAACUUAGAGAAGCUGUCAAAUGCAAUAUGCACCCUCACAUCUCUUAUAGAUUUGGUAAUUUAUAAUUGCCAGAACUUGUGCCAUUCCUAGAGACAAAUAUGUUGCCCAUGCUAAGACUUCUUUUGGUGAAAAAUUGUGAGCUUUUGGAGACGUUGGCCGAUGGAAUGGUGAGCACCAGAUGUGCCUUUGAGUGCUUAGAAAUUGUAGAUUGUCCAUCUCUUAUUAGAUUACCAAAAGGUAAGCUAUCCACCACCCUUAUCCACCACCCUUAAGAAGCUACUCAUUAUAGAUUGCCAGAAACUAGAGUCUCUACCUGAGGGAAUUAUGCACCACACUUCAAUUGACAGCAACAACACUUGUCGUCUUGAACAACUACAUGUGUUGGGAUGUUCGUCUCUCAAGUGCAUUCCAAGAGGCAACUUUCCCUCCUUUCUUGAGAUGCUUUUCAUUUGGAAUUGCAAGAAAUUAGAGCCAAUUCCAGGCAAUAUGCUGCAAAAUCUCACAGCUCUUGGUAUGUUGGGUCUAUGUAAUUGUCCAGAUGUGAGGUUCUCUCCAAAAGAAUAUUGGACCACCAACCUUAAAUAACUUGCGAUUUCAGAUUGUGAGAAUAUGAAGAAGCCUCUAUCCUUUGUGCCAAAGGAAGGGCUGCCACCGUCACUUGCAAGACUUGUAAUCAUGCGUGUCCUAUUCUAGAACAAAUGAAAAGAUUGGCCCAAUAUUGCCUACGCCCCCUAGAUGGAAAUAGAUGGCAUUGUCUAACAAUAACAAUUUCAAUCAGUUACCCACAAUUCUCUGCAAUCUUCCACCAAAUAUUCUACUUGCUAAUAACUUUCUUUCUCUAAAACGUUCUAUUCUUCAUGUUGUUCCGUAUCUCAGUUCCACUUGUUAAUUCAAAUGAUUUUAUUAUUUCUUAAAGAAGCUUAAAAGUCACACAGAAAGAGCACAGUACUUUAUGUUUUCUUUGUUUAUUUUCCUUUCCCCUUUUUAAUCUUAAUCAUUAACAGUUCUUUUAAAAUAUUUGUCUUCAGAUACUUGUUACAGAGGGGGUUGUGCUUAGCCAGUGUGUGACUCUGGAAACCCCACGUAAAAUGUAUGGCAACAACUGAGUCCUAUCGAUACUUGCAACAUUACAUAAUCAAGAGAGAUGUCCUAUUCUAAAAAGGAGGUUCAUGAAGAACAAAGGAAAAGAAUGGCCCUAAAUUGCUCAUAUCCUCCCAUAUCUGGAGAUAGAUUGCAUUGUACAGCAGUAAAAAGGUCAAUCAAGUACCCCAAUUGAUGAUAGUCGCUCUUUUCUCUUGUUGCUCACAUCCAUCCUUCUAUCUGAUUGGAAAUUUAGUUCUCUAAUUCAUCAGUUAUGUGCAACAAUUUAUAUUUGCAUUAAAAAAUUUUCUGAAUAUAUAUUCAAAAUGAAAUGCUCUUGAUUUUAUUUUUUUGCCUUUUACAUUGAAAACAUGUAACUCUUUUUCAUUAUUAUGCUAACAGAAAGGAAUAUUGAGUUUCAUCCUGCAGAUUCCAUGUCUGAAGUGAAUGUGGUGUUGGUUGUUCAUUCUCUAAUAUGGUGAUGGUGAAAAGAAGAUGAAAGGGCCUAGGAAAAGCAUGGUACAUAUGCUAUUUUCAUUUUUUAUCUUAUAUUUCCUAUUUUAAUUUUAAAAUAAAAUGGCUACUGGGCCAUGCCUUUUUAAUCAUAUCAACAUGGAAAAGCAGUCAAAAAGAGUUGGAAAAACAACCUGCUUAUGAUUACAUUCGUUGGUCUGCCUAUAGAUCUUGGGUUGGAUAUGGUGCAGAGGAAGAUUUUUACAAACAAACCUAUUUAAGGUAUUUGGGACUAUCCUCUUCCAAACACAGGUGAUUAUUAGUCUAUUGAAUUGUAAGUCUGAUAUAAAAAACAAUCUCCAUUUCUAACUCAAAAUAUUGCUUUUGCUUCUUGAUAAUGAUGGAAUUCACUUUUUAGAUGCAGGAUGGCAAUCAAAGGGACUGAUGUAGAUGAAAGCAAAAUUCAUGGCCAUUGAUGCGGCUUAUUAGCAUCUGCAAAGGUAAAUAUCCUAAACAUGAAAGAGCGGUACUAAAUGCAUCAUUCUAGGCCAUGUAAAUUUUUAAAAAAAUUUUAAAUCAGGUCCAAAAAGAGUUUUAAGCCCAAUCAAAUUUGCCAGCAGCUUCACAUGGCAAUAAUUUUACAUAGAGAUACAUGGUUGAUACACCUAUUAAAAUUCUUGUUGCAUUUUUUCUUUCUUUCUUUUUUCCGUUUUCAAUAUGCUUCAAUUUCAUGAUGCAAGGGGCCUUACAUCUGGUGGUUCAUUUUGCUUAAAGCCAGAAUACUAUUUCCAUCACCAUUAAUAAAUACAAGGUAAUUAAGAUUUUGCUUGAGUUCUGUUUGAUUUUAAACCAAAUUUGCAUCUUAUUAUGCUAAUGAAGCCUCUUAUUUGAUUUUACUGUGUACCUUAAUCACUCAGGCAUGCUCCCUAAUUUAUUAUUCCCUUUGCUUGGAAAUAUGUACUACAGAAGCAGAGGUAUCACUCUCUCAACUUUNNNNNNNNNUUUUUCUGCUUAUGCAUACAAGGCAACAAGCUAAAAGAGCUUAGGGUGUGUUUGGGAGUUGUUUUCAAAAAUGGUUUUCUAUUUUUAAGAAAAAAAAAAGUCAUAACAUGUUUGAUAAUCAGAAAACAAAAAACAAAGUGUUUUCCAAGAAUAUAUUUUAAUUGUUUUUGGUGGUUUUAACUUUUUUCUAAAUAUUGUUUUAAAAAUAAUUAUACAAAUAUGGAGAAUGAUUGAAAAUUAAGUAUUUACAAAUUAAAGUUAUUUAAAAAAAUAUUUAAAAAUAUAGAAAAUAGGUUAAACACAUUUCAGAUUUUCAAACAAGAUUUGUCAAAUUUAUAGGAAGUGAAUUGGCAUUUUCCUCAAAACUUUGAUUUUGCUUUUUAAUAUUUUAUUCUAUUUUAUGACAACAGUAUUUUCUUGUACCUCUCCCUUAAAUUUGAAACUAGUUUUUCUGAUUUUUUGAUUGGUGAGUAUAACCUAAUUUAAUUUCCCCAUCAUAGUAGGACUAAAAAGUGGAGAUUCUUAUGGAAUGAAAGAAAUGCAAUCAACUCUCACACUAUGAUGAACUGUGAGCAUAUUUGAAUAUUUUGAUGGUAUUUAUUCUAUUUCACCAAAUACUAAUGGAAAGUUAUUCAUUACUUGAAUCAUUCUAACAAGCAAUUGAGCUGGUACAUCACAAACUGAAUUGAUAGGACAAUGAUAGUGACAAUAUUCUUAGCAAGUUUGGGUCAUGUAUUACGUAUAAGGUUUCUUCAGUUUUUACAAGAUGUUUUAUGGUGAAUUACACCCUUAUGACACACGCAAACCCAAAAAAAAAAAGGAUUUUAAGUCAUUUCUUUUUUUCCCUUUUGUUAAUUUGGUAUGGGCAGGUGGUCUUAACAAAGGAGCUCAAUGAGUUAGAACUACAGCCUCACUGUCCCAAAGUGAAACGGUCAAAGCUUGUAAUAAGCUCCAGCUAAGGUAGGUAACUGUUACUAUAUUCUGCUUGUUUUCUUGUCAUAUUCAAUUGGGUGAAUAACAAGUCUAAUAUGAAAAAAUUUAAAAAAAAAUACUAUAUGCUCUUUUAGAAUUCUAGAAGUGUGUCCUUUAAGUGAAAUUUAUUUUUGUCUUAUCUGCUUUUUAGAGUCUAUGAAAAAAAUUAUUCAAUUCUAUGCAAAAAUUUAUUUUAUAUCUAUUUUUAUCUUCUAAGUUUGCUUUUGAGAUGUUUUCUUUCCAUAUAUGGAAUGGUUAUAAUUUUAAUAUUUUGUGCUAUGGAUCAAGCUUAAUCUUUAAAAAUGACAAUCAUUUUGAAUAUUAUCUGCUCUAUAGGAAGCUCCUACAACCAGGUCAUAUUCCUAAUUGACUCUGUUUUUGAGAAAUCAGGAUACUUUGGGUGGAUUUUCCUUCACAUGAAUAAUUGUAAGUUUGAUAAUUUGUGAGCAUUCGUACUGUAGAUACUUGUGACAAAGUUUGUCUUAAGAAUAGGAUGAAUUCUCAUUAUUACUCACUAGAUGUUUUUUUGCAAUUAACAUAAGGAUUCAUCUUCUAAAGUACUCUUGGGAGUGAGGAAUCCUUCUCAAAAGCCUUGGAAUCGAGCACAAAUUUGAAAUUUCAAUCUGCAAUGAGGUAAAGAGCAAAGGAUUCAUGUUAUUUAGUGGCUUACUUUAGAUGGUAUAUUCAUUGUGACAAGAAGAAGUUUUAAUGCAGUCUUUGAUCUUGUUUAGAUAUACUUUUAAAGAAAAAAAAACAAAAAUAACAAUUAUUUCUAAAAAGUAGAAACUCUUGUACAAAAAGUAUAGACUUACCUUUUAUUUUUUUUUUAAAUUACAUAAAAAAAUUUUAAAAUUUGAGGUAAGAAAACAUUUUUAAUACUUCAAAAUUUUAAACAAUUUUUAAAACUAUUAUCAUGUGAAUGUAAGUCUUUAAUUCUUUUUGUAUUUUUAUAUAAACAAGCUAUUUUCUCCUUUUAAAAAUAUAAAACAGUAAAUGCAUCUAAGCAAAUACUUAAUUACACGUUUGUCUCUUGGUAAUUCAACUCCUCUAUGCUCUCUCUUAUUAUUUUAUUGCCUCUGUUUUGAAUUUUAGGAUAUGGGCCUGGUUUCAUCCAAAAGCUUCCUAUAGUUGACUAAUUCAUGAAUUUGAAAAUUUUGGCGGAUAGAAGAACAAGCACAUAUCUUCUGCAAGCAUUUGAAAACUUGUGCAUCAGUGCAUCAAUGGUUGUACUAGUGCUCAUGGAGAUUCAAAUAUGUGAAAUGGUAAUUGUGAGAUUGAAAUCCUGACCAUGAGACUAGCAGACGAGUCUUGGUGAACUUGAGAGUUUUGCCAUUCUCUUUCCUUGUGGAUCAUUCUCAAUACAAGUUGUUCUCCCAUUAUGUUUUAACAGUAUGUAAUACUCUAAAUGGUAAAUUAUGCCUCAGUUGAUCAUCUUUGAAUUACAAUUAGAUGUUAUUAAUGUUUACUUCAACAACUACAUAAUCUAUAGUUUAUUUUUAGUUUCCUUAUUUACUAAAAACUACCUAAUAAGAUUAAGUAGCUAAGUCACAUUUCUCUGCUAUGUACAUAUUUUCUCUAUUUAAGUUCACUUGCUAUUAACAACAUCAACUAAUAUAAAAAGAUUCAGUUUUGGGUUACAAACUUCAUUGCUAUUAUAAAAACUAUUUUGUAACAAGUUCAAGUAGUGACCCAUCAAUCUUUUGCAAUUUUUGAAGAAGAAAUGUUAGUAGUACUUGUCGUUUGAGAAAAUUUCCCUAUGGUACAUCUAUUUUAAAAUCUAUCUGGAUUUAAAAGGAAAAAAGAAAGAAAGAAAGAAAGAGAGAAAGAGAGAAAGUUAACCCUCAACGACCUAAUACCACAUAGGUCCAUGUGGUGAUCUAAAUUAUUUUCUAAGUAUCCAACUAAGAAGAAAUGAGGGUGGAUUAUUCUUGGAUAUAAUGCAAAAUAAUGAUGAUUAAUAUUAAAAAUAUUGAUAAUAUUAUCUCUCUUAUUAUUAAAAAAUCUUUUACUUUUUGAUGAUUUGAAAUACUUUUUAUCAAAUGUAAGUCAUAUUUGUGAUAAAGUAUUUUAAGUUAUUUUUAAACUAACAUGUUGCAUCAUAUAAGGAUGCUCAAAAUGAUCAAACCAGUUUGGUAGGCCAUAAAAGUGAAAAAGUUUACAACAUUGGUAUGUAAAUAUAUGAAGACUACGAAAAAUGUUUUUCAAAGUGAGUUACAACAUAUGAGGUGUGGACAUGCUUGUUGAGACAAAACUCUCAAAAGCAUGACAUAAUGUAACAAAAUAAAAUUUUAUUAAUACAUAUAUAUAUAUAUAUAUAUAUAUAUAUAUAUAUAUAUUAUAAUUUUUUUCUCCAAUAUUCUAUCCAUGUUUGCAUUGAUCUUUAUUUAAGCAUUCAAGUUUCCAUCACUUUUAUCAUACAUGGCUUGGGUGCAAUAAAAGUUGCAUGAAAUAUCUAAGUUAUGUAUUUCUUGCAAGUUGAUGAAUUGUUCAUAACCAAUUCGUGGACUUAGGCAAUCCAUUUGAGGUAAUAUAUACUAACUCUUAAUUGGAGGAAUAAGGACUUGUUUGUCGGGGAUAAAACCCAAACAAAUCAUGACAUCAUGUAACAAAUCAUAUUUUAGUUUUCACUAUUAUAUUCUCAUUUGUAUUAAUACUUGUUUGAGCAUUCGAGUUUACAUUAUACAUGACUUAAGAACAUUAGAAGUUUCAUGAAAGAUCCAAAUCAUAAAGUCCUUAUAAGUUGAUGAAUUGUUCAUAGUUUAUAACUUACACAAUCCUUCUAAGGUUGUAGUGAACUAUCUCAUAAUUGGAGGAAUGACUUAUCUUAGUUAUCGGGUUAGAAUAUACAAUAUCAUCUUAUGGGAUCAGUGUGACUUGCAUUGCCAGGGGACAUCUUCUUUUCUGGCUGGACGUGAUAGCCACAUUUAUGAGAUGUAAAGUUUGCCUCACUUUGGACUUGGGAAGUGUCAUUCCAAGGUGGACAAACUCAGCCACGCUCAAAUUAAUGGAUGAUGCAUUACCUAUGGAAGGAAAUGGCAUUUGCAAGGAUUUAGGCUACCUGGGCAACCCAGCAGAGUGACAUCAAAAUCAGUAAAGCCUAAGUCUUCAACUGUGCAAGCAAAUGGCAACUUCUGAUCUUGUAUUAGUACACCAGUGCCAUGUCAGUCAUCCGCACCAACAGAAUAGUCACCUAAGCCUCCCCGGGGCCCAUUUUUCCAACUCCUGCAUUACAUGGCCACCUUUUCCUCUUGCUACUUUUCUUUUAUUUUUCUUUGUGAUCUUAUAUGUUUUGAAUUGGUUUCAAACUUUCUUUUUUUCUAUUAAAAUAAUCUCAGUUUUUUAAAUUUCAUCCUUUGGAGAUACUAGAAAAUAAAAUUCAGUUUUGAUAAACUAGUUGCCAUUUUUUUUUUUCCGUUUUUCAUGUUUUUAAUAAGCAUGAAUACCAUUUUACAAUUUAAAAAUAAUGAAAUAUAUGGAAUUAAUUCAUGCAAAAAUAAAUUGAUCAUUGGUGGGGCCCAACACAUGAGACAUUCUCCAUUCGUUUGUUGAUUCUGAUUGCUAUAUUUAUUCAAUAUUAAUUUAUUUUUGCCUUGCUCUAUGACUUACGUGAGAUAUUUUGUGCUUGUCAUUAUUGAGUUAACCAUGUUUUUCAUGCAAACACUAUUGAUUUGCUGCUCAAGUAUGCUCCCAUCUUCAUCUUAAUUAUUUAUUCAUUAAUGUGCAAGAUUUGCUUUCAUUCUAUAUGGUCUUUGGUAUCCACAAUUAAUUGAUCAUUUGUCACACUUGUCUUAACUGAUUAGUAGAAACCUAAUUUUUAGGGUUUAGAUGGGUGUUACGGUCUAUCGUUGUACCUUCUUGAUAGGUAACCUGAUCACUAGACCUCGACUCAAUUUUUCUCAGACUUGUAUUUUCCUUCAUGAGUCACACUUAUAGUUUUUCUCUAUUAUUUUGUUUUUCCCUUUAAAAAUGAUAAAUAAAUGGUGUCUCCAAAAAUAAUUUUCAAAAAAUCAAAAUUUUCACAAUAAAAAACAAGUCUCACCAUAGAGUGGGGACGCAUGCAAAAGAUGCGAGGUCCAUACCAACCUAUCUAAUCAAGGUCAACCUCUCUAAUCAAAGGCCGACUCCUAUAUUAGCUACUACCAACAUUAAAAUAGGACAACGUAGAAGAGGAUAAGUCGACCUCUCCAUCCAUGGGUUGGCCCCUCUUUUUGCUACCUUGGGCAUCAUUUUAAUGCAUGUUCUACAAUUUUACCUUGCCACUGUCCAUCAUAAAUAUGAUUUGAAAACCAUAAAAUGUGAAGAUCUAAAAUUGGAAUUGUGUCAAAUGCUCUUCAUCCACGAAAAUAACUUAACAAAAUUUUCUAUAGCUAAAAUUGGAUGUUGCCAAUUAAUGAAUAAGUGAAAUUACAAAAUAGAAAACAUGAGUAAAAGAGAUUUCUAAUAUUAUGAAGUGGAACAAAAACAUAAGCAAAUGUUCCUCAUUGACCAAACACAUUAAGAAGCUCAAUGAUUCUAUUUUUUAAAGAAAUAUGCAUGGCAAAGAGACUGUAAAACAAAAGUUUGACUAAUUUCGGUUUUGUUAAUAACAAAACAAGGUUUGAAACUAAUAAUUUAUUUUAAGUGUUUUUUAGCAAGAGUAAUUCCAAAGAACCAAUCACAACAACAUAAUAAAGUGAAAUCAAGAAAAAAGAGAAGACCUUAAAGAGGAAAUCAAGCAAGACUCAUGUCUAGGAUCUUUUUAUAAAAUUGUUGAUGCACUAGGUUCAAAGUGCAUUUUAUUUUUAUUCAAGUACCUAAAAUCAUCCAAUUUUCUAAAUCGACUUUAUUCUUUUAUAAAGUAAUGAAGAAUCUUUCUAAAUGAAAACCAACUACUAUUCAUGUUUAAAAGGUCUUUAAAAUGAAAAGGAGUUUAUCUACCUAGGUUUUCCUAAGAAUUUUGUGAAAAUUAUAGAAUUCAUUUAUGCAUAUUUCAAUGAAUUUUACACGUCAAAAUUAAAAUUGAUUAUUUCAAGGAUAAAAACUCAUAUUUUGACAUAUAUUUCAUCAUUUAAAUGGGUACUUUUUUCAAUAUUAUGUUUUCAUAUUAAAAUAAUUUGAGUCAUUAAAAGUCAUUUAUGUAUCAAUUUUCCAUAUUUUGCAUAUGUUUGAUUGAAGUGACUCAAUUGGUUGAAUUGGUUAUUGUUCACUCAAUUGAUUGAGGAUUGGUAGAAUUGGUUGAGCUCCUAUGAUGUAAUAGUCAUUUUUUUGUAUCUUCUAUCACCCAAAACUAGUGACCAAUUGCUUUGUGUACCAUUUAUUAUAGAUUUUUUAUUCCAUUGUACCAAUUUAUAAACUAGAAGUUAUAUUCUUGCCAAAUCUUUUCUCAUAUACCUUGUGAGGUAGGCUCAUGUGUGGGGUAAUACUUGAGGAAUUCCAAAUGUGGUGUGAUCUUAAAGGUGUUUUGUAAAUGGUGCUUGAAAUCAUUUUCUAAAAGAGUACUUGGAGUCACAAGUUUAAAAGGAUUGAUUAGAAUUAUAAUCCAAUUGUGAAACUUGAAGACUCGGAUUGAAGCUUUGAUUUAUAGAACCCUCACUCAAUUAAAAGUUUAAGGAGAUGGAUGUAGGCGGACUUGUGCCGAACCAUUCAUAAAAACUAGUACUUGCAUUUGUGUUUUCUCCACGUACUUGCAAUAUCACUUACUUUCUAAAUUUAAAUUUGUAAAAAGUGACUAUUACUAUUCACCUCUUUUGUAAAGUGAUUAAUUACCUUACAUUGGUAUACCUCAAAUUGUAAUAAAAACCACAAAACAUAAGAACAACAAAAUCAAACACUUAUCCUAUAGGAUAGUGUGAAUACUUAUAUAAAACCAAAUCAGAUUUUUUAUUCAAGCCUUCUUGAAAGGGAACAAUGAUAAUCAUAUAGCAAAAAAGCUUGAAGAAAGAAUUAAGGUCAUAUGCAAAGAGCUCGUCUUUUUUCCUUUGUUAGGGCAUUGUUUUUGGGAAAAGUUAUGAAGGAGACAUGAGGAAAUGUGCGGAAAUUCAUUUUUCAUUUUUUAUUUUUUUUUAAAGUCCAAGUGUUUUGAUUACGUGGCAUUUGACGGCAAUCCCACAUCGAAUUGCUUAUGUGGCUGGAGGAGUAUGGGCAAAUAUGGAAUUCUUAUUUUAACAUCCUUGAAGUGCUUAUUUGAGAGACCAUUUCUACAUGAUGUAGCUGGUAUUUGCCCUUAGGAUUUUCUAAACAUAGAGCAGUGUGUAUCAUACUCUCUCUUCAGUAAUUGAAUGGCAGUACACACCACAUCAACCACCACAGCAAUCCACACCUCUUGGUCAAUUCUUCACAUUAUUUUUUAAACCCUCACAUACAAUUGGCUAUAAUAUAACAUGGAGUUGCAUGCAUAAUUGAUCUUUUUAUAUCAAACAGCAUAUGUUUCCAUGUUUAAAUAAUUUUAUUUUACGAGGUUGUUUCCCAACUUCUCCAUUAAAAUUUGUAUUAGUUUAUAUAUUUUCCAAACACGGAUCAGUGCAGCCCAUGUGCCCCUCUCUCUGCCACGCUUUCCUUUUCCAAACCUUGUUGACCCAGCAACCACCAUUGCAAUCUACACCAGUUGCUCACGUCUGCGCUGAUAAAAUUUUCAAUCUCGCUUGUUUCUUUUGUCUCCACUGCCUGCCCUUCGAUUUCUGGAAAGAACUAGCCGAUGGAGGUUGUUGGAGAGUCUGUUCUUUCUGCUGCCCUCCAAGUUCUGUUCGGUAAGUUGGUUUUCCCUGAGUUGCUCAACUUUGCUCUGCAAGAGGGGGUCAUUGCUGAACUUGAAAACUGGAAGGAGAAACUGAUGAUGAUUAAUGAAGUGCUGGACGAAGCUGAGGAGAAGCAGCAUCAAAGCCGUCCGUGAAAAACUGGCUUGACAAUCUCCGAGACUUGGCUUACGACAUGGAAGAUGUGCUGGAUGAGUUCGCGACCGAGCUGUUGCGACGCAGGUUGAUGUCAGAAGGUGCUGAUCAGGUGGCCACCACAAGUAAGGUACGGAGCCUCAUCCCGACUUGCUUUACUGGUUUCAAUCCUGUUGAUGAAGUUAAGUUUAAUAUUGAGAUGGGGACCAAGAUCAGGAAAUCACUAGGCGGUUAGGCGAUAGUUCAACCCGGAAAGCUGAGCUGGGUUUUGAUAUGGUCCCGGGUGUUGAAACAAGUUGGGAAGUUUUGCAUCUGGAGCAGCUUCUACUUGGCAACGACCCCCUUCUACAUCUUUGAUUAACGAAGCUGUUCACGGCAGGGAUAAAGAUAAAGAAGUCAUUAUUGAGAUGCUGUUGAAGGAUGAAGCAGGUGAAAGCAACUUUGGGUAAUUCCCAUUGUAGGUAUAGGUGGGAUGGGGAAAACUACACUGGCCCAGUUGAUAUACAGGGAUGAAGAAAUAGUGAAGCAUUUUGAGCCAAGGGUGUGGGUGUGUGUAUCAGAUGAGAGAGAUGUAGAGAAGUUAACGAAGAUAAUUCUCAAUGCCGUCUCUCCGAAUGAAGUCCGUGAUGGGGAUAACUUUAAUCAAGUGCAGCUCAAGUUAAGCAAUAACCUGGCUGGAAAAAGGUUUUUGCUAGUUUUGGACGAUGUGUGGAACAUCAACAAUUAUGAGCGAUGCCAAUGAACAUCCAAAUUUGGAAUUAAUUCAACAAAGGAUCGUAGAGAAAUGUAGUGGCCUGCCCUAAGCAGCAAAGAUGCUUGGUGGGCUUCUACGCUCCGAACCACAGGAUCGAUGGGAACGUGUACUGAGUAGAAAAAUUUGGAAUAAGAGUGGUGUUUUGCCAGUGCUAAGAUUAAGCUAUCAACAUCUCCCUUCACAUCUAAAAAGAUGUUUUGCUUAUUGUGAGUUGUUUUCAAAGGACUAUGGAUUUAAGCAAAAAGAGCUAAUUUUAUUGUGGAUGGCAGGGGAUUUAAUUCACCAAGCAGAAGAAGAUAACUGUCAAAUGGAAGAAGAUCUAGGUGUUGAUUAUUUUAAUGAAUUGUUAUCAAGAUGCUUUUUCCAACCAUCAAGUGAUAGUAAAUCCAAAUUCAUAAUGCAUGACUUGAUUAAUGAUCUUACUCAAGAAGUUGCUACAAAAAUAUGUUUCAAAUUUCGAGAAUAUACAUAAGGUCUCUCAAAGGACUCGUCAUUUAUCAUUCGUGCGUGGUGAGUAUGAUGUGUUCAGAAAAUUUGAAGUCCUCAAUAAACCAGAGCAAUUAAGAACAUUUGUUGCACUACCCAUCACACUAGAUACUAAGAAGAAAUGCUACUUAAGUAAUAAGGUGCUUCAUGGCUUGUUGCCAAAGUUGGGACAAUUGAGGGUGCUCUCUUUGAGUGGUUAUGAAAUAAAUGAGUUACGGGUCAAUUGGUGAUUUGAAACAUUUACGAUUUCUUAAUCUUGUCUUCUACAAAAAUCAAACAGUUACCUAAAACAGUGAGUGGUCUUUACAACUUACAAUAGUUGAUAGUAUGCAAUUGUGUGCAACUUAUUAAUUUACCUAUGAGCAUCAUAAAUUUAAUUAAUCUUCGCCAUCUUGAUAUUAGAGGUUCAACUAUGUUGAAAAAGAUGCCUCCACAAGUUGGCAAGUUGAUAAAUUUGCAAAUGUUGAAUAGGUAUUUUCUAAGCAAGGGUAAUGUGUCACAAAUAAAAGAAUUGAAGAACUUGUUGAAUCUCCGAUGAGAGCUUAGCAUUUCAGGUUUGGAGAAUAUUUUGGAUCCAAGAGAUGCGAGGUAUGUCAAUUUGAAGGAGGGAUGGGAUAUUGAAGUCUUAAUCAUGGUAUGGAGUGAAAAGUAUGGAAAUUCAAGGAAUGAAAGCACCGAGAUAGAGGUCCUUAAGUGGUUGCAACCUCAUCAAAGUUUGCAAAAACUGGAUAUUAGAUUUUAUGGUGGCUUAAAAUUCCCAAAUUGGAUAGGAGAUCCAUCCUUCUCCAAAAUAGUGUAUCUAGAUCUUAUAAAUUGUAAAAAUUGCACAUCUUUGCAGGGGGACUACCUUUCCUCAAAAACUUGGUGAUUGAAGGCAUGAAUGAAGUUAAAAGCAUAGGCGAUGAGUUCUAUAGGGAGACUGCGAAUCCUUUUUAGGCUUUAGAACAUCUGAGAUUUGAGAAAAUGCCCUAAUGGAAAGAUUGGUUAAUUCCUAAAUAGGGUCAUGAGGAAACCCAAGCAUUGUUUCCUUGCCUCUGUGAGCUUAUAAUAAUAAAAUGUCCAAAACUCAUCAACUUAUCUCAUGAGUUACCUUCCCUUGUGACGCUUCAUGUUCAAGAAUGCCAAGAAUCAGAAAUUUCAAUUCCACGACUUCCAUUUCUUAUUAAAAUAAUAGUAGUUGGGUUGUUAAAAAGUUGGGUUGUUGAUGUCCCCUCACUCACCCAAUUAUACAUUUAGAAGAUUUCAAGCCUGAGUUGUUUAUGGGAAAGGCUUGCACGGAGCUUAAUAGCCAUUGAAGAUCUGGGAAUUGCUGAAUGUGAUGAACUGGCAUGUUUGAGGAAGCCUGGAUUUGAACUGGAAAACCUUGGUGGUCUGCGACAUUCAUGGAUCAAAGGGUGUCAUGGGGUUGUAUCCUUGGAAGAGCAGGGGCUGCCUUGCCAUCUUCAAUACUGGGAAGUGAAUGGAUGUUACAACUUAGAGAAGCUGCCUAACGCAUUACACACCUUCACAUCUCUUACAGAUUUGCUAAUUCAUAAUUGCCCAAAACUGCAGUUGUAUACUUAAGUACGUGGAGAUUAAAGAGUGUCCAUUUUUUAUUGAAUUUCCAAAAGGUGAGCUACCCGCCACCCUCAAGAAGUUGACGAUUGAAGAUUGUAGGAGACUAGAGUCUCUACUUGAGGGAAUUGACAGCAACAACACUUGUCGACUUGAAUGGCUACAUGUAUGGGGAUGUCCAUCUCUCAAGUCCAUUCCAAGAGGCUACUUUCCCUCCACACUUGAGAUACUUUCCAUUUGGGACUGCGAGCAAUUGGAGUCGAUUCCAAGGAAUCUGCUGCAAAAUCUCACAUUUCUUCGACUUCUGAACAUAUGUAAUUGUCCAGAUGUGGUGUCCUCUCCAGAAGCGUUUUUGAACCCUAACCUUAAACAACUUUCUAUUUCAGAUUGUGAGAAUAUGAGGUGGUCUCCAUCUGGGUGGGGCCUCGACACACUCACCUCUCUUGGUGAGCUAUUUAUUCAAGGCCCAUUCCGAGAUCUGCUUUCUUUUUCUGGCUCUCACCUUCUUCUUCCUACUUCUCUCACCACUCUCCGGUUGGGAAAUCUCCGCAAUUUGAAAUCCAUAGCCUCCACAAGUCUACAAAGCCUCAUCUCUCUUAAAACCCUUGAAUUCCACAUUUGCCCUAAGUUCCGGUCCUUUAUGCCAAAUGAAGGGCUGCCAGCAACACUUGCAAAACUUGUAAUCAGGGAAUGUCCCGUUCUAAAAGGGCGGUGCCUCAAGGACAAAGGAAAAGAUUGGCCUAAGAUUGCCCACAUCCCCUACGUGCAAAUAGAUGGCAUUGUACAACAAUUAAAAAGCAAAUAAUAACUUCAAUCAGGUACUCUCAAUUCUCUGUAAUCUUCCAUCAAAAGUUCGACAUUCUAAUUGCUACUGUCUCUAUAAUAUUUGAGCCUCCCUUUUGUUCUGUAAUCAGGGGUUUAACAUGGUCAACAAUAAGCUACGAUGUUUUGUGCUCAAAACUUCGACUCUCACGAAUGUGUGCCCUUAGCUUUUUCCUUGCUUUUAGGAUGACAGGCCUUCCUACCUUAGUUUAAUAACUGGGUAUUUGGCACUGCCCUCUUCCAAAAUAGAGGUGCGUAUUAAUGCAUUGAAUUGUAAGUUCUGAUAGAACACAAUUUCACGAUUUUCAACUCAACAUAUUGCUUUCAUUUUCUAAUAAUAUUGAUGGAAUUUAUGUUGCACAUAUAGGAUUGCAGGAAAAGGGAUUGAUGUAGAGAUGAAAGUAAAAUUCCCUGCCAUUUGUAUCUGCAAGGGUAAAUACAAAAUUCCUACUAAGGGAUGGGCAGCUUGGUCAACUUGUAGAACUAACCCACAACAAUGGACCCUGAAUCUGGUACUCCUUUUUGCUUAAAGCCAGUAAACAAUUUCAAUCACCAUUACUUAAUAAAAGCUAUUCAUGAUUUUGUUUUAGUUCCGUUUCAUUCCAAUCUAAAUUUGAAUCUCAUUAUGUUAAUGAAGCCCUUUUAUUUUAUUUUGUUUUGUACUUUAAUCACACAGGAAUGCUCCCUUAUUCAAUGCCUAGGUUUUCUAGGAUUCUGGCAUUUACUUGGAAAUAUGUAUUGCAAAAAUGGGAGAGGUAUAACUUUCUCAAAAUUUGAAACUGAACAUUGCAUUUCAUCAGGUUGUCUUUAACUUUCUCAUCUUUUUUCUCUCUUUCUGCUUAUGCCACUUCAACUUUUUUGACUAAUUACAUGACAUUGUAAUUGUUGUUGGCCUAGAUAGUACCCUUUCUACUGGGAAUUGGUAUGUCAAGUGGUUCAGGAUGCACAGAAAGGGAAUAUAUCCCAGGUUGUUCUUUUUCUCAUUAUCUCUCUUCUCACUUUUAUUGAUUUCAAAUGUGUUCUUUCAGAUUUAUAUUAACAUAAUAUAAAUUGAAGAUAAAAUCCUCUAAUGACAGGUGGUAGUUAGGUCUUUGUAAGUUAGUCGUUGAAAGUAAAUAAGAGAGGGCAAUUAUUGGUUCAAUCAACAAUUAAUACCUCGACAUGUGCUUUGGUCUAGGUGCAAGAAAUGAGAUUGAACAAUGCCCUCCCUCUGCUUCCCGCCUUUUCUUUUCUUUGUAUUUUUUAUUUUUUAUUCUUAUUUCUUUCAUUUUUUUUCUCUUUAUAUUUGUUGAAAUUUGGCAUUCAAAGAUAGGGUUUUAAUUUAGGAAAGUAUUUUAGGAAUAAAAAAAUGAGAGAUCAUUUAGGAUAUUUCCUUAGGAUUCAGUUUCCUAAUUUUAGGAAAGAAUCAAGCUAGAUUGAUAUUUUCUUAUUCUGUCAUUUUGUGUAUAUAUAUGUGUAUGAUGUGUACCGAAUAAUCAUCAAUAAAAAGGAAUUAAAAAAUUCUUCAUGGUAUCAGAGCCAGUUUUCUGAAACCCUAAUCCCUUCUGGCCGCCUCUUACUCAGGCCAUCAUUCAUUUCGGCCAAGUCUCUCUGGCCAUCUCUCAAUCCGACCAUCUCUCUCUCUGGCCAUCUCUCAUUUCGGCCAUCAGUCCCUGUUCUCAGAGCCAAGGGAGAAAACGUUUUUCAGUCGGUCGACUCGUCGUUAGAAAACAUUCACCGCCGGUGACUUUUCCGGCGAAUUUUUCCGACGACGUCUUUUUCCCACACCGCAAGGAGCGCCUGGAGGAGAUCACCAAUUUUUCCCAAAGCACCGGAGCCAGAAAACCACCCACGCGCCGACCACGUGCGUUUUUCUGGUCGACGACUGUAUCUCACGCGUCGGCGCAUGAGGACGUGUGAGCCACUUUCCGGUGACGCGCUUCCUCCUCCAGCCUCGCUUGACGCCGACUAGCCACCCUUCAUACCAGUUCUGCCAUCCGAGCCUUGCACAUACCUCUUUUGGAGUUCUUUUGCCUCCGCGGGCCCUCCGAACAGUUUUUCCGGCGUCCUCCGGCUAUUUUUUUCUCAACCCCAAUCCCUGUACGUGCCUUGGGAAUUGUUCUUCUACCUUUCCGGUGGUGCCACGGUUGUUUUUCUUUUCCAUUAGGCCGGUAUCUCUGAUUUUCUCUCUCUAACCAUAUUCGGCUGUCUUCCUCAUCUUCAUGACAAAAUACGGAAUGACAUCAUCACAAGUAUCCAGCGUCAUGACACCAAAAUCAGGGGGCAGUUCUGAAAUUCCAAACCUUGGUGGCAGUGAUUCCUCUUCUAUUCUCAUCACAGGACACAAAUUAAAUGGCCAUAACUAUUUAUAGUGGUCACAAUCUGUGUUGCUGUUCAUUUGCGGUAAAGGAAAUGAUGAGUACCUCAUUGGAGAAGCAGCCAUGCCAGAAACUACAGAACCGGGUUUCAGGAAGUGGAAGAUUGAAAACAGCAUGAUCAUGUCAUGGCUUAUCAAUUCCAUGAACAAUGACAUAUGUGAAAAUUUUUUGCUGUUUNNACUGCAAAGGACAUUUGGGAUGCAGCCAAAGAAACUUACUCAAGUUCUAAAAANNNNNNNNNNNNNNNNNNNNNNNNNNNNNNNNNNNNNNNNNNNNNNNNNNNNNNNNNNNNNNNNNNNNNNNNNNNNNNNNNNNNNNNNNNNNNNNNNNNNUUGAAUCAGCCCUACAUGACUUCCGCCAAGGAGAGCAGUCAGUUACUUAGUAUUACAACACACUCACAAGGUAUUGGCAGCAACUUGACUUAUUCGAGACUCAUGGAAAUGUUCGGAUGAUGCAGCAACAUACAGGAAAAUUGUGGAACAAAAGAGACUGUUCAAGUUUUUCCUAGGACUAAACAGGGAAUUGGAUGAUGUUAGAGGCCGAAUCAUGGGCAUUAAACCCCUGCCAAGUCUUAGGGAGGUUUUUUCAGAGGUUAGGCGUGAAGAAAGUAGAAAGAAAGUGAUGAUGGGAUCCAAAGAGCAACCUGCCCCAACAUUAUAUGCCUUUGCCCUUGCUGCUCGGUCAUUUAAUAGUAGUGGUGGAGAUUGUCAGAAACGGGAUAGGCCUUGGUGUGAUUAUUGUAAGAAACUAGGCCAUUAUAAGGAGGCUUGCUGGAAGCUUCAUGGCAAACCGGCUGAUUGGAAACCAAAGCCACGGUCUGAUAGAGAUGGUAGAGCACACGUGGCUGCCAACUCUGAGAGCACAUCUAUUCCCGAGCCGAGUCCAUUCAACAAAGAGCAGAUGGAGAUGCUACAGAAACUAUUAAGCCAAGUUGGCAGUGGCAGUACUACCGGGAUAGCCUUCACUGCUAAUCAAGGAGGAAUGAAGUUGUGGAUAGUGGACACAGGUGCUUCUGAUCACAUGACAGGAGAUGUUGCCAUUCUUCAAAAUUACAAGCCAAGUAAUGGUCAUUCAUCCGUCCAUAUUGCUGAUGGUUCAAAGUCAAAAAUUGUCGGGACAGGUUCCAUAAAACUUACUAAAGACUUGUAUCUUGACUCUGUCCUUCAUGUUCCAAACUUGGAUUGUAAUCUUUUGUCCAUUAGCAAAUUGGCCCAUGAUCUCCAAUGUGUUACUAAAUUUUAUCCAAACUCGUGUGUUUUUCAGGACUUGAAAUCGGGGAAAAUGAUUGGCAGUGGUGAACUGUGUUCCAGGCUCUACCUCCUCCCAUGUGGCCAAUUCUCAAACCAAGUCUCUCAAGCAAGUUGCGUAUAGUCUCAGAGUAUGUUAGAGUCUUUCAAUUCUGUGUCAAAUUCUAAGGUCAAUAAAGAUAGUGAGAUUAUAAUGUUACACUAUUGCCUUGGUCAUCCUAGCUUUUUUUACCUUACAAAAUUGUUUCCCAAAUUAUUUAUCAAUAAAAAUCCAGCAUCUUAUCACUGUGAAAUUUGUCAGUUUGCAAAGCAUACUCGAACAGUAUAUCCUCAAAUCCCAUACAAACCUUCAACUAUUUUCUCUUUAGUACAUAGUGAUGUGUGGGGUCCCUUACGGAUAAAAAAUAUUUCUGGCACUCGAUGGUUUGUGACAUUCGUUGAUGAUCAUACACGGGUAACAUGGGUUUUCCUUAUGAAAGAAAAGUCAGAGGUCGGGCACAUUUUUCAAACCUUCAAUCUUAUGGUUCAAAAUCAAUUCAAUUCCAAAAUUCAAGUCCUCAAGUCAGAUAAUGCAAAGGAAUAUUUUACUAGUAGUCUCAGUACUUAUCUUCAAAAUCACGGCAUUAUCCACAUAAGUUCUUGCGUUGACACCCUACAACAAAAUGGGAUGGCUGAACGCAAGAAUAGACAUCUCUUGGAGGUUGCCCGGUGCCUUAUGUUUUCCUCUAAUGUUCCAAACUAUUUCUGGGGGGAAGCCAUUCUCACAGCUACCUAUUUGAUUAACCGUAUGCCAUCCAAAGUGCUUACCUUUCAAUCCCCAUGUCAACUUCUCUUAAAAAAAUUCCCUCACACCCGUGCAGCCUCUUCUGAUUUACCACUCAAAGUAUUUGGUUGCACGGCAUUCGUUCAUGUGUAUCCUCAAAAUCGUAGCAAAUUUGCUCCUUGAGCCAAUAAGUGCAUUUUCCUAGGGUAUUCUCUAACCCAAAAAGGGCACAAAUGCUAUUCUCCAACCAACAAAAGAUUUUACACCACCAUGGAUGUCUCUUUCUUUGAACAUGUCUUCUUCUAUCCCAAAUCUCAUGUUCAGGGGGAGAGCAUGAAUGAACAUCAAGUUUGGGAGUCUCUUCUUAAGGCUGUACCUUUUUCUCACUCAGAGUCACCAAAUCCUUUCCAAUCCACGCCCACUGAGUUGUCCACACCCAUGCCGUCAUCAGUCCAGCUAGCCCAGCCCACAAAUGUUCCUUCUCCCGUGACCAUCCAGUCUCCCAUGCCUAUUCAACCUAUAGCCCCACAACUUGCUAAUGAGAACUUACAAGUUUACAUCAGGAGGAGGAAAAGACAGGAAUUAGAGCAUGGAUCACAGCCAACAUGUGGCCAAUAUAUUGACUCCAUUUCAAGUCUACCUGAAGAGAACAUAGGUGAGGAUAGGGCUGGAGAGGUGUUAAUUCCCAGCAUUGAUGAUUCUACUAUGCCGAUUGCAUUGAGGAAGAGUGUUAGGAGAUGUACAGAUCAUCCAAUUGGGAAUUAUGUUACGUAUGAAGGGCUAUCACCAUCUUACAGAGCAUUUGCUACUUCUCUUGAUGAUACUCAGGUUCCCAACACAAUACAAGAGGCAUUCAAAAUUUUAGAAUGGAAGAAGGCAGUACAAGAUGAGAUUGAUGCACUUGAGAAGAAUGGGACAUGGACUAUCACAGAUUUGUCGAUUGGGAAGAGGCCCGUGGGGUGCAAGUGGAUUUUCACCAUAAAAUACAAAGCAGAUGGAUCAGUCGAGAGAUUCAAGGCUCGUUUGGUAGCUAGAGGGUUUACACAAUCCUAUGGGAUAAACUAUCAGGAGACUUUUGCUCCUAUUGCAAAACUGAACACUAUCAGGAUUCUUCUCUCAUUGGCUGUCAAUCAAGAUUGGUGCUUGCAACAACUGGACAUAAAAAAUGCGUUUCUAAAUGGUGACCUAGAAGAGGAAGUCUACAUGGAAAUACCACCUGGUUUCGAAGGAAAUAUGGCAAAGAAUCAGGUUUGCAAACUCCAAAAAUCCUUGUAUGGCCUUAAACAAUCUCCCCGAGCCUGGUUUGAUAGAUUCACAAAGGCAGUCUUAAAGCUGGGCUACAAACAAGGUCAGGCUGAUCAUACUCUAUUUGUCAAGAAGUCUCAUGCCGGGAAAAUGGCCAUAUUGAUAGUAUAUGUCGAUGAUAUUAUUCUAUUUGGGAAUGAUAUGGAGGAAUUACAGAAUUUGAAGAAGUAUUUUUCAGAAGAGUUUGAAGUUAAAGACCUUGGAAAUUUGAAAUAUUUCCUUGGUAUGGAAGUGGCUAGAUCAAGGAAGGGAAUUGUAGUCUCUCAAAGAAAAUACAUACUCGAUCUUCUUAAGGAGACCGGUAUGCUUGGAUGCAAACCAAUUGAUACUCCUAUGGAUAGUCAGAAUAAACUUGGUAUCGAGAAAGAGAGUACACCGGUAGACAGGGGGAGAUAUCAGCGGCUCGUUGGGCGCUUGAUUUAUCUCUCACACACUCGGCCAGAUAUUGGCUUUGCAGUGAGUGCUGUAAGUCAAUUCAUGCACAGCCCCACUGAGGAACACAUGGAAGCAGUCUACAGGAUUCUUAGAUAUUUAAAAAUGACACCAGGGAAAGGUCUAUUCUUCAGAAAGACAGAGAAUCGUGACACUGAAGUAUACUCAGAUGCGGAUUGGGCAAGAAACAUCAUUGACAGGCGGUCCACUUUUGGAUACUGUUCUUUUGUCUGGGGAAAUCUUGUUACCUGGAGGAGUAAGAACCAAUCAGUUGUAGCCAGAAGUAGUGCAGAAGCUGAGUACAGAGCACUAGCACAGGGAAUCUGUGAAGGGAUUUGGAUAAAAAGGGUUCUUAGUGAACUAGGACAAACGAGUUCAUCUUCGAUUUUGAUGAUGUGUGAUAAUCAGGCAGCUAUAAGCAUAGCAAAGAACCCCGUGCAUCAUGACAGGACCAAGCACGUUGAGAUUGACAGACACUUCAUCACAGAGAAGGUGACUAGUGAGAUGGUUAAAUUGAACUACGUUCCUACCAAGCACCAAACCGCAGACAUCCUCACCAAAGCUUUACCUAGGCCUAACUUCGAAGACUUAACUUGCAAGUUGGGAUUAUAUGAUGUAUAUUCUCCAGCUUGAGGGGGAGUGUUGAAAUUUGGCAUUCAAAGUUAGGGUUUUAAUUUAGGAAAGUAUUUUAGGAAUAAAAAAAGGAGAGAUCAUUUAGGAUAUUUCCUUAGGAUUCAGUUUCCUAAUUUUAAGAGAGAAUCAAGCUAGAUUGAUAUUUUCUUAUUCUGUCAUUUUGUGUAUAUAUAUGUGUAUGGUGUGUACCGAAUAAUCAUCAAUAAAAAGGAAUUCAGAAAUUCUUCAAUAUUAAACCUCAUGAGUCUCAAGAAAUGGCUCUCAAAGACUCCUGGCAAGAUAUUGGUGAAUUGUAAGAAUAUUUGUAAUGGUAAUGUUAAGAUUGCAGAAUUAAAAAAUAAUCAGAUGAAUUUAUUGAAGAGUGAUUUGAUAAAAAGGUGAAAUAACUUAUCCAAAAGAAGGAAAUUAGCUAACGUUGAGAGGGAAGAGUGGAUCCUUUCCACACCAUGAGGAGCUUAAAAAGAGGGAAGAGUUAAAGAAACUAAAAUGAUAACCCUUGGAUCCUCUUACAAAGUGUCAAGUAUGGACUCCUGCUUUGGCAAGAGCAAAAUUUGCUAAGGCAUGGUCUAAGUUAUGAAUAGCAUACAACUUUGGACACACUUGUAAUUUCCAUAUUGCAGAUUCAUUUUUUGAAAAUUGCCAUCUGGAUAUCUAUCAUCUCUAUGCCACAAUAACAAAAGUGUUCUCCUAAGGUCUUAGUCCAACUUUCAAAGCCAUAGACCACCACAAGCCAAAAUUUCUUGAAUAACAGGACAAUUGUAUACUUUAGGACUUGAUAACAAUGAGAAGAAUUUUAGUGGAGGUAGAAUGAAGUAGGUCUGCCCAUGUAACAUCUCCAACAUUCCUUUGACUCUAAAGCCUUUUUUUACUCCUUUCCUACUUUUCCAUUCCUUGUCAUGUGUUUGGCUGCACCUUCAUGUUCUUUGUCUAUAUACAUGGAAAACAGUUAUAUUCUUAGGGCUCUUCAUUUAGUACUUCAGUAUAUAUAUUCAACACACACACACACACACACACACACACACACACACACACACAUAUAUAUAUAUAUACACACACAUAUAUUAAUUAUAAUCAGAAUUCAUUGCUUGAAUAUUAAUCUAUAAAGAAUCCAUAAAACUUGAUUUUUGCUUCUCUUUUCAUUCCAUACUUAUGCAAUCUUUAAUUGUUGUUGCAUUAGUGCUUGUCUUUAGGUGUUGAAGAUGUGGAUGAGGUUCAUACAACAGUUUUUUGCCUUCCAAAAGGUGAGCUACCGACCACCCUUAAGUGGUUGUUAAUUGAAGAUUGUCAUAAACCGAGGAUGUUCAUCCAAGGGAAUUAAGCACCAUGCUUUAAUGGACAACAAUAACACUUGUUGUCUUGAAUGAAUAGAGGUAUGGGGAUGUUCAUCUCUAAAGUCCAUUCCAUGGAUCUCCAAAGAACUCUACAACUGCCUAAACUCUCAUCCUUUGUGCCAAAGGAAGGGCUGCCACUAACACUUGUAAGAGUUGUAAUGGGGACAUGUCCUAUUCUAAAACAAAGGUGCCUCAAGAGCAAAGGAAAAUAUUAGCCCAAGAUUGCCCACAUCCCCUACAUGGGAACAUAUGACAUUGUAUUACAAUAACAAGUUCAACCAGGCACCCCAAUUCUUUGUAAUCUUGCACCAAAGAUUCUACUCACUAAUUAUUAUUUUGUUUAAAUAUGUUCUAGUCUUUUCUUAUCCUUUUUUACCUCAAGGAUUCUAUUAUUUCUAAAAGAAGCUCCAAGGGUUUCAUGAAAUUGCCAACAACCCACCCUGAGAUAGAUAACAUUGUACAACAGUAAAAAGUUCAAUCAUGUAGCCCAAUUUCGUGAACCCAUGGCAAAUGUGAAAGCCUUUUAAUCACGGUAACCCGAAAAGGCAAUAGAAAAGGCUGCAUGAUCAUCUCAUAUCUCUUGUAGAGUUGAGACUCAUCAUGCUCAAAAAUCUUUUCCUCUGAAGGGACUGUCAUUUUGUGGUUAGUGAUUGUGAGGAGAAUACUUUUAUUAUUGACUUAUCUACUUUUGAAUUCCUCAUUGAUUAAAAUUUGAUUAGGAGUUUUGGCUUUUGACUGCAGUUAUAGGCUCUAAACACUAACAUCUCUCUAAAACAAUCAGCUAUAUGCAUGGUCUCAUCACUCCAACUUCUCUAGCAUCCAAAAACUCUAGAAUCGGGAAUGUGCCCUUAGCUUUGUCCUUAUUGGCCAAAAUAAGCCAUUCCUGCCGCACUUCAAUUUGUAAGUUCUAAUAGAAAGCAAUUUUCACCAUUCUCAACUCAAAAGAUUGCCUUUACCUUUUGAUAAUGAUGGAAUUUAUGUUGUACAUGUAGGAUGACAUGCAAAUGAAAGCAAAAUUUCUUAGGUCUGGUGCAGCUCAUUGGCAUCUGCAUGGGUAAAUAUCCUAAUCAUGAAAUUUUGUGUUUAAUGAAAGCAAAAUUGUUGCAUUUAGUGGACCAUUCUUUUUUACUUUUGGUAUAUGUGAUUCCAAUUUCUAGUCUAACAGUUUUUGUUAACACCUUUUGCACUAUUCUCAAAAGGUUUUGAGGUCAUGCAUUACAUAUAAAGACUCAUCAGUUAAAAAAAAACACAAAACUAAUUUUAAUUCUCUUCUUUUUGUUUUGUUUUUGAGAUGAUGUGAGUUUUUCCCCCAUUGGUUUGGUAUGGGCAAGUGGUGUUAAUAGGAAUCUGAGGGCCUCAAGGAGUUAGAGAACAUUAUCAAUCAAGUAUUCAACAAAUGUUGAGAGAAAUAAAAUUAGACAAUGGUGAGAAGAAGAAAUUUCAAAUCCAGGGUGAGCCUUGGUUUUUUGCUUUCCAUGUUUCAAAUUAAGCUUUUAAUAUGUGAUCUCGGUCUUUUAGUUUUGCCCAGUGCUUAUAUUUUUUUAUGAUCUAAAUUGAGCCUUCACUUCUACCAUGUCUCAAUUGGUGCUUGCAUUUCUAAGUGUCAAGUGUCAUUCUUUUGGAGGUUAUUCAAUUUUCAGACUAUGACAAGAUAAAAUCUCAAUGCAAUCCUAAUUACACGUUUUUCUUUCUAGAAUCAUUUGAACUUAGUAAUAAUUCAACCUAUGUUUUGAAUUUCAGGAUAUGAGACUUGUUUCAUCUGAAAAAGAAUGUAGGUAGAACCCAAGUGAAUCCCACCAUUUGAAAACUUAUGCAUCAAUGGUUACUGCUCUUGCCCACCCAGAUUUGGAUUUGAAAGACGAAAAUACAAUGCAUCAAUGGUUCAGUUGGGAAAACAAUUUUCAUACAUGGAGAGAGAGCAGAAGAGGAUUCUUGCAAGUAGCCAAGCGAUUCCUUACGUACAAUUUUAUUAAUUGCCUUAAAUGCAUUGUACCUUAUGGAGAGAGAGCAUUGGCCUAUCGCCAAAAUUUUGAAAAAAUCGAUGGUUUUUUUACAGUCUUCCUCUGUUGCUCCGUGUGUCACUCUAUGCUCGAUUUUUUCAUCGAUUUUUCACCUCCAAAUUGAUAUAUCAUCGAUAUUUCGCUGAUAUUACUGAAAUUUUUUCGAAAUUCUCAUCGAUUGAUAAUUGGUGCCUAAUAUUAUGUCGGGCACCAUUGAUAUUUGAUAUAUCAACGAUAUUUUGCUGAAAAAUAUGAAAUUUUAAUCUUUGCCUAUAGGCAAGUGUUUCCUCCAUCCCACUCAACUAUAUAUCAAAACAAUCAAAACAUAUUUACUAGGCAAAACCUCAAUAUAUAUAUAUAUAUAUAUAUAAUAAAAAAAUUAAAAAAAAAAAAAAAAACCAGAAAGCAUUGGCCUUAAGUUAGUGAUUAUGCCUAAAAGAUUAAUGUCAAAUUAUCUUCACCAAUAAAUACAAUAUUCUUACUACAUUUUUUCAAACGAUUCUCUAUGGCCAAAAUCUAAAUAAAUAAAAUAAAAAUAAUAUAUUAUAUGUGCCUUUUAUAUGUAGUAUAUUGGUUUUGCUCAUGCAUGUAGUAUAAUUAUUUUGUAAAUAAAAUAAUUUUUGAAAAAAGAAAUAAUAGUAAUAAUAAUGAUAAAGUGAAUAAUUGAAAAAAAAAUUAAAAGAUAGACUUUAUCUUCUUUUUGCUUUUGCCCUAUUCCUUUUUUUUCCUUUCUAGCAACACUACUGCAACAUUACCAUUUUUCAAACCAAUAAGCAUCCACUAAGCAACACUCUAUUCUCUGUCUCUGUCUCUCUGUCUCUGUCUCUCUCUCUCUCUCUCUCUCUCUCUUUUCCAUUGCAAUCGUGGACCAUGCAGCACCUAUUUUUUGGCAGCUGUAACACCUUCACGUUUUUUCAACCAUGGAGAGCUUUUUACUUUAUUCAAAUAUGAUUAACCUUUUAUUUUAUUUUAUUUUCAAUUAAAACAAUCCAUUUUUUAUUUUUUUUAAAAACAUAAAAAUGAUGGAGAAAAGGAUAAAACAUAAAUUUGAAAUCUUUACCAUCAAAAUUUUUCAAACAAAAAAUAAAGUGCAACCUUCAAAGCUUCUAAGAACAAAGUGAAUGAGUCUGAAGAUAGUUUUUUUAUGUUUGUGCUUUUGAUACCAUGGAUAUCCACAUUUGCACAUGCAUUUUAAAAGAAAUCCAUAACUCUCUACUUGCAUUGAAUCGACUAAUUUUUAUUUUUUUUUAAUAGUAGUCAUUUAUUGUCAUGCCUUAUGAUUGUUGUGUAUAUUUAUAUCCUUAUUCUCUUUAGAUAUUGAUUAUAUAUUAUAGCAUUUGAUUAUAUGCUUUAGAUAUCCAACAAAAAAAAAUCGUAGAAAUCAUUGAAGUUCUCUCAACUUGAUAUUAGAUAUUGAUUUAGGGUUUAAAUGGGUGUUAUAACUUAUGUCAUACUGUAGACCCCCAUUUUGGGGUGUAUUUUUGCAGAUCAUUUUUGCCAGGUGGAAGGCUCUUGGAAGACCACAUGUUGCCCUAAGAUUGGUCAUUGGGGAAUUGAUUCGUCCCCAAUUGGUGUACUCUUGAUUCAGUCCUUAGACGGGAGUUAUCAACAAAAUUUAUAAACCUAAUUCACCAUAUACUAGGGUAGCAUAGCUAGCAUAGCAUAGUGGUUCUAGGAUCGUCCACAGGGAUGUGUUUUCAUUUCACACAUGAUAUUAGUUUAAAGAAUUGGAUUGGUGUUUUUUCUUUUAUGAGUUAGCUUUAAAAGAAAACAUAAUCUUUGGUUGAAAAAUGUUGGUUUUAAGCUAACCAAAAAAAUAGUAACUGAUAUUAAUUAUAAAGAAAAGGUUUCUUGGAGUUUCAGGUCACUAGGCUCAGGUUCCUUAUACAAAAGGGGAUAUUCCAGAUCUUUUCCUUGCAUUAGGGAUUUAACCUACAGUUAUCCUCCCAACUGGUGUGUUACAGUUGCUUCCCAUUAAUGGUUUCAACGCUAAAUCCCUCUCACUGAUGCAUCUUGCAAUGGCUCGUACCUCUCACCUAGCAUUUGCCAUUUAGGGUGAUCCUUAACCUUGAAUUACCCUUCAAAAGCUUGUUGGAGAUAAUUAAUGGAUGUCUCCAGGGAGUCCAAAAGCUUACCAAGUGUUGGCUAUUCUAGAUAAUCCUACCUUUAAACCACUUCCCAGAGGCUCGCAAGAGAUAACUAAUGGAUCUCUGUGGAUUGAGUCCGAAAAGCUUACCAAGUGUUGGCCCGGGUGAUUAUAAGGGAUUUCAAGUUAACUAAAAAUAUAAAAACCAUUACCGGAUCACAACUUCCUCUUCAUUAAAAAUUGAAACAAUGAAAACUCCCACUUUUGUAUCUGGGUCCCUUACCUAGCUUCCUUCAGUCCAAGAAACAAAAAGUCUAGCCACUCAUCCUCUGAGAAAACAUCCUCAAAGAUUGUUUGGCUAGAAAGAAAAUACAAUCAAAGUGAGUAGGUAAGGCGGAGCAAAGCUCUAUAUGUUUCUUACUAAAAAAUGUACAAGUGAUCCCCAAGAAUGUUUUCCGAGAUUCUGAGAUAGAUAUUACAAAAAUAGAUAUGUUAAGAUAUAUAUAGAAAGAUAUUUUUAACCCCUCAAUUAGAUAUCCUAAAUAUCUAAAAAGAUCUUUAGCUGAUUACAAUGAGAGAAUAGAUAAUUACACAAAAUAUCUUGAGGUAAAAAUCUAACUGAGUUGGUGCGCAAAUAUCUGAAGAUUACAUGAAGAUUUCACAAGUUAGAUAUGGAGUUGCGAAAAUUUCGCAAGGUUGAAAAGGAGUUGUGAAAUUUUUGCAAUGUUGAAAAGGAAUUGCGAAAAUUUCUUUUGGCUUGCAAAAAUUUCACAAAUGGUGAAAAGAGGUUGCAAAAUUCUUUAGUGUUAGAUUUCUUCUCUGAUUCUCUUCCUUGCAUACUUGAUUGAUUUGGCAAAGGCUUCGAAGCUCUCCAAAACUUGAAUUUUUCAUGUAAUUUAGCUUCAAUCUUGCUUUGCCAUGGAUUAUACCAAGUUCUCCCUCAUUCUUGGCUUGUUUUAAUGAUAAAAAAAGCUAUCAAAAACAUCAAAACUUGCCAAAAAUUGAUUAGUAACACUUGUAAGGGUCCAUAAUGUGCCAAUUAGGUUAAAAGGUAAUAAAUACUACUCAAAAGUGUUUAAAAGAGUUUAUAAGAAGCUACAAAAGAGCACUUUUUAAGUAGUAAUCACUCCCUCCAACCAACAUAUUACUAGUCCCUUAGCAAUGAAUGAGAGAAAAACAAAAAUAAGAUAGUAAAAUAAUUUACAAGUUCAUGCUGAUCACUCCAAAAAAUCAUAAGUGGCAUGAUUGUAAAGCAUAUUCUCACAUGAAAUAUUAAAGAAGCGAAACUCAUCCUUUAACAAGAGGAUAUCAAAAAUCUUACCUGAUCAUAAUUCAUACACAGUAGGUAUUAUGCAAAUUUAAGUAAUGAGAGGAUUUUCACUUUCCUAGGCUCAAUCAUUACUUUUCCACAAAAAUCUGUGUUAAGCUUAUUAGUUUCCGAAUAUAGUACUCUGAACUAAUCUCUCCCCCCAACCUAGUUCUUUCUCAGACUUUAGCAAACUGACCACUUCCAAUAAGCUAAGAAUGCACCUCUUUUAUUUCACAAUUGUUUUUCUUGUAGGUGUGAGGUAUUGUUUUCUAAAGUGUCCAUGUAACGGGAAUCCAUCGAUGACUCCCAACCAAUCAAGGUUUAGGGCAUCAAGCUUUAAGGAUAUUUUGACCACUAACUCCUCAGAUUUUUACCCCGGACUUUUGAAAUUGAAAUUGAUUACUACCCAAAAAGUGCUAUUUUACACCUUUAAUGCAUUAUGUUUUAAGCACUUUUGUGUAGUAGUUCUCCAUCUUUAGUCCAAUUGGCAUGUUAAGGACCUAUCAAUGUCUUCUAAUCAUAUUUGUGGCUAGUUUUAGUGUUUUGACAGCUUUUUGGAUCAUUAAGACAAGCCAAGCAAAGGAGAGAAGCAAAGAGAAGCAAAGUGAAAAAAUCAGAGGACAACAGCUUCAGUCUUCUUUCAUACUUUUGGACGCACUUCCCGAAGUUCAUUUUNNNNNNNNNNNNNNNNNNNNNNNNNNNNNNNNNNNNNNNNNNNNNNNNNNNNNNNNNNNNNNNNNNNNNNNNNNNNNNNNNNNNNNNNNNNNNNNNNNNNUUUCCUCUGUUUUGCCCGACUCCACUUUAGAUAUUUUCUUAUGUAUUUUUUGAUGUAAUUUUCUUUCUUAUCCUUGUAACUAACCAAUCACAAGCUUUUGCUUUUGUAAAGACUAUAUAAGGGGUGGAAAUCACCUUUUUGAAUAUAUGUGAUAUGUGUUACGUUUAACACUUAGAAAAAUAUACAGAGCUCUCUCGUUUCUCUUUUCUCUUUACUAUUUUAUUUUUCUUGGAAGCCAAACAACCUCUGAGGAUGUUUUCCCGGAGGAUGAGAGGCUAAACUUUUGGUUUCUUGGAGUGAAGGAAGCUAGGUGAAAAGUCCAGAUGAAAAGGUGGAAAGCUUUCGUGCAUUAAAUUCAGGUAGUUGGAGUUCAUAAAUGGCUUCUAAAUCCAAAGUUUUGCUUUAAAUCCCUUAGAAUCACUUUGAAUGGCCAAUACAUGGUAAGCUUCAGGUCUCUAUGGAUGCUUAUUACUAGAUCCAUAUCAGUCUAUUAGUUAUCAUGUACGAGCCAUUGGAAAGUGAUUCAAGGUGAAGACCCAUAGUGUCUAAAGCCAUUAAUGGACCUUGACUACCAUUCCUAUUGACUUUUUAUGGAUUAAAUCUUCAUUGUCAAACCUAUAUCGGUUCGGGAAAUAACUAUAGGUUAAAUCCCCAAUGCGAGGAGAAAAAUCCAAAAUUUUCCACUUUGCAUUCUGAACUUGAUCCUAGCAACCCUUAGCUCUGAGAGACUUUCUUUCUUCUAUUUUCACUUAGUUUAUAUUAGUUUAGUUUCAAACACUUUCAAAACAAAUUUUAUUUUCUUUUAAACUUUAAGUUUUUUUAUAAAGAAAAUCAUUAAAUUCAAUUUCUAACCUUGAGUAUAUCACUGGUAGAAUGAAAACCCAUCCCAGAGUUCGACCCUAGAGCCACUAUACUAUAGUAGCUUUGCUACGCUAGUAUGAGGUCAUAGGUUUUAUAAAUGUUUUUGAUUAAAUGACCCAACUGGAGUUUCACGCGAAUCAAAAUGGCGUCGUUGCCGGGGAUGGUGCCACAAUACAGUGAUACAACCUUUUAAAGGCUACUUGUGAUUUUCAUCACAAGUUUGGUGAAUUCCUUUUUCACUAACUUCAUUUCCUUUCAUUUUCCUUUUGUUAAGUUUAUUUUCGUUUUCUUUCUAACCUUAACUUUUUUCUAGUUUUCUUUUGUUUUGGUUGUUUUUGUUUUAUUUCAGGUAAGUUGUAACUUGUGUAUGCCCUAUUGGAUUCGGGACCAAGAGGGAAGAUUAGUAAGGAUUGAGAAUCCUCAAGACACAGAGUUGGAUAUCUGUGUAAACAUCAUGGACCCUCCACAAGAGGAUCAGAAUUCUCAACACGGUCAAGGGGGUAAUCCAAAUGCAUAUCUAUCCAUGAGGGAUAGAAUACACCCACCAAGGAUGAGUGCACCCUCAUGCAUCGUACCUUCUCUUGAGCAGCUGGUUAUAAGGCCCCAUAUUGUGCCCCUUCUACCAAAUUUCCAUGGAAUGGAAAGUGAGAAUCCAUAUGCCCACAUCAAGGAGUUUGAGGAGGUUUGCAAUACCUUUAGAGAGGGAGGAGCUUCAAUAGACUUGAUGAGAAUCAAGCUAUUCCCUUUUACUUUGAAGGAUAAGGCAAAAAUAUGGCUUAAUUCUUUAAGGCCAAGGAGCAUAAGGAAUUGGGUUGAUCUUCAAGCCGAAUUUUUGAAGAAAUUUUUCCCCACCCAUAGGACCAAUGGGUUGAAGAGACAAAUCUCAAAUUUUUCUACAAAAGAAAAUGAGAAGUUCCAUGAAUGUUGGGAAAGGUAUAUGGAGGCCAUCAAUGCUUGCCCUCAUCAUGGCUUUGAUACAUGGCUCUUGGUGAGCUAUUUUUAUGAUGGGAUGUCUUCCACCAUGAAGCAAAUUCAUGAAACCAUGUGUGGGGGAGAUUUUAUGAGCAAGAAUCCGGAAGAAGCCAUGGACUUUUUAAGUUAUGUGUCUGAGGUGUCAAGAGGAUGGGAUGAGCCCAACUCAAGAGAGAAAGGAAAGUUUCCCUCUCAACCAACCCAAAAUCCAAAGGGUGGAAUGUACGUGUUAAGUGAAGACAUGGACAUGAAGGCUAAGGUGGCAACAAUAGCAAGGAGGUUGGAAGAACUUGAGUUGAAAAAGAUGCAUGAAGUCCAAGCCAUUUCCGAGACACAAGCCCAUGUCAUGCCAUGCACCAUUUGCCAAUCAUGUGAUCAUGUGGUAGAUGAGCGCCCAACCAUGCCAGCUGUGAGGGAGAUGUUAGGUGAUCAAGCCAAUGUUGUGGGGCAAUUUAGGCCUAACAACAAUGCACCUUAUGGAAACACCUAUAAUUCAAGCUGGAGAAACCAUCCAAAUUUUUCUUGGAAACCAAGACCACCUCCAUACCAACCAGCCCAAACCCAAGCACCUCAACAAACCUCUUCAGUGGAGCAAGCCAUUGCGAACCUAAGUAAAGUCAUGGGUGACUUUGUGGGUGAACAAAAGGCAAUCAACUCCCAAUUGCAUUAAAAGAUUGAAAAUGUUGAGAGUUCUCAAAUUAAGAGAAUGGAGGGGAUGCAAAAUGAUCUAUCUCAGAAGAUAGAUAAUAUUCAAUACUCCAUCUCUAGGCUUACCAACCUCAACACAGUGAAUGAGAAGGGAAAGUUUCCCUCUCAACCAAGCCAAAAUCCCAAGGGUGUUCAUGAAGUUGAAACUCAAGAGCGGGAGUCUUCAAAGUUGAGGGAGGUUAAAGCUGUGAUCACUUUGAGGAGUGAAAAGGAGGUUGAUCAAUCCUUGCCUAAGGUGAGGCAAGAUGAAGAACUCGUGUCAAAGAAAACCUUGGUUAAAGAGAGUAAUAACCAAGAAGAGAAGAGUGGGAAGAAAAGUGCAUCCAAAUCAAGCAUUGAAGAAGAACCAAGGAUAGUGAUUAAAGAGGAUAUGAUGAAGAAACAUAUGCCUCCCCCUUUUCCUCAAGCUUUACAUGGAAAGAAGGAAAUCAAGAAUUCAUCAGAAAUUCUUGAAGUUUUGAGACAAGUGAAGGUGAAUAUACCCUUACUUGAUAUGAUCAAACAAGUCCCCACAUAUGCAAAGUUUCUAAAGGACUUGUGCACGGUCAAGAGAGGGUUACAUGUGACAAAGAAUGCAUUCCUCACUGAGCAAGUAAGUGCUAUCAUUCAGAGUAAGUCCCCAGUUAAGUAUAAAGAUCCGGGAUGUCCCACCAUUUCAGUCAACAUUGGAGGGACACAUGUGGAGAAAGCUUUACUAGACUUGGGGGCAAGUGUGAAUUUGCUCCCAUACUCUGCGUACAAGCAACUGGGACUUGGUGGAUUGAAGCCCACAACCAUCACUCUCUCUUUAGCUGACAGGUCAGUCAAAAUCCCAAGGGGGGUGAUAGAGGAUGUUCUAGUUCAAGUGGACAAAUUCUACUAUCCUGUGGAUUUUGUGGUGCUUGAUAUUGAUCCCACUGUUAAGGAAGCAAACUAUGUACCAAUCAUCAUUGGGAGACCUUUCCUAGCUACCUCCAAUGCCAUCAUCAAUUGUAGAAAUGGGGUGAUGCAGCUCACAUUUGGGAAAAUGACCUUGGAAUUAAAUAUAUUCCACCUAUGCAAGAGGCAUCUUCACCCAGAAGAUGAGGAAGGAUUGGAGGAGGUGUGCUUGAUCAACACCUUAGUUGAAGAGCAUUAUGACAAGAAUUUACAAGAGAGCUUGAAUAAAAGCCUUGAAAUGUUUAAAGAAGGGUUACCUGAACCCUCUGAUGUUCUAGCCAUCAUGUCUCCUUGGAGGAGACGGGAAGAGAUCUUACCACUAUUCAAUAAGGAGGACUCACAAGGAGCAGCUGUGGAGGACCCUCCAAAGCUUGUUUUGAAGCCGCUUCCUGUUGAUUUGAAAUAUGCAUAUUUGGAGGAAGAUGAGAAAUGUCCAGUGGUGGUUUCUUCAACUCUUACUAGUGAUCAAGAGGAUAGUCUUUUGGGAGUCCUCAGGAAAUGCAAGAAAACCAUUGGAUGGCAAAUUUCUGAUCUGAAAGGGAUUAGCCCUUUGGUGUGCACCCACCAUAUCUAUAUGGAGGAAGAUGCCAAACCAGUGAGGCAGCCCCAGAGGAGGUUGAAUCCUCACAUGCAAGAGGUGGUGAGGGGUGAAGUUCUGAAGCUACUCCAAGCUGGGAUCAUAUAUCCCAUUUCAGACAGCUUGUGGGUGAGCCCCACCCAAGUAGUCCCAAAGAAAUCUGGAAUUACUGUGGUCCAGAAUGAGAAAGGGGAGGAAGUCUCUACACGUCCUACCUCAGGAUGGAGGGUGUGUAUAGACUACAGGAGGUUGAAUUCAGUGACUAGGAAGGACCAUUUCCCAUUGCCUUUCAUGGACCAAGUCCUUGAGAGAGUCUCAAGACAUCCUUUCUACUGUUUUUUGGAUGGUUACUCGGGGUACUUCCAAAUAGAGAUUGAUUUGGAAGAUCAAGAAAAGACAACCUUCACUUGCCCCUUUGGUACUUUUGCGUAUAGGAGAAUGCCCUUUGGUCUAUGUAAUGCUCCUGCAACUUUCCAAAGAUGUAUGCUGAGCAUCUUCAAUGAUAUGGUGGAGCGCAUCAUGGAAGUCUUCAUGGAUGACAUCACUAUAUAUGGAAGUUCUUAUGAGGAGUGUUUGUUGCAUUUAGAAGCUGUUCUCCACAGAUGUAUUGAGAAAGACCUAGUGCCAAAUUGGGAGAAGUGCCAUUUUAUGGUACAACAAGGAAUUGUCUUAGGACAUAUCAUCUCCAAGAAUGACAUUGAGGUAGAUAAGGCAAAGGUGGAGCUAAUUGUUAAGUUGCCACCUUCCACAAAUGUUAAAGGAAUUAGGUAAUUCCUAGGACAUGUUGGGUUCUAUAGGAGGUUCAUUAAGGAUUUAUCAAAAAUCUCAAAGCCUCUUUGUGAACUCUUGGUAAAGGAUGCCAAGUUUGUGUGGGAUGCGAAGUGUCAGAAGAGUUUUGAGGAACUGAAGCAAUUCCUCACAACUGCACCAAUAGUGAGAGCCCCAAAUUGGAAAUUACCUUUUGAGGUAAUGUGUGAUGCAAGUGAUCUUGCUAUGGGGGCUGUCUUGGGGCAAAGAGAAGAUGGAAAGCCCUAUGUGAUUUAUUAUGCGAGCAAAACUUUGAACAAGGCUCAAAGAAACUACACAACUACUGAGAAGGAGUUGUUGGCAGUAGUUUUUGCCUUGGAUAAGUUUUGUGCCUAUUUGGUAGGGUCCUCUAUAGUGGUGUUCACUGACCAUUCCACUUUGAAGUACUUGCUAACCAAGCAAGAUGCCAAGGCAAGAUUGAUAAGAUGGAUCCUUUUGCUCCAAGAAUUCAAUCUCCAAAUCCGGGAUAAAAAGGGGGUAGAAAAUGUGGUAGCUGACCACUUGUCAAGACUUGUGAUAGCACAUGACUCACAUGGUCUACCUAUCAAUGAUGACUUCCCUGAGGAGUCUCUCAUGUCAAUAGAGGUAGCUCCAUGGUAUUCUCACAUUGCAAAUUUCUUGGUUUCUGGAGAAAUUCCGAGUGAGUGGAGUGCCCAAGACAAGAGGCAUUUCUUUGCUAAGAUCCAUGCCUAUUAUUGGGAGGAGCCUUUUCUCUUCAAAUAUUGUGCAGAUCAAAUCAUAAGGAAAUGUGUUCCUGAACAAGAGCAAUCAGGAAUUCUUUCCCAUUGCCAUGAUAGUGCAUGUGGAAGUCAUUUUGCCUCCGAGAAAAUAGCUAUGAAAGUGAUCCAAUCAGGUUUUUGGUGGCCCUCUCUUUUCAAGGAUGCCCACUCUAUGUGCAAGGGAUGUGAUCGGUGUCAAAGGCUUGGGAAGCUAACACGCCGAAAUAUGAUGCCCUUGAACCCCAUCUUGAUAGUGGAUGUUUUUUAUGUUUGGGGGAUAGACUUCAUGGGACCAUUUCCAAUGUCGUUUGGACAUUCCUACAUUUUGGUGGGAGUGGAUUAUGUCUCUAAGUGGGUAGAAGCAAUCCCAUGUAGGAGCAAUGAUCAUAAGGUGGUUCUUAAAUUCCUCAAGGAUAACAUCUUUGCAAGAUUUGGAGUGCCUAAGGCCAGUAUAAGUGAUGGAGGAACUCACUUUUGCAAUAAACCUUUUGAGACUCUUCUAGCCAAAUAUGGGGUUAAGCACAAGGUAGCUACACCUUAUCACCCUCAAACAAGUGGCUAAGUUGAGUUAGCCAACCAGGAGAUCAAGAAUAUAUUGAUGAAGGUGGUGAAUGUGAAUAGGAAGGAUUGGUCUACUAAGCUCCUGGAUUCCUUAUGGGCUUAUAGGACCGCUUACAAGACCAUUCUUGGAAUGUCUCCUUAUCGCCUUGUUUAUGGCAAAGCAUGUCAUCUUCCAGUGGAGGUUGAAUAUAAAGCAUGGUGGGCAAUCAAGAAGCUCAACAUGGAUUUGACAAGAGCCGGGUUGAAGAGAUGUUUGGAUUUGAAUGAAUUGAAGGAAAUGAGGAAUGAUGCUUACCUCAAUUCAAAAAUUGCAAAAGAGAGGUUGAAGAAAUAGCAUGAUCAGUUGGUAAAUCAAAAGAAUUUUGCCAAGGGACAAAGAGUCUUGCUUUAUGACUCUAAGCUUCAUCUUUUUCCGGGAAAAUUGAAAUCAAGGUAGACGGGUCCUUUCAUUGUUCAUGAUGUGCAACCAAAUGAAGUAGUGGAACUACUCAACUUCAAUAGCACUCGAACUUUCAAAGUGAAUGGGCAUCGUCUCAAGCCCUAUAUGGAAUCAUUUUCCCGAGACAAGGAGGAAUUCAUCCUCCUUGAUCCACCUCCAACAUGAAAAUACUUGGUUUAUGGUUGAACUUAGUCUCUUCAAAGACUAAAGAGUUCAUCCUCUUUUUGUUUUCUUUUAAGUUGAUUCUAGUUUAAUUUAGUGUUUUUCCAUGUUUUGAUUUUUAUUUUUGACUUUAAGGUCGUUCUAAUGUGUUUUGAAUUGGUUUUUUGUGUUAACAUUCAGGUAGGAAAGCUUGAAGAAUGAAGGCAUGGUGAAAACAAAGGGAAAACAGGGGAGAAAAAAACCAAACUCAGUAAUUUUCGCACAACACUUCCUGUUGUGCGAAAUUUUCACACAACACAUUCCUUGUGCGAAAACGCUUUUGUGCCAAUUUCCAAAAAACAUGCUCUCGGUCCCUUCCCAAAAUCCCUUGUGCGAAUUUCACAGGAAUGCGAACCUUGUGCGAACCUUGUGCGAACCUUGUGCGAAUUCAUUUUUGGGACAAAUUUUCAAAACCAUGCUCUCUGUCUUGGUACUCCACAGGAAUGCGAAAUUUUCGCACAACACAAGGUGUCGUGCAAAAUUUGCACUUCCUCUUUAAAGGUCGUGUUCUCCUCUUCCAAUGCUCAAUUUCUUCUUCAUUUCUCUCAACACCUCUCUUCCGAUCACCCAAUCCCUUCCUUAAGCCCUUUUUCUUCAUCAUUCCCCACUCUCAGCACCACCAUGGCGGCCCAUCUCCAUAACUCCACUCCAUAGCCGCGGCAUUCACUNNNNNNNNNNNNNNNNNNNNNNNNNNNNNNNNNNNNNNNNNNNNNNNNNNNNNNNNNNNNNNNNNNNNNNNNNNNNNNNNNNNNNNNNNNNNNNNNNNNNNNNNNNNNNNNNNNNNNNNNNNNNNNNNNNNNNNNNNNNNNNNNNNNNNNNNNNNNNNNNNNNNNNNNNNNNNNNNNNNNNNNNNNNNNNNNNNNNNNNNNNNNNNNNNNNNNNNNNNNNNNNNNNNNNNNNNNNNNNNNNNNNNNNNNNNNNNNNNNNNNNNNNNNNNNNNNNNNNNNNNNNNNNNNNNNNNNNNNNNNNNNNNNNNNNNNNNNNNNNNNNNNNNNNNNNNNNNNNNNNNNNNNNCGCGGCAUUCACUAUUCAUCACCGCCCACUCCUUCAAUUUUCAUCUCCUUCCACCAUAAAAAACCUUCCAAUUCUUCACUCAACACUCUAAAUCCAUUCCUCAACCAAUCCCAACCUUGCAUUUACCAAACCAAAGCCUCAAGCUAAGGAUUCAAGCCACGUUUUCUUCAAAGGAAACCCAUUGCCGCCGGGUAGAGGAGCUCCAAAUUUCAAAUUCUCUUCGUAAAAAAGCUCCAAUUUCCAAGCCUAACCACCAUGAAAAAUCUUUUUCCUACCUUAGCCAGCAUUUCCCACCCUCAAAAGCCAAAAAUUUUCACCAUUUGAACGAGCUUCAAAAUUGCAAAAGGGCGGGUGAAUAGUGCUUGUGCGAAAUUUUCGCACAACACCUAGUGUUGUGUGAAAUUCGCACAACACCCCCCUUGUGCGAAAAAUUCGCACAACACCCCCCCUUGUGCAAAUUUUUAGUUUCUCCAUCCGUACCCUCCCCAAUCCCAAGCCUCUAAGCCUCAUUUCAUUGCUUCAUCAUGCCUAAGACCCGAGGAGGACAUACCUCAGCUCCCUAGAGCAGUGAGAGAGCCGCCCCUGUGCGGGCCCCACUAGAUGCGCCGCCACAUUUAGCUGAUUCUACCCCUCAGAGCAGAUACCAUACGAGGAGAGCAUCUGCCACGCCUGUGGCCCAUACUCAGAUUCCACCUCGGGGUCCUCCUACAAAGAAAGCCAAGACUUCAGAGCCAAGGGAAGUCCCUCCUGCUCCAUCCACUUCAGCUCCCUCGGAGCCUGUACCAGAGGCAGCAUCAUCUGAUGCCCCACUUGCUGUUCCUCCUACCUCAGAGCUGCCCAUCACUAUCCCUACUACAGAGUACCGUGACUUGCUCGCUUCUUUCCAGACUCUGACCACUACUNNNNNNNNNNNNNNNNNNNNNNNNNNNNNNNNNNNNNNNNNNNNNNNNNNNNNNNNNNNNNNNNNNNNNNNNNNNNNNNNNNNNNNNNNNNNNNNNNNNNCUUUCCAGACUCUGACCACUACUCAGACGGCCAUUAUGGAGCGGAUGGACCACUUCCAGCUUCAGUAGGACCAGCAGACUCUCAUUCUCCGUGAGAUUCAGCAGCACCUCGGUCUUUUGCCACCAGCUCCACCUGUAGAGAUGCCUUCCUCAGUUCCAGCAGAGGACCCCUCCUAUCCACCAGAGAAGCCUACUACUUGAUCAUAUGAUCACUCAUCUCUCUUUUUGUAUUUAUAUUCUACGUUUUUGGAUGUCUUAUAUAUUUUGGACCACUUUUAUACUGGGAUUGGAUAUAUUCCAUGUUUAUCUUGUAUAUUGUACUCUCUCUUAGUUUAUAUAGACAUCUUUUUUUUUUAAUGUAUUUUAGCUAUUCUUUUUUAUUCCCUCUAAUCAUCACUCUUAUGAUUUUUCUUUUCUUUUGCAACAUGUGGUUUCUCCUGUUCAUUCAGAGUCCCUUACUAUCAGGAGGUAUCACUUCCUCCCUUUUAUUAUCACUUGUUUUUAGAACAUUGGAGACAAUGUUCAUCUUAGUUGGGGGGAGAGUUGAGGAAGUAAUUUGUUGAAUUUUGGUUAAGUUAUAUUGCUAACAAAUUUUUUGCAAACUCUCCUUGUUUUCUUAAAGAUAAAUUCUUAAAAAUAAAUAGGAGAAAUUAAAUUCUUAUCUUAUUGCCAUAGUCUCAGAGUUUGUAUUAUGCUUAUUAAAGUUGUUAAAUUGUUGAAGCUCCUUUUGAUUUCAAUCUUAAUUCUUCCACUCUAAUCUUUUCACACACUGAACACAUUAGAUUCCAGUUAUAAGAUGGAAAACUUUCUCACCUCCUAAACUUAAGAAAUUUUCGACUUGGUACCAUUGACCUCAUUCUAUUAGUGUUGGGACACCUUAUAAAAGGCCAAUGUGUCUUAUGAAAUUUUUUUUUUUUGCUUCACUUGCUUUGAAACCCGAGCAAGGUCCGAGGGGUAUAUGGUGAAAAUCUUUAAAACCUGGUGCCCUAAGCCUUCAAUGGUUGGGAGUCACCGACCUCACUGCUCGUUACAUGGGGUGGAUGAGUGGAGUAUAUAUUUAAAAAAAAAAAAAAAGAGGUGUGUUCUUAGCUUUCUAUAUAUGAGUUAGUGUUGCUAAGUUAGAGAAAACCUUAGUUGGGGGGAGAAUAUAGUUUGAACCACUAUAACUGGAAACUAAGCAUCUUNNNNNNNNNNNNNNNNNNNNNNNNNNNNNNNNNNNNNNNNNNNNNNNNNNNNNNNNNNNNNNNNNNNNNNNNNNNNNNNNNNNNNNNNNNNNNNNNNNNNAGGGACUAGCAAUGUGUCAGUUGGGGGGAGUGAUUACUACCCAAAAAGUGUUAUUUUACACCUUUAAUGCAUUAUGUUUAAGCACUUUUGUGUAGUAGUUCUCCAUCUUUAGUCCAAUUGGCAUGUUAAGGACCUAGAAAUGUCUUCUAAUCAUAUUUGUGGCUAGUUUUAGUGUUUUUACAGCUUUUUGGAUCAUUAAGACAAGCCAAGCAAAGGAGAGAAGCAAAGAGAAGCAAAGUGAAAAAAUCAUAGGACAGUAGCUUCAGUCUUCUUUCGCACUUUUGGAGCACUUUCUGAAGUCCAUUUUCUACAUGCUAUAUACCAUUUCAAAGCUCAGGAAGUCAAGAAUCCAACGCUUCAAACCGUGUAUGAUUUGGAGCUGAAAUGAGGAAGAUAUGGCCUUUGGAAGACAACUGCUCCAGGCUUGUGCGAAAUUUUCGCACAACACCUUCAAAAUUCGCACAGCCCAUGCGUGGUGCGAAUUUUCCUCUGUUUUUGCCAACUCCACUUUAGAUAUUUUCCUAUGUAUUUUUUGAUGUAAUUUCCUUUCUUAUCCUUGUAACUAACCAAUCACAAGCUUUUGCUUUUGUAAAGACUAUAUAAGGGGUGGAAAUCACCUCUUUGAAUAUAUGUGAUAUGUGUUACGUUUAACACUUAGAAAAAUAUACAGAGCUCUCUCGUUUCUCUUUUCUCUUUACUAUUUUAUUUUUCUUGGAAGCCAAACAACCUCUGAGGAUAUUUUCCCGAAAGAUGAGAGCCUAAACUUUUGGUUUCUUGGAGUGAAGGAAGCCAGGUGAAAAGUCCAGAUGAAAAGGUGGAAAGCUUCCGUGCAUUAAAUUCAGGUAGUUGGAGUUCAUAAAUGGCUUCUAAAUCCAAAGUUUUGCUUUAAAUCCCUUAGAAUCACUUUGAAUGGCCAAUACAUGGUAAGCUUCAGGUCUCUAUGGAUGCUUAUUACUAGAUCCAUAUCAGUCCAUUAGUUAUCAUGAACGAGCCACUGGAAAGUGAUUCAAGGUGAAGACCCAUAGUGUCUAAAGCCAUUAAUGGACCUUGACUACCAUUCCUAUUGACUUUUUAUGGAUUAAAUCUUCAUUGUCAAACCUAUACCGGUUCAGGAAAUAACUAUAGGUUAAAUCCCCAAUGCGAGGAGAAAAAUCCGGAAUUUUCCACUUUGCAUUCUGAACUUGAUCCUAGCAACCCUUAGCUCCGGGAGACUUUCUUUCUUCCAUUUUCACUUAGUUUAUGUUAGUUUAGUUUCAAACACUUUCAAAACAAAUUUUUAUUUUCUUUUAAACUUUAAGUUUUUGAUAAAGGAAAUCAUUAAAUUCAAUUUCUAAUCUUGAGUAUAUCACUGGUAGAAUGAAAACUCAUCCAAGAGUUCGACCCUAGAGCCACUAUACUAUAGUAGCUUUGCUACGCUAGUAUGAGGUCAUAGGUUUUAUAAAUGUUUUUGAUUAAAUGACCCAAGUGGAGUUUCACGCGAAUCAGAAAUUUAAUACCUAAGCACCUACAAUAUGUUAAACUCCACCUAUUCACCCUUAUAACGAGCAUUGAGGUCGGUGACUCUCAACUAAUAAAGGCUUAGGGCACCGGUUUUUAAAGACUUUCGCCAUAUACCCCUCGGACCUUGCUCGACUUUCAAGGCAAGCGAAACACUUUAUUCUUUUUUUUUCAAAGGCUUAUUGGCCUUUUAUCAGGUGUCUCAACACUAUUAAAACGAGGUCAAAGGUACCAAGUCUAAAUUUUCCUAAGUUCAGGUGGUAAGAUAGUUUUUCAUCUUAUAAACGAAACCUAAUGUGCAUAGUGUGUGGUAAGAUUAAAGUGGAAGAAAUAAGGUUGAAAUCAAUAAGAGUUUCUAUAAUUCAUCAACUUCAAUAAACAUAAUACGACUCUAAUAUUCAAGUAAAAAGGUAAGAACUCAAUUUCUCCCAUUUCAUUUUGAUAAUUUUUCUUUAAUAACCAUGGAGAGUAUAGUAAAAACUUUUAAAAUUAAACAAUUUUUUUUUAAAUUAAGCAAAAGUACUUAAUUAACAAAAUAAUUUAGCAUUAUUAACAAUACUUCCUUCUUUUACUCUCUCCCCAACCAAGAUCAACAUUGCCCUCAAUGUGGCAAGAACGAUUGUAAAUAAAGGGAGAAAGUGGUACCUCCUAAGUGACAUGGAGUCUGAGUCGUAUAGGAAAAACCACAUGAUUCAAAAAACAAAAGAUUAAUGAGUAAACAAGCCACCCUGGACCCUGAUGGUAGGAACAAUGCAGAUCCAUCCUGAAGCGUAGUGGCACGGGUUGGGAUAUAGGUCUAAGAGCCAACUGAGUCAACAAACCACCCUUCAUGAGCUUUUGGAAAACUCGACUCAAAGGCAUACCUAGCUGGGAGAAAUGUCAUGUCUGUCUCUAUUAAAGAGGAAUAACAGUCUGUGGGGCUCGGGGUCGAGGGUAUAAAGUAGGAGGUCUCUUUGAAACCUGUGCAACAAAAACAAGAUCUAGGGUCUGGUGUAGGUAUGUAGGAGCCAUGGGCCUGAGUAGUCUAUAUUGAACAUUGCACUAUGGGUAAUAGGCUCCUGAAGUCUGCCCAAAUGUUUGAUAACGCCUGGGAGGUCUCAAUCCUGUUGAACUAAUAUUACCCACAUCUUCUGGUCUCUAUCAUCCUGAGGGCUUCUUUCUUUUUGAGUCAGGAGGGGAAGACUCGAGCCACAAUCCUCUAGCAAUGCCCUCCUCUAUACCAUAUAAAGCCUGUACCAAGGAUCCAAAAUCCAUAUGAGGAAAUCUCAUCAAAUGUCUGGCGAAUCUGAGCUGUAAACUCCUUAAAAUCACAUUAAUAUGGUCCCUCUUUGAAGGACGAUCAACAAUCUGAGUGAUUUUCUCCCUCCAUCGAGAGAUAAACAAAGUCACUGACUCCUCUAGUCCCUAUCUUAAGACCUCUAGCUCUCUCCUCGAGACGUCAAUGACAACAUUAAAUGCAAACUGUCUCAAAAACUCUUGGGCCAAAUCAUCGCAAUUCCUACGAUGUGAGGCAUUUAAGGAAGCAAACCAACGCUAUGCUGCACUACUCAACGACAAGGGGAAAAGCAUGAUCAAGUGGGCCUCAUCCAACCCAUGGGCCCUCAUCACACUACUGUAUAACCUCAAAUGAAUCUUAAGGCAACCUAUGCCCAUAUACCUCUCAAUAUCUGACAUCCUGAACUGGGCCAAUAAACUGGCCACUGGUGCUCCAUCAAAAUCAUCCCAAUUGAUAGCUCCAUUUGAAACCCUCAUCCGUCUCAUUCUCUACUCGAAUCUAUCCAUAUGAGCAUGUGCAUCCUCUAAGAUUGGAACGGGUGCUACGACAGGAAGUGGUGUAGCAUCAAUCUGACUAUGUAAAACAUACGAUGCAGGGUGUGGAACCGACUAAUUGAGUGGAGGAGGUGGUGAUGUUGUAGAGUCAUAUUGUGCACUAUCCCGAGGCGGGGCCUACUGCCCAUCUAUUCUCUGGGAGAGGCCGGCUAUAACCUCCUAAAUCAAAGCCAUGGUCGCGACAAACUGGGCAAUAGUGACUACCUGUGAGUCCAUAUCUCUCUGAUCUAGUCUUUAGUUUGGCUGAUCUGAUGCUCUAGUCAACCUGCCUCUAACUCUAGUCCAUGAAGGCGAAUUCAGAUUAGGCAUAAAAAUACUCCUAUAAACACAGAAACACUGGAUGAGACGCUAUACAGGAGUAGCUCUGUAGGAAUCGACUUAAAGGUAAUCAAGCAUACAACCCAUGUAUGCUGAAACUGAUACUCGUAUCUGAUCAUACCAGAAUGAGACUAUGGAGAGGGUAACCGAACCCAAUUGUAACCAAGGCAGCUCUGAAGGUCCAUAGAUGCACCCACGUGUGGGAAUGAAAUCUUAAUUAGGUUUAAGCUAACCUAAAAGGUUGAUGUGGCUCUAUAAGAUAAAAUCAGUGGGUUAAAGGAUCCCUAACAAAAGCGAUCGUACCCUCCGAUGAUACACAACCCUUUGCACACCUCCAAGGAGAGGGGAUGCUUCCAUGCAAGGUGGUCAUCACCUCCACACAUGCAUUUCCUCGCAUUCCCAGGGGGUUUCUUAAUGGUAAAGGCUCUCUUAUAUCUCAACACUCAAGGAAAAUCUAAAGUGCAAAGUGAAGGAUGUGGGUGCAUCAGAAAAACCUAAGAUCUAAAGUGGGAUAGUGAACAAAGACAAGAAAUCAUACAAUCAUGCAAAAGAAAGGGUUGUCAUACAAUAAGGAGUUAUUUGAAACAGAUAAGUUUCAUACAAUCAAGGUCCUAUCUAACAUAUGUGAAAGUGAAUCAUGCUGAAGUGAGCAAAGCAAUCAAGUGAUCCUUCAAGGCAAUCAAACAUGUUAGAUAGCAAACCAAGCAAGCAAACAAACUAAAUCGUCUUGUUUAAAAAAAGGAGGUACCCUCUAAUCGACUAAUUAAAUGCCACAUUUUCCUCAACUAAUGUUCAAGCUUGAUCCUCAAAAUCCCCAAUGGAGUCAGCAAUUUGUGGACCCGCAUUUUUCACGUGCACCCCUACUCUAUUGUGAGACUCGCUUUUAUUGGUGAAAAUUUGAUUUUGGAAAAGUUAGAGUCGCCACUUAUUUUAUUUUAUUUUAAAGGGAAAUUAAAAUAAGAAAUAAAACCCUAGAAAAAAAUAACUCCAUAGUUUUUGGAAAAGUGUGUCUUUGGAAAACCCGAGUCUAGGUCCAGGAAUCAGGUUACCUAUUGGGAAGGUAUCUCUAAAAGGUAGUACCCCUCUAACCCCUACAAAGGUCUCUACUAACUAAGUUGAGGGAAAUGUGGCAAUUAAUUGAUUAAUUGAGGAUACCUAGGUAGACUAAGGUGAUGUAAAAAAAAAUAGCAUGCCAAACAAGAUCAAAUCACAAUAAAGAAGAGUUAGGAUGCGUACCCGAACCACUUCUUAAGCGCUUUCAUAAAACAUCAGAGUUAGUAUAAAAAUAUAACACACGACAUGUAUUUAAUCAUAGCAAAUCAAGCACACAUCUAAGCACUUAAGGAUCAUAUCAAGCAUAAAUAAGGCUCACGACAACAUGCAUGUUCAUGGAAUUCUGAAAAGAAAUGAUAGAGAGCGUACCUUGAUAACAUGCAUAAUUUAUAAGAUUCCUCCAAAAAUGUUAGAAUGGUUAGGAAAAGUAUAAAUUAUAUAACAUCUCUAUUAUGUCUAAUAUACAGUACCAAAUCCAAAAGUGAACCAAGGUAAGUCAAAUGACUCCAAAAGCAGAUAACAAAUUCAAGCAAGUACUGAGUCAUCAACAUGCAUAUAGUAAAGAUAGCAUCACAAAACAAUUGCUAAAAAAAUGUCUUGGAGUGGAAUUUAAUCACAAAAAAUUUCAAGAAGCUACUCCUACGUAUCUAGAACAAGAUACCAAAAUCCAAACACUCAUUUGAAUGACAAAUUGCAGCAAAGACACCAAAAAGUUCCAAAAGGUCCAGAUUAGGUAAAAAAAAUAGUGACAUGCAUAAAUGAUUUUUUUUAAAAAAAUAAUAAGACAUCACAUAAAUCCGUACAAAAAAUCACAUACAUCGUUCAAGGUGUCUAUAUCAAAAGGAAAACAAAUUUAGGGUUGGGUAGUACUCUAAAAUAUUUUUAAAACGCUCCAACGUAAUUAGAUGUCCAGAUUCCAUCAUGCACAGUAGGUGUCUAAGAUCAAUUUCAAGAAGCCUAGAAUUGAGGAAAAAUAUUGGAUCAAAUUUAAAAAUCGUCUGGUAUUUUAAUUUUGCAAAAAGAUCUCGGGUGUCUAGAUCUGGGUGAAAACAAAGUCCCCUUAAAAACUCGUUUAUAUCUUUUAUUCCAGAAUGACUUUCUAACUCAAACGAAACUUUAAAUUUCAAGUUCAAGAAGUGAGGAAAGUCAUACAAGAUUUGGAAAUUUUUUUAAAAACAUUCCAAAGUUGCUAAAACAAAUUUUAAAUCUAAAGGGUCAGUGGCUGAGUGAAAACUGGUAGCAAGGAAGAGUUUUAAAAAAUUUUCUUAUGUAGGAAAUUCACCAAUUCCCCAAUUGGCAUACAAAAGUCUAGCCUAGAAUCAUCCCAUUUAUUUGGGACCACAAACUUUGAUUCGUGUUUUAUUCAAAACUAAAAUUUUCAUUGAAAACCGAGAAAGAUGCAAACUAAUCAAAAAAUGGUUGCAUAUUAUUUUAAGAAAAUGAGAUUUGGAUUAUAAGGACUCUAAAUGGAUUUUUUUUUUUUAAAUAGAUUUUUAUGAGGAACAUUUUGAGAAAUGUAUUUUAUUUUAUUUUAAAAUAAAAUAAUUUGAAAAAAAAACAGAACAUAAUAAAAAAAAAUACCAAGCAAAACAAAAGAAAAAACAAAAUCAUAAAAUGAUUAUUUUUUUACAACCGAGCAAACUAAAAUAGUAAGAAUGGAGGCCAAUCUUCACUAUUUUCUGAUGGCCUCCAAAAAGUAAAUUUUACCAGAGACUACUAAAGCAAUAAACUGUUCAAACUUAAAUCAAUUAAAUUAAUGACUAAUAUUCAAGGAACAUAUCAAUUAAGAGUAAUAAUCACGAAUUAACACGUGAUCGAUUAAACACACAAACGCAUCUAGAUUGAUUAAAAUAGACCAAAUUAAAUCAGGGCAAACAUGAAUUUUCAAUCAUAGAAUUAAUUUUAUUAGUGAGCUAAUAUUAUAGAAAAUACCUAACUGAAUAGAUGAGUGAAGUUAAACCAGCGUAAACUAAACACAAACACCUUCUAAAUGUGGAAUUGAUUUUAUUAAUAACUUAGAAUUAUAAAAAAAUACCUAAAAUAAUUAAAAUGAAUCAAAUGAAAUGAAAGCAAGCUAAAACAAAAUAUGAAUUCAUAGAAUCAGUUUCCUAAAUAAAUUUACAUUAUUAAAUUGAAAUCUAAGCUCAAAAUGAAUUAAACACUAAUUACGACAAAUUUAAGAAUCAAAUAUUUAACAAAUAAGAUCAAUUAUUUCAACAAACUAAAAUUUUACUUUAACCAAAAAUUAAAUUAUAAAACUACCCAAAACAAAUUUUAUAACUAAAUUUCUAACCUAUAAAAUCAAACUCAUUAACAAAUGGAUAAGUAGAUAACACAUAAAUGAAUAAAUAUGACUAAAACGAAAUAUGAACUCACGGAAUUAAUUUUUUUUAACUAAACUUACAUUACUAAAAUAAAAUUUAAGCUUAACAAACGUUUUUAACACUAAUUAAGGCAAGUCUAAAAUCUAAUAUUUAACACAUAAAAUCAAUCAUUUCAACAAACUAAAAUUUUACUUAAACCUAAAGCCGAUUCAAACUACCUACAACAUAUUUUUUUUAAAAAAAAUUGAAUUUUUAACCCAUAGGAUCAGUCUUAUUAAUAAAUAAGAAAUAAAUAAAUGAAUUACAAAUCAUUAAAUUAGUAGCAAAUAAAUACAUAAACAACUAAUAAUUAAAUGAAUCAAAACUAAAUUAAAUAAAGAUCAAACUAUAUUUUUUCUCAAAGUAAAACUACAUAAAAUUUUAUUUUCUGAAUUUAAUAUAAUAAAUCAAAACUAACCUUAAACACAAUUCUAAUCUUUAGUGUAAUAAAUCAAAAAUUAAACAAGAGUGAGAUUCAUGCUGCCAUGUUAAAACAAAUACAUGUUGGAGCUAACAAUAUAAGUUAAAUCACUCACCCAAUAUAAUAAUCACACUUGAAAAAUAAACCAAAACUUUAAAUUCUACUGAAAACCUAUAUAUAUAUAUAACUUACCUAGUCGGCUUACCAAAACAACUUGGUGACGUGUAACUGUUUUCUCUUCUCCGAUGAUGCUCUAGAACAAUGGUGUACUGGUUGAUGGAGUUUUGGUUCUUCAGCCAAUACUAUUCUUCCCUAUCAGCAGAUAAAUAGUACAGAACUCGUCUCAAGGAACGGUAAGUAUAAAUUUAAGAACUCCAUGCAAUUGGUUUUCAACUAUUCUGAUAGCCAUUGGAAUACGGAUAUUGUGUUCCAGAAGUUGGAUGAACAUGGAAAUGUGUGGUAAGAGAAUGGAGAAAAGCAAAUUCUUUCGAAUCUUAGUGUGGCCUGGUUGCAUAGAUCGACCCUUGACGAUGAUGGGAAUUUGAGAGUUUACCAUUUUCAGGAAGGCAUGGAUGGGUGGGCUGUUGUUCGACUGGUUCUCGGUUUUCGAUCAAAUGAAGAUUCAGAAUACUAAUGCGACAGGAAAAUUCAGAUGACACAAACACCAACUCCAGCUUGACUACGUCAACUUCAGCGACAGGGUCGACCAAAACAAUCUGGGUGUUCAGGUUGUUACCAUCGGUGAGUCCAAAUGUCGCAUUCCUUCUUUUGCUUCGAAAUCCUCCCGUUCUUCCCUCUCUUCUGAUGCGUGCUGAAAGUGUAUCAAGAAUGGUGCGGCUGGUUUAUGGUUCCCUUCCCAAAGACGUCAAUUUCUCUAAAAAUAAAAAAUCCAACCUUCAUCCAUGAAUCCACCCUCCAACCUUUUUUCGAUGAUUUCCUCCAUAAAGUUGGAGAUCUCUUCUUUACUCUUUGUGUAUGGCAGUCUCUCCCUCUCCUCUCCAGAAUGCUGGAUCCUGUUCCACGUGCUCUUUCUUCUUCUUCUUUUUUUCUUUAUUUUAAUCUCUUCUCAAUCACCCCUCAGCUCCUCUCUCCAGCCACGGUAAUAGAAGGAACAGUAGAAACAAUCGUCCUUUCUCUUUUCAGAUCACCCUCAAUCUUUUUCAGUAAUCCAUCAGACCUCCCCUUAAUAGUGCGUUUUUUUUCUUUUUUUCUUAAUCUUUUCUCCAUCACUUAGUCAGCUUCUCUACAACCACGGUGAUGGAAAAAACGGCAGAAAAAGGCUUUCUUCUCCUCUUCCAAUCACCCUCCAUCCCCUCCAAUUUUCUUUUUUUUUCUUUGCUUUUCCUUUUCUCUUUUCCUCUCUCUCCAAUCCACUGACUGCCUCCAUCUUUCCUUUCUAAUGGUGUUUUUCUUUUUUCUUUUACGGAACACGUGGGAUCCAUGCAAAACAAAUAAUAAAAAAAUUAAAAAUAAAAAUACCAAUAAAAGAAAACUAAGGGUUACAAUAAUAAUAAAAAAACGUGUAAUUAAGAAUUAAAAAUCCAAAAUAUGCAAUUUUAAACAAAAUUAAAAAAUAUAGAUCACAUGCAAAACUAAAAUGAAUUAUCCACUCAAGUAACUUUAUAUCAAAAUAAACUAAUAAAUAGAUAAAUAAAAACAAAAUGAAUAUGAUUAUUAAGCUCAUGCAAUUUCCUAAAAAUAAAUAAAUAAAUGAAUAAAACUAAUGAAUAGAGAAAGAUAAAAAUAAAAACAAAAAACAAAAAACAAAAUCAAGCAUAUGCAAGCCAUACGAGCUAUGCAACCAUGCAAGCCAUACGAGCUAUGCAACCAUGCAAGCCAUGCAAACCAUGCAUCCAUGCAAAAAAUGACCUAAGUGGGCCUAAGGUGCCUAAAUGGGCCUAUGGUGCAUAAGUGGGCAUAUGGUGCCUAAGUGGGCUUAAGGUGGUGCCUAACGAGCCAAGCGUGCAUAAAUGGGCGUAGGGUGUCUAAGUAGGCCUAGGGUGGUGCUUAAGAGGCCAAGUGUGACUAAAUGGACCUAGGGUGCCUAAAUGGGCCUAAUGUACCUAAAUGGGCCUAGUUGGUGCCUAAUGGGUCAUGUGUAUCUAAGUUGGCCUAAAGUGGUGCCUAAUGGGUCUAUGGUGCCUAAGCGGGCCUUAGGUGCCUAAGUAGGCCUAUAGUACCUAAUGGGCCUAAGGUGCCUAAGCGGGCCUAAGGUGCAUAAGUGGGCUUAUGGUGCAUAAGUGGGCCUAUGGUGCCUAAGUGGGCCUAAGUGGACCUAUGGUGCAUAAGUGAGCCUAAUGGUGCCUAAGUGGGUCUAAGGUGCUUAAGUGGGCCUAUGGUGCAUAAGUGGGCCUAUGGUGCAUAAGUGGGCCUAUGGUGCAUAAGUGGGCCUAUGGUGCCUAAAUGGGCUUAAGGUGCCUAAGUGGACUUAUGGCGCCUAAGUGAACCUAAUGGUGCAUAAGUGGGCUUAUGGUUCCCAAAUGGGCUUAAGUCUAAACUAGGGUUGCCAAGAGUCACAAUGGAGUUAAAUAAAUCCCUCAACCAAAGUCCCCAAGGUGGCUUAGAAAAGAUAGGCUACACAAGUAGUAAUGGGCCAUCAGGGAAUUGUUGUAAAAUAUGGAACAAAUACCUAAUAGGACAUGUGCUAAGAGGACAAAAUGGAGGGUUUACAGUAACAUGAUCUCACAUCAUUAGGAGAGUUGAGAAUUUCAUCAUGCUCAAAAAAAAAAUUCCUCUAAGGGAAUGGUUUAUCAUCCUUGCUGUCGCAUUUUGUACUUAGUGAUUGUGAGUGGAAUACUUUUAUUAUUGACUUAUCUAUUUUUUAAUUCCUCAUUGAUUAACAUUUGACUAGGAAAUUUGGCUUUAGACUGCAACUAUAGGCUCUGAAUGCUAACAUCUUACUAAAGGAUUCAUCUAUAUGCAUCCAAAAACUCUGGAAUCAUGGAAUGUGCUCUUAGCUUUGUCCUUAUUGGUUAAAGGAAGUAUUUCCUGCCAUACUUCAAUUGUAAGUUGUGAUAGAAAACAAUUUUCAAAAUACUGAUUUUACCUUUUGGUAAUGAUGGAAUUUAUGUUGUACAUGCAGAUGAAAGAAAAAUUUCUUACCUUUGGGGCAACUUAUUAGUAGGUGCAAAGGUAAAUAUCCUAAACAUGAAAUUUCUAUUUAAUGAAAGCGGAAUUUCUUACCUUUGGUGCUCCAUUCUUUUUUAAUUUUGGUACAUGUGAUUCUAAUUUCAUGUCUAAAAGUUUUUGUUAAUCACCUCUUGCACUAUUCUAAGAAGGUUUUGAGGUCAUGUAUUACAUAUAAAGUCUCAUCAAUUAAGAAAAAAAAAAAGAUGAUAUGAGUUUUCUCCCAUUUUCAUAUAGUAUGGGCGAGUGGUGUUACCAAAGGUUUGAGGUCCUUAAGGAGUUAGAAACUUUAUCAAUCAAAUCUUUAAUAAAUGAUAAGAGAAAUAAAAUUAGAUAGUAGAGAGAAGAAAAAACUUCAAAUCUAGAACAAGCCUUUGUUUUAUGAUUUCCAUGUUUCAAAUUGAGCUUUUAAUUUGGUAUCUCAAUCUUUAGUUCUACCUAGUGCUUAUUUUUUAUGAUCUAAAUAGUUGAGCUUUAAUGUUAUUCUACUGAAGAUAUGAGUCUUCACUUUUACCUUGUCUCAACAGUUCUUGCAUUUCUAAGCAUCAUGUGUCAUUCUUUUGAAGGUUAUUCAAUUUUCAGACUCCUACUUUACUCAAAUUUUCUUAUGGGAUUCAAUAAAUUGUCAUAAUUGUAGGAUAUGGGAUGGGAUUGAGAAAUAGGAACUGAUGUUAUCUACUCUUUGGAGAGAGUGUGGAUGAAUAAAAUGUGAUUCGAUUAUGUGUAAAAAUAUGUUUUAUAUGUAUUUUAUCUUUUGAUUGAGCUUUUGGGAUGUUUUCUUUUCAUAAUAAGGUUAAAGUUUCAAUAUUUUCUCUUGUAGUUCACACUUCAAAUGAAUAUUUGUAAGUUUGAUAUUGUUGUAAGCACUAGUCUUGUAGAUUCUUUUUUUUUUUUGAUGCUUGUGACAAUUUUUAUCUCAAGAAUAAAAUGAAUUCAUAUUAUUAUUCAUCACAUGUUCUUUCUUUGAAAUCAAAAUAGGGAUUCAUCUUGUGAAAUACUCUUGGGAGUGAAAAAAAACCCUUCUUGGGAGCCCUAGAAACUCUUGCAUUCUUGGAAUGAACUUAAAAUUUCAAUCUAUAAUGAGGUAAGAACAAAGGAUUUGUAUUAUUUAGUGGCUUGAUUUGGACAAUAUAUUGCCUGUGUGUAGACCCCCAUUUUGGGGAGACAUCUCUACAGCCCGAUUAUGACAAGUGUCAUCGUCUGGGAUGACCACGUGUCACUCCAGGACUGGUUGAUAGGGUAUCAAGUUAGUGGUUUUGAUGGCCAAUGGAAGCUUGACACGUGGAGAUUUCUUUCAGCAGAAAAAGCUGAAAAUCGUGAAGGUUGGCAGCUGCAGGGUAGUGGGGAAGAGGCUUGGCCGUUAGAGAUUUUUUGGAACUGAAAGAGAGAACGGGACAGUGAGAGAGAAAAGUUUUUUUGGGGGGAGUUUAGAGAGAUUCUAGAGGAGCAGGCUGGUUACUGAAGGACGAGAGAGAGAAAAACAGGGGGAUUAGAGGAGGAAGGGAGAGAGUUUGAGGGUGAGUUUCUGGCUUAGAGGAGAGGCUACCGGAGGAGAGAACGGGGAGCAGGCCAGCUGCAGAGUAGAGGUUUUUGGCUGCCGUUUUUCAGAGACCUUGAGAGUUGAGGGAGGGAAACUAAGAAAAACAGAACAUGUUUCUGGAGAGAGGGUGCUAAUUUUGCAGUGAGGCAGCUGCAUUGAGGAGAAGAGCAUGGAUCUGAGGAGAGGAAGAACAUACUAAGAAGAGGAAACUUUCAGGUUUGGUUACUCUGCUUUUUCUUUAUAUGUUCAUUCUUCAUCUUUUUAUAUAUAUAUAUAUAUAUAUUUCGUCCUCCAUGAUUUUCAUCUUGUUUAUUGGAUUGCCUUUGGUUUGGCGAUUAUGGCCUUGAUAUUUGAAAGAUUUUGAGGCACAUUAUUCCCUUUUCUGAUGAACUUUUCUUUCUCACCAUAAUAUAUUUGUUGUCGGGUCCAUGGAUAAAAUAUUGAAAUGGAUUCAACAUGUUGGUUAAAAGACUUGUUUUCAAUUCUUGUUGCUAUCCUCUCGAUCCUCUGUUUUUCCCUGCAUAUAUGCUCCCGGCUAUGAAAUUAUGAAAAACUGGAUUGAAGAUGGGUCUGGCAGUUCAUGGUCCGCAGGGUUGAUGAGACUAUUGCAGUAUAGAAUAGCAGUUUUAUGGGGGAUGAAUAAAAGCUUUGUGGAUGAAAUGAGAUAUAAAUCAAGGGAAACUGAAACAGACCUGGGUCUCUCUCUUCACUCUGUUUUUAUCCUCAGAUUUAGAGAAGUAUGGAGACUUAGCAACUAGCAGAUCUCAAUCUUAAGAAGGCAUCCCAACUUGGAGAAAUGGAGAGUGAAGGUGACCUGGGAAGAAGUCUGGAUCUAGUAUGCAUAUCUAAGCGUACUCCGAAUCGAUGUAGAGGAAAUAUUUCUUAAGGGAAGGCAUCUAAAAAUUGGUGAGAAAUACCGUCUGGGUUUAUUCCAGCUUUGAUGCAGAAAAUGAUCCUAUAAGGAGGUGAAAUGCAGAGGAGGGUUCAGCAUGAGAUGCGGCAAUGCAGUCCCGUUUGUAAUCGGGGGGCCCACAUGUAUAAUUGUUAUUUGCAUGGUCACUUUUUCUCACCACUCUUUUAACCACUGUACCCAUGUACUAAUCCAAUGCUUUACAUGCCCGCUGCCCACUCCCUCAUCCCUAUACUUCACCAUACCCAUUCAUUGCCUAUGUGUAUCAACUAUCCAUUUCUCUCAUUCUUUCUCUCUCUAUCCCACCAUGCAACCCAUUGCUUCAUACCCACAUCCACUCAUCCUACACCCGCGGCUAAAGCUUAUACCCAUAUCCCAUACCUUUAUGCAUGAACUCACUUAACUCCACUCUUGAACUCCUUUCUCUCUUCAUUAUUGUGCACCACUCGUCAUCUCUCAUGCCCUUCCCCCAAACCCAUUGCUUACUCCCUAUUCACGGACAUGAAAGUCAUCAUGCAUGAACAUUUCUAGGGGAUACCGAGUAGCUCAUCAAGAGGCAGUGCCAAUGCCAGAAUUCAGUCGAUCAAGCAGUCAUCACCCCAUAAUAUGAGAUACCAGUUCCCCACCUGAAUCGUCAAGCUUCCUUGACUCGGAUACACAGUCAACAACCAUCACUGCCGUGGCGUAAACCUGCUGGAACGUGGCUGCAUGUUGCUCGAAAACGCCCACCACUAUCAUGCCCGUCUUAGUGCAUGCAUGACCUUCUUGAAAAACAUGGAAAUGUUUGGCGCGCCUAGAGCUUGACUGGCCACAUGUGAUGAGAUUUAAAAAGGGUAUUUUGUGUCAACAUAAUGAACCUUUUGAAAAAGCUGUACGUGAAGGGUUAGAAUUAUCAAUCCCAUUCAGUUUCAAAGGCAUCCAAUUCCCUGAAGACUCCUUUUGAAGUUGUGAUUGCUAGAUUCCCCAUUACCUCAUUCUUUCAUUUCUGUUUGGUUCGUCGGAAGUGGAAUCCAUUGCUCAUUAGUGCAGGGAUGUGGUGAUGCUAGCUGAAAUUCAAAUUGUCUACAUCAUUGACUGUCUUGGUUUCGACACGUCUGAUGAACUAGCAAGCUGUGUACAUAUGAUGGCCAUGCGCACAUGCAUGAUGCUGAGGGAAAGAGCCUGAUUGGAGCCAUGUCAGGUCAUGAAAACUGGGUGCUCUGAGAGGCUAUGACGCCUUUGACUGUGGCUGGUUCAUCAGCAUAACUGGAGGAUAGCACUCAUUCCAAUAUACGGGUGUUUCUUGCUCACCUCCAGUUUGAACACUUGUUGACCUUACUGUGUGCACUGGACCCGCAAGCACGACCUGUUUUGCAUGGCCACCUUAUGCAUGUAACCCAAGAGCCACGUGUCAUCUUCCCUUUUCUCCAAUCCUCUUUGAUUUUGAAAAAGAUUUUCCCAAACUUCAUUUUGUAAAUAAUUUCCAAAAUUCCGGUUUUUAAAUGACUUCAAGUCUCCAAAGAUUUCAUCCUUAAAGUUUUUAGGACUCAACAUCCCAUUUUCAAUCAAAUUUGGUUGUCAUUUUCUUUCCGGCAAGCCACUUUUGCAUUUUCUUUGUUUUUAAAAUAAGUAAGAAUUAAAUUCCAUAAUUCCAAGUGAUGGAGUUUAUGGAAUUGAUUCAUGCAAAAUAAAUGGGCUUUGGUGGGGGCCCUACAUGUGAGACUUCAUGAUUGAUUAACUGAUUGAUUGAUUUAAUUGUCAUGAAUGAUGGAUUUUAUUAUGCUCUGUGAUAUAUCUCAUGAUUGUUAUUAUGCAGUAACCUCCUCUCUUGAUAGCGCAUGGUGGCUCGUUGGUCAGGUACACACCUAUUCUCACUCUGGUCACUCUAUAUACAUGUAUUGAUUCCCAUAUGUGCAUGAUCAAUUCAGGUAUUCAUUGAUUUCUUUAUUAGAUGCCACGAUUGCUUCAUUUUAUUAGUAGAGACCCGUCUUUAGGGACUUAGAGGGGUGCUACGGUCUUUACCGUACCUUCCCGAUAAGUAACCUGACCCCCGAACCCGAUCCGGUUUUUCGUAGAUCACCUUUUCCAAAUAAGGAGUCACACUUAGGGUUUUUCUUUCUUAUUUUGUUUACCCUUUUAAAAAUAAAACAAAAAUAAGUGGCGACUCCAAGUCAUUUUCAAACAAUAAAUAAAAAUAAAAAUUUCAAAUAAAAUCGAGCUCGCCAUCGAGUGGAAAACACAUUGAGCCGAAAAUGCGGGGUCCACAAAAUGGCGACUCCGCUGGGGAUCAUUUAGAGGGUCAAGCUUGAACUUAGAGUGAAGCAAACGUGGCAUUCGAUUGGACGAUCAGUGGAUGCCCAUUUCUUGAUUGCACAUUGUGGAUAUUUGAUGCAUGCUCGGAUUUUAUAUCCACUUGAGACUUUGACACGUCGAUCGUGUUGAUUGAUUUAUAUUGAUUGAGGAUUCUGAUGCCAUGAUUUCUUCUGUGUUUAAUUGAUAUAUUCAUUUGAGACAUUGACAUGCUGGAUCAUUAUUGAUUGAUCUUAUUGCCUUGCUUAACACAUUGAUUCUGAUUUUGCCAUGAUUGUUCUGAUCACUUCACAUGCAUACACUCAUUAUUGUACAUCAUUUGACUCGCCAUGUUGAUCCACUUGUUGCUAUAUUAUUUUGAUCAUCCUUGAGCGUGUUGUCUUUGUAUCACUAUCCAUCUGAUUGUCGUAUUCUCGCUUAUCUUGUGUGUGUACAUUGAUGAUAUAUCUGAGAUUUGUUUGAUUGUGUGUCGCAUGACUGCCCUCCUUCUGCAUGACUGCGUGCCGCUUGUUUAUGUGGGUCGCAUAUCUAUCCCCUUAUCUCCCAUCCUCUAGUCUCGGUCAUUUCCUUCAUUACGGUUUCUCUGACUGAGAUAGAGGUUAAGAGUAGGGUCUAGCGAUGGGCUAUACCGACGUUUGGGAGCAUUCUGGAGGAGAGCGGCACAUUGUUGUCGAUUGGAGUCCGAUCAUUGAAGACCUGUAUAGCCUUGAGCUAGGUUCAUGGAUAUUUGUGCGACCAGUGUGUUUCAUCUUUUGCUUUAGCUUCUUAGGGUUUCGGAUGCACCCACACCGAUCAUUGUGCACUCUAGUUGACUAUUGAGCGUUGAGAGUUUGAGAGGAUUCACCAUAGGAAACCCCCUGGGAUGUCGAGGUAGUGCAUGUGUGGAGGUGAUGACCACCUUGCAUGGAAACACCCCGUCUCUUCUGAGGCGUGCAGAGGGUUGCGUACCGCUGGAGGGUACGAUCGCUUCUGUUAGGGAUCUUUUAAAAGUCCACCCAUAUCCAUUUAGAGCCACCUUGACCUCGUAGGUUGAGCCGUAGAUCCUUCUAUUAGGACUCCCUCCCUACACAUGGGUGCAUCUGAGGGCCUUUAGAGCCUCUUUAGUUACAGUUCGGAUCCAGUAUUCCCUCUUUUUAGUCUCCAGUUGAGAGUGCUCAGAGAUUGGUAUGAGUUUGAGUAUCGGUCGGAUCACCUUUUGUCUUGUAGCCUCAGAUUCUUGUUUUUCACUCGAUGAGUUUGUCAUGUUUUCUCCCUAAGGCUUUCAUUUCUCAUUUCUUGGCUCUACACACCCCUUCACUUUGUUAUCACUCACUUGAUGCUUCGAGAUAUGUUCAUCGAUCAUGAUCAUCUUGUUUUUACACUGUACAUCUAUCGCGGGCUCAGUACCUCAUUCUUUGUUGGAUCCUUGAUUCAAUUUUCAACUCGAUGCUCAUAUUAUCAUUACAGAAAGGUGAAAGACACAUUUUCACAUUCACACUUUUUUCGAGAGAGCCGCCUUGAUCACCUUAUUAUUUUCCUCUUAUGGAGAUCGAGUUCAAAGUUGAUUCAAGGAUAUGUGGUUAUAGAUGGAGUAUUGAUCUCGUGAUAGUGUGUUUUUCACACCUCUUUUAUCUCGGAUUAUUGAUGGAGAUUCUUUAGUCACAUUUGUAGCCAUCUCACAGUGGACACCUUUAUGACUCUAGAGUUUCUGUCAUAUUUCCAGUUAUAGAUUGCCAUCACAGGACCGUAUUUCAUAUGAUGUAUUGUGCUUUUGAUUUGAGACAUAUUUUCACUUAUGCAUCAUGAUCACUCUGGCCCGACCUAUCAUGGAGGAUAUUGAGUCUAUUGACCUAGGAUCAGGAGAUCGACCUAGGGAGUUUGAGGCUGUGACCCAUUUCACCUUCUGAUUAGAGUGGUACCAUACCCACAUCCAUACCUUAGUCUUUUCAGACUGGAUGACCUACCCGUUUUGAGCUUGACAUGACACCACCCCUUGGUACCGUUACACGACCUUACCAUUCCUAUUCACCUUCGUAUAUUACAGUACCCUUGCCUAUUUCCAUCAUUUCCUUGAUUUGACCAGGCAGAGUCCGAGAUGGUUAGACCUGAGAUGAGCUCUAGACGAUGAUAUAUGGAUCAUGAUGAGAGAGUGGUUUGACUACUUGACGAUGUUGUUGAGCCAUUGCACAUGACUUCAGAGAGUCGGGAUGAUUAGAGAUGAUGUUUUUUUUUAUUUAUGAGACGAUGGUGAGUGGAUUAUGAUGAUAGAGUGAGGUGAUUAUCCGAGGACGUUGAUGAUUAUCACAGAGCAUCAGUGGGAGCUUUCACACGAUUUCGGAGGGGUUGACAUGACUUUGUUGGAUGGAUGCCAGUUUUUAGUAUUGGUCAUGUGAGAUCUCGAAAGCACGAUGUUCGAGGUUGUGGUCAAAGGAUGGGUGGCCAUCAUUUCAUGAGCCUAUUUACUUUAUCACCCUCGCAUAUAGAGUUAUCCAUUGCUAGCCCUUUGAGCCUUGCACGAGCAUGUAGCCUUUUCUUUCAUCACCUCAUUUACCUAUUACACCGGGUUGGGGACCCUAUAGUGCUUGCAUGUUAUGAUUGGAUACGUCAUGAGUUUCGGACCUGACAUACAUAUUCGAGCCUCAUUCUUCAAUCUUCACUGUGAUAUUUUCCGCUUGGACAUCAUUUCAUCACUAUUUUCCGAUAUCACAUACCACCACUUGUGAUAUUCAUUCUCUGUCUUUUCCUUUCCUCAUUGAUUACUUGACAUUAUCCUUGUUUCACCUUGAGUGGUGGUUUUUCACACGUCACUGCAUGGAGGAUUGUCACAUUCUUUCCUAUCAUUCACCCCAUGGGCAGUGGUUCAGAGAUGUUAUUUUGAGAGGUUGUCUUGUUAGUGAGGAUUCAUGUUACAUUCGUAUGUGGAGAGGGUUUGAUCAUUUGGGUAUGUAUUUUCAUGGGAGUUCAUUCACUAUUGAUCAGCGUAUGCGCAAAAAAAAUAAAAAAUAAAAAAUAAAAAUAAAUAAAUAAUAAAUAAAUAAAUAAAUAAAUAAAAUAAAAUUGAUUGAUGAUAGCGCAUUAUUCAUUGUAUCAUUCUUCAUUAGGCAUGUGUAUGGACGUGCCAGGUUGUUUCAUUGAGUUCAUAUGAUAGAGAGAGCUCGUAUGGGAGCUUAUUUUUUAGAUUCAUCUUGAAGUAUAUUUUGGGUGAGAGUAUGAUUCGCCCAUUCGUUUUUUGUGAGAGAUGCGAGUGACCUUUCUUCAGUAUCUCUGGAUCCUUGCUCUAUCCAUCAUUCCGUCUAUUUCGGAUGUGACUACUUUCCAUGCUUUGAUGCAGGGUGACCAUCACUCACUUUUCUAUCUCUUCGCCUUCUUUCAUCUUUAUUUUAUCCCUCCGUUUCACUCCACUUCAUUUUAUCUCAUUCUUUUCUCAUUCUGUCUGAUGUUUGACAUGGGUUCAGCAUCCACACUUUAUUCUUGCUUAUUCGAUGUGUCCAUUCAUUUAUCAUCACUUUUCGUGUGGGGACCUCUAGGUCCGGGACUCAUGACGUUUUCUACGCAUUGCAUAUCAUGCACGAGGGGUAUGGGGAUUAUAUCAUUGAGAUUUUUGAGCCUAGUUUCCUUUCGUUUCUUUCACCCUAUUACCUUGGCCUACGUUACGUCCCGUGUCUGAAGACCACCCUGAGGCCAUUACUUUGUAUCGUGUUUGACAGCUCCCACGUGGGCAAUACUCGAGCUUGGUCGGAGAUUAUUUCUCAGAGCAAGAUGGAUGGGGAGUUGAGAUGAUGAUUUACACUGGGUCAUACCCCUCUUAUCAGUGAUGGAUUUUCAGAGGCGACAUUAUCUACAUUGGGGCAUACCCCGCUCAUCGAUGACGUUUUCUUUCAGGAUGGUGUCUUGCACAGAGGCAUAGUCAGUUCGCCUCUUCACUUGGAUUAUGAUGGAUUAGGAGUUGUUGGAUGACCUUACACUAGGGCAUAGCUAUUUCAGAGAACGCUUUUAUUGGAGAUACAGUCACUCUACUCGAUACUCUGCAUUGGGACACACUUUACUCAUCGAUGGUUGAUUUUUGAGAUGACGAUUUAUUUUGAGGUGUAGCCCUCUCUUUGGCGAUGGACUUUGAUUUAUCUUGGAGCAUAGUCACUUCAGUUGGUUUAUACUGGGGCAUAGCCACCGCAUUCACAUUCGUGGAGCCCGGGGAUUCUGAUUCAUAUGGAUUAUGUUGAGAUGUUUCCGUUUUGGCACCAGGAGUAGAGGUUGAUUGAUUUGUUGACUCGGAUACACUACUUUUCACUGGGGCAUAGCCAGGAUGGAGAGCAUUUUUCAUUGGAGCAUAGCCACCCUAUUUGGAUCCUUUACACUGGGGCAUGUCCAUCUUUUGGAGGGAGAUCAGAUUGGUUCUUGACAUUGGAGCACCUGACGAGUGAUAGGGAGAUCAUUGGAUUAUUUCAUGUUGUUCUCAUUGCAUACUGGGGCAUAGCCACCUUGUUGGAGGUUUUGACAUUGAGGCUUGACUUCCUGUUUGUGAUUGCUGCUUACGAUGGGUUAUGGAGUUAUCGACACCUCGGGUUUAGUCUUCUCGGCAUACUUGGAUGAUCUCGGAUAUCUCCCUACCUUUCAUUUCAUACUCAGACGUUUCACCAUGGAUACUUUCAUACCUUCUAUCAUACCGGAGCCUGACCAUCACAUUAUUUUAUCCUACACAUCUUACCAUGACACAUGACCUCACCCCUUUCUCGAUUAUGAGGAGAUGUAGAUCAGUCCUCGAUCACCCUGGUUGUGCUUUCAUAUAUCUUUUGGACUUUAGGUUCAACAUCUUCCAUGAUGGCAGGGCCUGACAGAUCGUUGACUUAUUAGUGAUGAUGCUUUCAUUUUGAUAGUUGGCAUGUUGAAUGUUGGUUUGCUUGCUCUUUUCAUUUUGAGCACUGGUCAUCAUUAUUGUUGUUAUUCAUCAGUUAGUUUUGUUUUGUCAGCAUGGUGUCAUGACACAUGGUCCUAUUUGGCUUUACCUAUUUGAGGUUGGACAUUUUCAUUACAUGAUGGAUGAGCAUAUUUCAGAGUACAGUAGUUUUGAGGCAUUUUGCAUCUCUGUCUGUUCAUCAUUACAUACUGGGGCAUACCCCAUCUCCGAGAGCAUUGGACCUUCAACAGGUUUCAUUCACUUUUGAUCUAGUUGUCAACCCCGAGAGUUGCAUACUGGGGCAUACCCUCCUUCUCCGAGAUCAUCGGACCUUUCACAGACUUCAUUAUCUUUCGACCUAGUUGUCGAUCCUUAUGAGUUGUCAUACUGGGGCAUAUCCCCUCCCGAGUUUACUUGCAUCAUUAUCUGGGUCAUCCUUUGGUUUUGGGUCACUUGAUCAGGUCAUUCAUCAUCUUGUCAUGUCAGUUUGAGUCGGGGCCGCACUUAUAUCGAUCGGCCAUCUUCCUAUCAGUUCAGUUCGAGUCGGGACCGCACCUAUAUCGAUCGGUCAUUAUCGUGUCAGUUUGAGUCGGGGCCGCACCUAUACGAUCGGUCAUCUCUUUGUCAUGACAGUUCGGUUUCUGGGACCGCACCUAUACGAUCGGUCAUUAUCGUGUCAGUUUGAGUCGGGGCCGCACCUAUACGAUCGGCCAUCUCUUUGUCAUGUCAAUUCAGUUUCCGGGACCGCACCUAUACGAUCGAUCAUUAUCGUGUCAGUUUUAGUCGGGGCCGCACCUAUACGAUCGACCAUCUCUUUGUCAUGACAGUUCGGUUUCUGGGACCGCACCUAUACGAUCGGUCAUUAUCAUGUCAGUUUGAGUCGGGGUCGCACCUAUACGAUCGGCCAUCUCCUUGUCAUGACAGUUUAGUUUCCGGGACCGCACCUAUACGAUCGGUCAUUAUCGUGUCAGUUUGAGUCGGGGCCGCACCUAUACGAUCGACCAUCUCUUUGUCAUGUCAGUUCAGUUUCCGGGACCGCACCUAUAUGAUCGGUCAUUAUCGUGUCUGUUUGAGUCGGGGCCGCACCUAUAUCGAUUGACCAUCUUCCUAUCAUGUCAGUUCAGUUUCUGGGACCGCACCUAUACGAUCGGUCAUUAUCGUGUCAGUUUGAGUCGGGACCGCACCUAUAUGAUCGGUCAUCUCCUUGUCAUGUCAGUUCAGUUUCUGAGACUGCACCUAUAUGAUCGGUCAUCCUCCUGUCAUGUCAGUUCAGUUUCUGGGACCGCACCUAUACGAUCGGUCAUCUCCUUGUCAUGUUAAUUCAAUUUCUGGGACCGCACCUAUACUAUCGGUCAUUAUCAUGUCAGUUUAGUUUCUAGGGCCGCACCUAUAUCAAUCGGCCAUCUUCUUAUCAGUUCAGUUUGAGUCGGGGCCGCACCCAUAUUGAUCGGCCAUUUCCCUAUCAGUUUAUGUUUAGUUUGAGUCGGGACCGCACCCAUAUAGAUCGGUCAUUCAUUCUUCCUAUCAGGUCAGUUCGGCGUCCAGGUCUUUGCUUCAGUAUGACAUUCAGGGUCACAUUUCCAUUUUGGGCGUUCAGAGUCAUUCUCCUCACCUGGUUACUUGAUGCUUAUCGCCUAUUCAUCAUUGCUCUUCUAGGCUUCCCUUUCCACUACACAUGACACAGUCUUUUGAGAUCCGUGAUGCAUAUUUCGAUCAUGUUGUUAGGCACCCUACACUUGGCAUUCUCGUAUAGUUCACAUAGGGCAGUCUCCUUCGGGCACAUUCUUUCUUGUACUCCAGGGUGGUUCGACCGUUACUCAUCUUUGACAUUGAUCUUCGAGUCACUUUUGGAGACGUCUUAGAGGGAGCUUGGAUCCUUAGUGUGGCUUCAGAGGCAUUUUGUGACAUUUUUCUCUCUUAGGAUUAGAGCCUCAUUGUUCAUUCUGUUGGCCUGAGUGAGUUCGGGUUCCACCGGUGUCCUUUUGGGGGUCUCCUUUGUUCUUCGGUAGAGUUCACUUCAUUGCACUCACUAUUCACACUUGCUUUUUACUUCAGUGUUCAUAUCUCUUACACUCGUGAACUCUACCGAAGAGGGGCAUAUUUGUAGACCCCCAUUUUGGGGAGACAUCUCUACAGCCCGAUUAUGACAAGUGUCAUCGUCUGGGAUGACCACGUGUCACUCCAGGACUGGUUGAUAGGGUAUCAAGUUAGUGGUUUUGAUGGCCAAUGGAAGCUUGACACAUGGAGAUUUCUUUCAGCAGAAAAAGCUGAAAACCGUGAAGGUUGGCAGCUGCAGGGUAAUGGGGAAGAGGCUUGGCCGUUAGAGAUUUUUUGGAACUGAAAGAGAGAACGGGACAAGGAGAGAGAAAAUUUUUUUUGGGGGGAGUUUAGAGAGAUUCUAGAGGAGCAGGCUGGUUACUGAAGGACGAGAGAGAGAAAAACAGGGGGAUCAGAGGAGGAAAGGGAGAGAGUUUGAGGGUGAGUUUCUGGCUUAGAGGAGAGGCUACCGGAGGAGAGAACGGGGAGCAGGCCAGCUGCAGAGUAGAGGUUUUUGGUUGCCGUUUUUCAGAGAGCUUGAGAGUUGAGGGAGGGAAGCUAAGAAAAACAGAGCAUGUUUCUGGAGAGAGGGUGCUGAUUUUGCAGUGAGGCAGUUGCAUUGAGGAGAAGAGCAUGGAUCUGAGGAGAGGAAAAACAUACUAAGAAGAGGAAACUUUCAGGUUUGGUUACUCUGCUUUUUCUUUAUAUGUUCAUUCUUCAUCUUUUUAUAUAUAUAUAUAUAUAUUUCGUCCUCCAUGAUUUUCAUCUUGUUUAUUGGAUUGCCUUUGGUUUGGCGAUUAUGGCCUUGAUAUUUGAAAGAUUUUGAGGCACAUUAUUCCCUUUUCUGAUGAACUUUUCUUUCUCACCAUAAUAUAUUUGUUGUCGGGUCCAUGGAUAAAAUAUUGAAAUGGAUUCAACAUGUUGGUUAAAAGACUUGUUUUCAAUUCUUGUUGUUAUCCUCUCGAUCCUCUGUUUUUCGCUGCAUAUAUGCUCCCGGCUAUGAAAUUAUGAAAAACUGGAUUGAAAAUGGGUCUGGCAGUUCAUGGUCCGCAGGGUUGAUGAGACUAUUGCAGUAUAGAAUAGCAGUUUUAUGGGGGAUGAAUGAAAGCUUUGUGGAUGAAAUGAGAUAUAAAUCAAGGGAAACUGAAACAGACCUGGGUCUCUCUCUUCACUCUGUUUUUAUCCUCAGAUUUAGAGAAGUAUGGAGACUUAGCAACUAGCAGAUCUCAAUCUUAAGAAGGCAUCCCAACUGGGAGAAAUGGAGAGUGAAGGUGACCUGGGAAGAAGUCUGGAUCUAGUAUGCAUAUCUAAGCGUACUCCGAAUCGAUGUAGAGGAAAUAUUUCUUAAGGGAAGGCAUCUAAAAAUUGGUGAGAAAUACCGUCUGGGUUUAUUCCAGCUUUGAUGCAGAAAAUGAUCCUAUAAGGAGGUGAAAUGCAGAGGAGGGUUCAACAUGAGAUGCGGUAAUGCAGUCCCGUUUGUAAUCGGGGGGCCCACAUGUAUAAUUUCUAUUUGCAUGGUCACUUUUUCUCACCACUCUUUUAACCACUGUACCCAUGUACUAAUCCAAUGCUUUACAUGCCCGCUGCCCACUCCCUCAUCCCUAUACUUUACCAUACCCAUUCAUUUCCUAUGUGUAUCAACUAUCCAUUUCUCUCAUUCUUUCUCUCUCUAUCCCACCAUGCAACCCAUUGCUUCAUACCCACAUCCACUCAUCCUACACCCGCGGCUGAAGCUUAUACCCAUAUCCCAUACCUUCAUGCAUGAACUCACUUAACUCCACUCUUGAACUCCUUUCUCUCUUCAUUAUUGUGCACCACUCGUCAUCUCUCAUGCACUUCCCCCAAACCCAUUGCUUACUCCCUAUUCACGGACAUGAAAGUCAUCAUGCAUGAACAUUUCUAGGGGAUACCGAGUAGCUCAUCAAGAGGCAGUGCCAAUGCCAGAAUUCAGUCGAUCAAGCAGUCAUCACCCCAUAAUCUGAGAUACCAGUUCCCCACCUGAAUCGUCAAGCUUCCUUGACCCGGAUACACAGUCAACAACCAUCACUGCCGUGGCGUAAACCUGCUGGAACGUGGCCACAUGUUGCUCGAAAACGCCCACCACUAUCAUGCCCGUCUUAGUGCAUGCAUGACCUUCUUGAGAAACAUGGAAAUGUUUGGCGUGCCUAGAGCUUGACUGGCCACAUGUGAUGAGAUUUAAAAAGGGUAUUUUGUGUCGACAUAAUGAACCUUUUGACAAAGCUGUACGUGAAGGGUUAGAAUUAUCAAUCCCAUUCAGUUUCAAAGGCGUCCAAUUCCCUGAAGACUCCUUUUGAAGUUGUGAUUGCUAGAUUCCCCAUUACCUCAUUCUUUCAUUUCUGUUUGGUUCGUCGGAAGUGGAAUCCAUUGCUCAUUGGUGCAGGGAUGUGGUGAUGCUGGCUGAAAUUCAAAUUGUCUACGUCAUUGACUGUCUUGGUUUCGACACGUUUAAUGAACUAGCAAGCUGUGUACAUAUGAUGGCCAUGCGCACAUGCAUGAUGCUGAGGGAAAGAGCCUAAUUGGAGCCAUGUCAAGUCAUGAAAACUGGGUGCUCUGAGAGGCUAUGACGCCUUUGACUGUGGCUGGUUCAUCAGCAUAACUGGAGGAUAGCACUCAUUCCAAUAUACGAGUGUUUCUUGCUCACCUCCAGUUUGAACACUUGUUGACCUUACUGUGUGCACUGGACCCGCAAGCACGACCUGUUUUGCAUGGCCACCUUAUGCAUGUAACCCAAGAGCCACGUGUCAUCUUCCCUUUUCUCCAAUCCUCUUUGAUUUUGAAAAAGAUUUUCCCAAACUUCAUUUUGUAAAUAAUUUCCAAAAUUCCGGUUUUUAAAUGACUUCAAGUCUCCAAAGAUUUCAUCCUUAAAGUUUUUAGGACUCAACAUCCCAUUUUCAAUCAAAUUUAGUUGUCAUUUUCUUUUCGGCAAGCCACUUUUGCAUUUUCUUUGUUUUUAAAAUAAGUAAGAAUUAAAUUCCAUAAUUCCAAGUGAUGGAGUUUAUGGAAUUGAUUCAUGCAAAAUAAAUGAGCUUUGGUGGGGGCCCUACAUGUGAGACUUCAUGAUUGAUUAACUGAUUGAUUGAUUUAAUUGUCAUGAAUGAUGGAUUUUAUUAAGCUCUGUGAUAUAUCUCGUGAUUGUUAUUAUGCAGUAACCUCCUCUCUUGAUAGCGCAUGGUGGCUCGUUGGUCAGGUACACACCUAUUCUCACUCUGGUCACUUUAUAUACAUGUAUUGAUUCCCAUAUGUGCAUGAUCAAUUCGGGUAUUCAUUGAUUUCUUUAUUAGAUGCCACGAUUGCUUCAUUUUAUUAGUAGAGACCCGUCUUUAGGGACUUAGAGGGGUGCUACGGUCUUUACCGUACCUUCCCGAUAAGUAACCUGACCCCCGAACCCAAUCCGGUUUUUCGUAGAUCACCUUUUCCAAAUAAGGAGUCACACUUAGGGUUUUUCUUUCUUAUUUUGUUUACCCUUUUAAAAAUAAUACAAAAAUAAGUGGCGACUCCAAGUCAUUUUCAAACAAUAAAUAAAAAUAAAAAUUUCAAAUAAAAUCGAGCUCGCCAUCGAGUGGAAAACGCAUUGAGCCGAAAAUGCGGGGUCCACACUAUGACAAGACAAAAUCUCAAUGCAAUCUUAAUUACACGUUUUUUCUUUCUUAAAUCAUUUGAACUUGGAAAUUCAACUUAUGGUUUUAUUUCCUAUGUCUUGAAUUUCAAGAUAUGAGACUUGUUUCAUUAGAAAAGAAAGGAGCUAAAACAUUUGAAAACCUAUGCCAUCAAUGGUUGUUGUUGUUUUAGUUGUGAAGGAAGUUUUCAUAUAUGGAGAGAGACCAAAAGAGGAUUCUCGAUAAGCUUGACACUUCUACCAUUCUCUUCCCCUGGCUACUAAAGUGAAACACCAAUGGGUUUUACUUGAUUUCUAGUUCCAUGAAUUUAUUGAACAUUUGUAAAAUGAAGCAAGACAAAAAUGCUCUCUUCCAUAGAAUUUGAAGUUAUUUGGAGAACAAAAAUUGAGUUGGGGCAUGCUAAUUAAUACUAUUUUAAUCACCUUCACCCAUAAUAUUAAUAUUUAAAUAUAAUUUAGAUAGAUAACCUUUUGGGGUUUUUCUCCCACGCUUCCUAAAAUAUGCAACACUUGAUAUUCACUCUCUCUAUCUUCUUUUUUUCCAUUGCUGCCAUGGACUAUGGAACACCCUUUUUUGAUUGCUCCAACACCCUACCUUUUUCCAACCAUGGAGAACUUUUAACUUNNNNNNNNNNNNNNNNNNNNNNNNNNNNNNNNNNNNNNNNNNNNNNNNNNNNNNNNNNNNNNNNNNNNNNNNNNNNNNNNNNNNNNNNNNNNNNNNNNNNUUUUUUUUUCAAGUAAACAAAAUUAAAACCCUUUUUUUCGAUUUUUUAUCUAAUUACUUAUGGUUUUAAAUACAUAUAUUUUAAAGAUGUAUGUUGAAACUAACUUUCAACUUAAUUGAAUGGAAACAUAAAAAUGAGAGGAAAAAAGAAUAAAAUAUAAAUUUGAAAUCUUUACUAUCAAACUUUUUCAAACAAAGAAUAUAUAGACAAAAGAAAUACAAGUUUUAAAAUAUUUUAUUAUAUUUUUUUAAAAAAAAUUUCAUUAAAAAAAACAAAACAUGUGUUUCUAUUUUCAAUUAUUUUAUUGGUUUUAAGAUUAAUAUGGUAUAAAUUAGUCGCAACAAUUAUUUAUGAAAUAUUUGGUCAUUAUUUGUAUUAUAUAUAAAAGGAUAAGGUGUAUGUUUUUUUAACUUUUGUCUUCUAAGAUAGCAAUUUUGAGGCUUGGGACAUACUAUCGAUUAUUCAUGAGGGCACUUGGUUGUGAAGUUGUCUAAGAUUCAAAUGCUCAGAGCUAUAUUUGAGAGUUUAAGGAUAUGAGAUGCUAAAACGUUUGCUGGAUUCAUUUUUAAAUUAAGUAACAUUUUCAACUCGAGGUUUAACCUUGGGGAAAAGAUUCUCUAUUCUAAGGUAGUUAUGAAAAUCCUUAAAUCUCUUCCUAAAAGGUUCAAACACAAGGUAAUUGUUAUAGAAGAAAACAAGAACAUUGACUCCAUGAGAGUUGAUGAAACUUAUAGAUUUUUACCAACUUAUGAGAUGUCUCUACUAUUUUCAAAAGUCUUAGGGUGCAACCUUCAAAGCUUUCAAUAACAAAGGGAAUGAGUUUGAACAUGUUUUUUUUUUUCUUCUUUUUUUUUUCUUCUAUAUUUAUGCUUUUGAUAUCAUACAUAUCUAGAUUUGCACAUGCUUAUUAAAAGACAUACAUGACUUUUUACUUACAUUGAAUUGACCAAUUUCUCUUUUCUUGGGGGAAUGUAUGAAGGAGAACACGGUGCCUUUAUCCUUAGGAGAAUAUUGAAUAAUAGUGAACAUGACUUUAAUAGUUGAGUAAUAGAUUACAAUACUUAGAGGAUUUAAGAACAUAGGUAGAAUAACAGUCAAGGAGUAAUUUUAAAAGGGAAAUGAGAAAUCUCCCAUAGCAGCCACAAGGGCUUGGACAAAUUUUGGUGUAAAGGUAAGAUUGUUUUAGGUGUGGGAAAUAAUGGAGAGAGUGUCUUGUGAAGGAUUUCUCCCAAACCAAAACCAGAGGACUUUUGGACAACAAAUUCGUCCUUAGUUUUUGCAAAACCACAAUGUCAUUUAACCUUUCCAUCACAAACCAAAGAAACUGACCAUUUAAUUUCCAAUAGAAAUCAGGAGUUCAUGGAAUUUAGUCAUGAUCCUAAUAGGAGUUAAUGUAAUUAAGGAGGUAUUAUUCAAGGACAUGUGUAUGUUAUAGAUAAAGUGAAGGAAGAUAACGCUCUUGCCUUUUUGGAAGAUGCUAUCCUAGCUUAUAAUUCUUGAGCAAAAGUUCCAUUUGAUUCUAGAACAACAACUCUUUCUUUUUUGCCUUCUUCAUGAAUGCACUAGAAUUAGUACUUAAGGGACAUAGAUCCUCUUUAUCUAUUAGUCCUCCUAUGGGACAAAACUUAGAGAGAAAAAAAAUAUGUAUAGUAUGUAAUAUGAUAAUUUUAAAUCAUGAAUUAAAAGGAGAUUUAGUUGUUUUAGAGAUGUUAGAAUAUGAUGUAAUUUUAGGCAUAAAUUUUUAUCCUCCCCACCAUGCUAUUAUUGACUAUUUUAAAAGAAAGGUAAAGAUUCAUAUCUUAGGAAGGGAUGUAGUUUAUUUCUUUGAUGAUAAGGGUGCACCAUUUCCUUGUCAUCCAUUAAAUUAGUAUUAUCAAUUAAGAUUAAAGAAAGAUGGUAAAUACUUUUUGACAAGUGUUUAAGUAGAGAUUAAAGGAAAAAAAGGAUUUGCAGUCCUUUCAUGUUAUUAAUUAAUUUAGUGAUGUUUUUUUUGUUUGAAGAAUUACUUGGAUUGUCUCCUAAGAGAGAAUGUAACUUUACCAUUGAAGUUUGUCCAAGUAUAUUUCCUACAUCAAUUACACCCUAGUUAAGUUACGAGAAUUGAAGAUUCAACUUCGAAAACUUCAAGAUAAGGAAUUCAUUAGAUGAAGUAAUUCUCCAUGGGGUGUUCCUAUACUAUUUUUUAAGAAGAAAGAUGGUUCUUUAAGUUGUGAAUUGAUUAUAAGAAAUUGAAUGAAGUCACCAUGAUGAAUAAAUACCUUUUGCCAAAGAUUGAUGAUUUGUUUAAUUAAUUAAAGGAUACUAGAUAUUUCUCCAAAACAAGGAAGAGAACAAUCACACUCCUCCCUGACCAUCACCAUCUUCUCCUUUGCCCUCCUUGAUCUCUUCUACCUUAUCCACUUCAUCCUCCAAUACAAACCUUUUGAUGACUCAAUUGAUUCCCUUACUUGAAAUCAAAGCGAGCUUGCUCUGUAAAGGAUGCAGUCAAUGUUACAGAGAUAGUAAAAGUCUUAAUACAUAUUGCAACAACAUCAACAAUUGAAGAUUUUAUAGUCAAAGCUUAGUUAUCUGUCUCUUGAGGCUUNNNNNNNNNNNNNNNNNNNNNNNNNNNNNNNNNNNNNNNNNNNNNNNNNNNNNNNNNNNNNNNNNNNNNNNNNNNNNNNNNNNNNNNNNNNNNNNNNNNNCACCUACUUGAAAGACUCACCUUCGCACAAAGAGCACCCUUGCAUUAAUUAUAAAAUGGAUAUGACCCCCUCAUUAGUCAAAUAAUCAUUAAACCUUAAAAGUUGUUGAAAAAACUAUUCAUUGUCCUAACAGUUAUGUCAUAAUCAUCUCAUAAUGAUUAAAGCCUUAAAGAUGAACAUAAUAGAAAUCAUUUAAAAUAAUACCUAACGAACAUCUCAUUUAUAGUCUUCCCAUAAUCAAUCUAUCAAAAGGUAACUACAAGAAGAAGACCAUAUUUUAGAAAAAGUACACACAGUGAACUCUAUCUAGCUCAUAUCUCUUAUUCCUACUUUAAUCCAUGACAAACUUGAUCAUCUCAAAAGGGUCGACCUAAGCAACCCAACCUUUUCUCAUCAUUCUCGCUCUCUCUCUCUUUCUCCCUAAUCUAUUGGAAAACUGUGAUGCCUAGUUCAACCAUAGUCGAAGGAGUGUGUAACAAAUUCCAAAUCUAAUGAGACUUAAUGCAUAGGAUUUGACAAUUUUUAAAAAUAAUUUAUAAUUUAAAACCAAUCUAAUUAAUACUAAAAAGUCAUGAAACUAAAAAAAUUGAUCCAAUUAAUACUAGAAAGUCUAACCAAAAUUGAUUCUAAAUGACUUUGUUUGUUUUCUCCUUUACAUCUAACUAUAAACCAAAAUUUAUAAGGUUUUUCAUUAAGCAAAUAUAAUCAAAAUCCAAUAAGACUCGAUGUCUUAGAUCUAUUAACAAGUGUUAAAGAAAAUUAGAACUCAAACACCAAAAAUUACUAUCAAAGAUUCUUGAACCAGAUUUGGUACUUAAAUGACUGUUAUUUCUCUUUUACACAUAAUGAAAUUUAUGUGAAUUUUCUAUGUAGAAAAAUGUACUUCAAAUUAAGCAAAACUUAAUACAUCAAAUUUAUUAAAAAGUUUAGUAGUUUUUUAAUAAAGAAAUAAAAAUUAAAUACUAAACUAAUUAAUAUUGGAAUUUGUGGACAAACUCUUUGACAUAGAACUAUAAUUCUCAAAAUUUUCUAACUGGACAAGUGAAUUCUCUUCCAAAUUAAACAAGACAUAAUAUAUUAAAAUUGUUAACAAGUUUAUUAAUUUUUUAAAAUAAAAUAAUAACGUAAUUAUUAUUAGAAAUUCAUAGCAUAAAACUAGUCCAAAAAAACUUUGUUGUUUCUCCUCCACAUAUAAUUAUAAUUUUAUGAAUUUUCUGGUUAGGCAAAGAAACUCUAAAUUAAGCAAAACUCAACAUAUUAGAUUUGUAGAUGAGUCUAGUAAUUUUUUAAAAUAAUUUAAAAUUCAAAAAUAGAAUCAAUAAAAAAAAAAAAAAAGAAGAAGAUAAAAAUUAGUCUAGAAUAAGCAAUAAUAUUAUAUUGUUUCUCAUAUGCGCAUAACUAUACCUUCUCAAAUUUUUUUAUUAGGUAAACAUAUGUUAAAUUAAUUGAGCCCAAAUCAAAUGAGAAUUAAUGCUUUAAAUUCUCUAAUUAAUUUACUAAUUUUUAAGAAUAAUUGAGAAUUUGAAAAACUAACUCAAUUAUUAGCAUAGCACUUUGACAAUGGCUAAAUAUUAAAUGCGCACAGGUAAUGCAAAAACUUAACAUAUUAACCAUUAUUAUUUCUAAAGUAUUAUUAUUCAAUUUUAACAGAAAAAAAAAAAAGAAUUAUACCUUUAAGAAGAUAUUAAUAUCCAUAUUUUAUUAUAUCUAUUUAAAAUUAUAUCAUUUCUAAUUAAAAAAAUUUACUUAUAAUUUUAUUAUAAUAUUAGUAUUGGUAUUUUACAAAAAAUUAUUUAUUUUUCAUUAUAUAAUUAUUAUUUUCUAUUUUUAUUAAGACUUGAAUUGAAUUGAAUUGAUAUUAAUAAAAAAUGAGUGUACAUUUUUUUUAUUUUUUUUGUACAAAAUGAAAAUAGAAAAACUAUUUUUAAAAGCAACUAAAAUUUACUUAUCUAAAAGUGUUUUUGUUUUUUUGCUUUUUGACAAAUAUUUUUAAAAACAACUUGCCAAGUAUUAUUAUUUUUAAGACACACCUAAAAAACUUAUUUUUUCUUUUUAACUUGAAAAUAAUUUUAGAAACAAGGUUAAACAUACAUGGGCAAACAGGCCAUUAGACUUUCUAGAUUGCCAACUUGAGGACUUAGAAGAGGCUUUCUUUACUUUUUCAAAGCACCGUACCAUCAAUUAUUCUUUGUUUCCUCAUAUUAGUGAAACGUUUUGGUAUUGGAAAAAGAAAUUUGUAGCUUAACUCCUUCAGAAGUUUACAUAUGCCAACAAAAGAAAAACUUAUCCAAUCCCUCGAUAGUUUUUUCCGAAGCUUUCUCCAUUCAUAAGCAUGGAAUGAGGUGCUUUUCUCCCUUCUUGAGAGCUUCUUAGCAAUCCAUCUGCUACCUUUCCACUACAUCCUUUUCCUUUGUGUGUAGGCCUUCCUACAAUAUUGUACUCCUUAGGCAAAAUUGUUUUAGUUUCUCAAUUACUUGCUCUGACUUCUCCAAUCCCUACGAAUAAAAAAAAGUAAUUUUUGUUCGUUUAAUGAUUUUUUUUUUUGUCUAGUACUAAAUCAAUCCAUCAAAUAAAUGGGUUUAGAUUGUAUUAUUUGGGUUAUAAAGACGUGAUGCAUUAUUUUUUUUAAAACAUUUUAUGAUAUUUUUAGCUAGUAAUAAAUUUCAANNNNNNNNNNNNNNNNNNNNNNNNNNNNNNNNNNNNNNNNNNNNNNNNNNNNNNNNNNNNNNNNNNNNNNNNNNNNNNNNNNNNNNNNNNNNNNNNNNNNUUUUGUUCGUUUAAUGAUUUUUUUUUUGUCUAGUACUAAAUCAAUCCAUCAAAUAAAUGGGUUAAGAUUGUAUUAUUUGGUUAUAAAAGAAGGUGAAUGCAUUAUUUUUUUUAAAAACAAUUUUAUGAAUAUUUUAGCUAAGUAAUAAAUUUCAAAUCAAACAAUACUUAAUGUAUUUGAUUUAUUAAUGAGUUGAGUCACUUUUAAAAAUAAUUUGAAAACAAAAUACUGAAGUAAUUAGUAUCAUAAAUUUAAGAUCAAACAUGUUCUACAUAGAACUAUAAUUUUCAAAAUUUUCUAACUAGACAAGUAGAUUCCGAAUCAAGCAGGACACAAUGUGUUAGAUUUGUUAAAAAGUAUAUUAAUUUUCAAAAAAUAAUUUUAAACUCAAAAAACUGUAAGGAAAUUAUAGAACUAUCUUUAUUUUACUCUAAGUAUUGCUAUUCAAGUCUGUGCCAACACAGGAGUUCGGAUGUUGAUCAAUGAUCUAUAAUUUAUAUGUAGCUCAAAAUAAUUUAUAAUGCAUGAUUUGAUCAAUGAUCUAGCUCAAGAUGUUGCUACAGAAAUAUGCUUCAAUCUAGAGAAUAUACAUAAAACUUCUGAAAUGACUCGUCAUUUGUCAUUCAUAUGUAGCGAGUAUGAUGUAUUCAAAAAAUUUGAAGUCCUUAAUAAAUCGGAGCAAUUACGAACAUUUGUUGCAUUACCCGUCCCUGUAAAUAAUAAGAUGAAAUGUUACUUAAGUACUGAGGUGCUUCAUGGCUUGUUGCCAAAGUUGAUACAAUUAAGGGUGCUCUCUUUGAGUGGUUAUGAAAUAAAUGAGUUGCCAAAUUCGAUUGGUGAUUUGAAACAUUUACGGUAUCUUAAUUUGUCUCAUACUAGACUCAAAUGGUUACCUGAAGCAGUGAGUAGUCUCUACAAUUUACAAUCAUUGAUAUUAUGCAAUUGUAUGGAACUCAUUAAGUUGUCUAUUUGCAUUAUGAAUUUAACCAAUCUUCGACAUCUUGAUAUUAGUGGUUCAACUAUGUUGGAAGAGAUGCCUCCACAAGUUGGAAGCUUGGUAAAUUUGCAAACAUUGUCUAAGUUUUUUCUAAGCAAAGAUAAUGGGUCACGAAUAAAAGAAUUGAAGAACUUGUUGAAUCUCCGAGGAGAGCUUGCCAUUUUAGGGUUGGAAAAUGUUUCGGAUCCAAGAGAUGCAAUGUAUGUCAAUUUGAAGGAGAUACCAAAUAUUGAAGACUUAAUUAUGGUAUGGAGUGAAGAUUCUGGUAAUUCAAGGAAUCAAAGUACUGAGAUAGAGGUCCUUAAGUGGUUGCAACCUCAUCAAAGUUUGAAAAAACUGGAAAUUGCAUUUUAUGGUGGCUCAAAAUUCCCGCAUUGGAUAGGAGAUCCAUCCUUCUCCAAAAUGGUUUGUUUGGAACUUACAAAUUGUAAAAAUUGCACAUCAUUGCCAGCACUUGGGGGUUUACCUUUCCUCAAAGAGUUGGUGAUUAAAGGAAUGAAUCAAGUUAAAAGCAUAGGUGAUGGGUUCUAUGGGGAUACCGCAAACCCUUUUCAGUCUUUGGAAUCUCUAAGAUUUGAGAAUAUGGCAGAAUGGAACAAUUGGUUAAUUCCCAAAUUGGGACAUGAGGAAACUGAAGCAUUGUUUCCUUGCCUCCAUGAGCUUAUGAUAAUAAAAUGUCCAAAACUGAUCAACUUACCUCAUGAGUUACCGUCCCUUGUGGUUUUUUUUGUUAAAGAAUGCCAAGAACUGGAAAUGUCAAUUCCACGACUUCCACUUCUUACUGAAUUAAUAGUAGUUGGGUCGUUAAAAAGUUGGGAUGGUGAUGUCCCCUCACUUACCCAAUUAUACAUUUGGGGAAUUUCGAGGCUGAGUUGUUUAUGGGAAAGGCUUGCACAACGCUUAAUGGUCCUUGAAGAUCUGGGAAUAAAUGAAUGUGAUGAGUUGGCAUGUUUGAGGAAGCCUGGAUUUGGACUGGAAAACCUUGGUGGUCUGCGACGUUUAUGGAAUAAUCAGGGGCUGCCGUGGUCGACAAUAAGUUGUGGAGUUUUGUGCUCAAAACCUCGACUCUCAUGAAUGUGCCCUUAGCUUUUUCCUUAUUUUUCCAAAGGAAGGUCCCUGCCCUCUUCCAAAACAGAGGUACUUAUUAAUGCAUUGAAUUGUAAGUUUUGAUAGAACACAAUUUUCACCAUUUUCGACUAAAAAUAUCGCUUUCAUUUUCUGAUAAUGAUGGAAUUUGUGCUGCACAUUGAUGUAGAUGAAAGCAAAAUUUCUGGCCAUUGGUGCAGCUUAUUUGCAAGGGGAAAUAUCCUAAACAUGAAAGAGUUGUACUAAAUGCACCAUUCUUUUUUCAUUUCAGGGUUUACACUUUCAAUUCCAGUCUCCACUGUCAAUUUUUUUUGGUAAUCAGGUCCAAAAGUAGUUUUAAGGCCCUAUUAAAUUUGGCACCAACUUCAUUUCCUACCAAGGGAUGGUCAGUUUUAGGGCCCAACUUCAUUUCCUACAAUAAGCUAAACAGUUUUGUGCUCAAAAACUCACCUCUCUUGAUUGUGUUCUUAGCUUGUUCCUUAUUUUCUUAAGAAAGGCCUUCCUACCAUAGUUUAAUAACUGGAUAUUUGGCACUUUCAACUCAAAAUAUUGCUUUCAAUUUCCAAUAAUGAUGUCUUGUACAUAUAGGAUGGCAGGAAAAAGGAUUGAUGUAGAUAAAAGGGUAAUUUCCUGCCAUUGAUGCACCUUAUUCAUAUCUGCAAGGGGAAAUGCCCUACACAUGAAAGGAGCUGUAAUAAAUGCACCAUUCUUUUUUAAUCUUGGGGUUUACAUGUGAUUCCAGUUUCAUCUGUACAAUUUUUUGCUAAUCAGGUCCAAAAGAAAUUUUAAGGCCCUAUCAAAUGUGGCACCAACUUCACUUCCUACCAAGGGAUGGGCAGCUUGGCAAACUUGCAGAACCUAACCCACAACAAGAGGCCUUAUAUCUGGUGCUUCAUUUUGCUUAAAGCCAGUAUUCUAUUUCAAUUACCAUUAAUUAAUAGAAGGUAUUUCCGAUUUUGUUUUAGUUCUAUUUCAUUCCAAUCUAAAUUUGCAUCUUAGUAUCUUAAUAAAGCCCUUCUAUCUGAUUUUGUUUUGUACUUUAUUCACACAGGAAUUCUCCCUUACUAAACACCAAGGUUUUCUGGGAUUCUGCCAUCAGCUUGGAAAUAUGUAUUGCAAAACGGGGGAGAGGUAUAACUUCUUUGUUGAUGAGAUUUUUUUUCCCUUUUUUCUGCUUUUCCACUUAAUUUUUUUUUACUAAUUACAUGACAUUGUAAAUGCUGUUGGCCUAGACCCUUACUACUGGCAACUGGUAUGUCAAGCAGUUCAGGAUGCAGAGAAAGGGCAUAUAUCCAGGUUGUUCUCUUUCUUAUUCUCUCUCUUCUCACUUGUAUUGAUUUAAAAUGUGCUCUUUCAAAUUAAGGUCUUUGUAAGUAAGUUGUUGAAGGUAAAAUCCCCUAAUUGGGGCACAUGAUGAUUGUAACCUAGCCAGGUAAGGUGAUAUUUUAUUACUGUCUUUCUAGCUUUUACAUUUGCAUAUUUCUAUAUGGUUGCUUAGGCUUCUGCACCAGAAUUCUUUUGACUUAGUGCUACAUAAUUUUUAUUUUUUUUAUCAUACUGUUUGCUACAAUGGGCAUGCUCUGCCCAUGUGAUACCAGAAGGUGAAGGUUGUGGAUUAGUAAAAGACUUGACCCUGAUGAUUCAUGUUACAAACUGAUGAAGAAGAGAGUCCACUAAUAUCUCUAGUUAGUCUUUGUAAAAUAAUUACUUAGGCCCUCUUGCAUAAUCAGUUUGUAUUUGGAGUCUCAUUUGUAUUUGGAGGCUCACUUCAUGUAGCAUUAAUCUGCCCAAUCUAAUAGGGAUAAAAGGCCCUCUUUCAUAAUCAGUUUAGGGUUGAAUAGAGGGCAAUUAUUGGUUCAAUCAACAUAGGGAAAUGAGAUUGAACCUCAUGCCCUCCACUUCCCACCUUUUCUUUUAUUUUUUAUUUUUUUCUCUUUAUAUUGAACCUCAUGACCCUCUAGAAAUGCCUCUGAGAAUCAUGUCAAGAAAUUGAUGAAUUGUAAAGAAUAUUUGUGAUGGUAGGAAUGUUAAGAUUGUAAAAUUAAAAAAAUAAUCUGAUGAAUUUACUGAAGACGGAUUUGAUAAGGGGUGAAAUAAUUUCUGUAAGGGAAGGAAAUUGCCUAACCUUGAGAGGGAAGAGUGGAUCCUUUCCAUGCUAUGAGGAGUUUGAAAAGAGGGAAGAGUUAAAGAAACUGAAAUGACAACCCUNNNNNNNNNNNNNNNNNNNNNNNNNNNNNNNNNNNNNNNNNNNNNNNNNNNNNNNNNNNNNNNNNNNNNNNNNNNNNNNNNNNNNNNNNNNNNNNNNNNNAAUAUCUCUAGUUAGUCUUUGUAAAAUAAUUACUUAGGCCCUCUUCCAUAAUCAGUUUGUAUUUGGAGUCUCAUUUGUAUUUGGAGGCUCACUUCAUGUAGCAUUAAUCUGCCCAAUCUAAUAGGGAUAAAAGGCCCUCUUUCAUAAUCAGUUUAGGGUUGAAGAGAGGGCAAUUAUUGGUUCAAUCAACAUAGGGAAAUGAGAUUGAACCUCAUGCCCUCCACUUCCCACCUUUUCUUUUAUUUUUUAUUUUUUUUCUCUUUAUAUUGAACCUCAUGACCCUCUAGAAAUGCCUCUCAGAAUCAUGGCAAGAAAUUGGUGAAUUGUAAAGAAUAUUUGUGAUGGUAGGAAUGUUAAGAUUGUAGAAUUAAAAAAAUAAUCUGAUGAAUUUACUGAAGACGGAUUUGAUAAGGGGUGAAAUAAUUUCUGUAAGGGAAGGAAAUUGCCUAACCUUGAGAGGGAAGAGUGGAUCCUUUCCAUGCUAUGAGGAGUUUGAAAAGAGGGAAGAGUUAAAGAAACUGAAAUGACAACCCUUGGAUCCUCUUAAUCUGUAGAAUUUAAGGAGUAUGCAAGGCAAAAGUUAUUGAAUAGCAGGAUGUGUAUUCUUUUGGACUUGAUAACAACGAGAAGAAUUUUAGUGGAGGUAGAAUCAAUUAGGCCUGCCCAUGUGGCAUCUCCAGCAUUGCUUUGACUCUAAAGCUUUUUCAGAUUCUUCCUACUUCUUUUCCAUUCUUUGUCAUGUGUUUGGCUGCACCUGCAUGUUCUUUGUCGAUAUACAUGACAAAUAGUUAUGUUAUUAGUGCUUCAAUUUAUAUAUAUACAUAUAUAAUCAGAAUUUAUUCCUUGAAUAUUAAUCUAUAAAGAAUCCAUAUACCCUUGAUUUUCACUUCUCUUUGCAUUCCGUACUUAUGCAAUCUGUAAUUAUUGUUGCAUUAGGGUUAUUCUUCAGGUGUUGAAGAUGUGGAUGAGGUUCAUACACCAGAUUCUGACUAUAUUAAAUAAGCUAAAUCUUGGCAAGCAUAGGGGGCCACAAGUACAUAGUUUUUCUUUCCAUUAAGAUGGAAUACACAAACACAUAUUUAUGUGUUGGUGUCUGAUUUUAUAAUUUUCCACUCCUUAUGUUAUAUAAUUUAUUUCCAGAUUAGCAUUUCACAAAUGCAUUGAUGAAGUUACAGAGAGCUGGUAUAAUAGGGGAGUUUCUAAGUAUUUUUGUAAAUGAGUUGGUAAAUUCUUGUCUCCUAAUUGUACUUUGUAUUAGUUUACUUUCUGUUUCUUAUCUUCUUUUUUGCUUCACAUUUGGUCAAUGGAGAAUAUCCUAUUGCAGUCCUUUUCCACAUAAAAGAAUUGCGAUGGUGUAAGGCUGAAUGAGUCCUAAGCUUCAACCCUUAUUGCAAGAAGAAUAGAGAAAGGACAUAUUUAUCCAUUGAAAGAUUCAUAUUUUCUCUUAAUAGGGGAAUGAGCAGAGAUCAUGUUUCCCUCCUUAUAUGACAAAUUUUGCUUCUACGCCUUUGCUAAAUUUGAAAAAAAAAUUAUUUUUAUUUUUUUAUAAUAAUUAUAAACUAAUUUCCACAUUAUAUAGUGUGUAGCACGGCUUAAAAGGUUCCAUUCUUGUGAAGUGAAAGAAAUACAAUCACCUUUUGCACUAUUCUUCGUUGAUUUUGGAGUAAUGCAUUAUAUAAAGUUUCAUCAAUGUUUCCAUGAUAUUUUAUGGUAAAUCACAUCCUUAAGACACAAAAAAGUAUGAUUUUAUUAUUAUUACUAUUAUUAUUAUUAUUAUUAUUAUUAUUUAAUUUGUUCUAUUUUUGAUAUGAUAUGAGUUUUUUUCUACUCAUUUUCCCCCUUUUUAUUUGGUAUGGGCAGGUGGUCUUAAUAGGGGUUCAAAGAUGUCUCUUAUUGGCUUUCUAGAAGGUGAGCUACCCACAUUGACCCACCACCAACACUUGCAAGAGUUGUAAUGGGGAGAUGUCAUAUUCUAAAAGAGAGGUGCCUCAAAGACAAAGGAAAAUAUUAGCCUAAGAUUGCUCACAUCCCCUAUAUGGAAAUAGAUGACAUUAUAAAACUACAAGAAGUUCAACCAGGUACUCCCAAUAUAUGGAAAUAGUUGUGCCCUUGAGUACCUGAAAAUUAAAGAUUGUCCAUCUCUUAUUGGCUUUCCGAAAGGGGAGCUACCCGCCACCCUUAAGAAGCUGAUAAUUAUAAAUUGUGAGAAGCUAGAGUCUCUACCUGAGGGAAUUGACAACAACACUUGUCAUCUUGAAUAUCUACAUGUAUGGGGAUGUCCAUCUCUCAAGUCCAUUCCAAGAGGUUACUUUCCCUCAACACUUGAGACCCUUUCCAUUUGGGACUGCCAGCAAUUGGAGUCGAUUCCAGGGAAUAUGCAGCAAAAUCUCACAUCUCUUCAAGUUUUGCAAAUAUGUAAUUGUCGAGAUGUGUUGUCCUCUCCAGAAGCGUUUUUGAACCCUAACCUUGAAGAACUUUGUAUUUCAGAUUGUGAGAAUAUGAGGUGGCCUCUAUCUGGGUGGGGCCUCCACACACUCACCUCUCUUGAUAAGCUCAUGAUUCAAGGCCCAUUCCCAGAUCUGCUUUCUUUUCCCAGCUCUCACCUUCUUCUUCCUACAUCUAUCACAUGUCUCCGGUUGGUAAAUCUCUACAACUUGAAAUCCAUAGCCUCCAUAAGUCUCCGAAGCCUCAUCUCUCUUAAAAUCCUUGAACUCUAGAAUUGCCCUAAGCUCUGGUCCUUUGUGCCCAAGGGUGAGCAACACUUGCAAUACUUGAAAUCUGGGAGUGUCCUAUUCUAGAAAAGAGGUGUCUCAAGGACAAACGGAAAGAUUGGCCCAAGAUUGGCCACAUCCCCUACGUUCAAAUAAAUGACAUUGUACAACAAUAACAGCUUCAAUAAGGUACUCCUAAUUCUCUGUAAUCUUCCAUCAAAGGUUCUACUUGCUAAUUACUACCCUCUCUAUAAUAUUUGAGUCGCCCUUUUGUUAUGUAAUCAGGGGUUCUCCUAAUUUUUCAGAAGUUAGGCCUUCCUACCACAAUUUAAUAUUGAUAUUUGGCAUUGCCCUCUUCCAAAACAAAGGUGCGUAUUAAUGCAUUGAAUUGUAAGUUCUGAUGGAACAUAAUUUUCACCAUUUUCAACCCUAACAUAUUGCUUUCAUUUUCUAAUAAUGAUGGAAUUUAUGUUGCACAGAAUUUCCUGCCAUUCAUAUCUGCAAGGGUAAAUACUAAAUAUCCUACACAUGAAAGAAGAUGUACUAAAUGCCCCAUUCUUUUCUAGUUUCUGGAUUUACAUGUGAUUCAAGUUUUAAGGCCCUAUCAAAUUUGGGCAACAACUUCACUUCCCACCAAGGGAUGGGCAAAAGGCCUUAUGUUUGGUGGUUCUUUUUGUUUAAAGCUCAGUAUAUUGAUUCAAUCACCAUUAAUUGUUAAAAGGUAUUUAAGAUUUUGUUUUAGUUCUGUUUCAUUCCAGUCUAAAUUUGAAUCUUAUUAUGUUAAUGAAGCCCUUUUAUUUAAUUUUUUUUUCUGUACUUUAAUCACACAGGAAUGCUCCUUUAUUUAACACCUUGGUUUUUUGGGAUUCUGCCAUCUUUUUGCAAAUAUGUAUUGCAAAAACGGGAGAGGUAUAACUUUCUCGAACUUCUAAACUGACCAUUGUAUUUCAUCAGAUUGUUUUUAACUUUCUCAUAUUUUUCCCCUCAAAUUUACAUCUUUUUGACUAAUUACAUGAUAUUGUAGUUACUGUUGACCUAGAGAGGACCUUUCUACUAGCAUCUGGUAUGUCAAGCUGUUCAGGAUGCACAGAAAGGACAUAUAUCCCAGGUUGUUCUUUUUGUCAUUAUGUCUCUCCUCACUUGUAUUAAUUUCAAAUGUGCUCAUUCAAAUUUAUAUUAUCAUAAUAUAAAUUGAAGAUAAAAUCCCUUAAUGAGAGGUGGUAGUUAGGUCUUUGUAAGUAAGUUGUUGAAGGUAAACCUUGGUGAUGAGCUGGCAUGUUUGAGGAAGCCUGGAUUUGGGUUGGAAAACCUUGGUGGUUUAUGGAUGGAUGGGUGUGAUGGGAUUGUAUCCUUGGACGAGCAAAGGCUGCCUUGCAAUCUUCAAUAUUUGGAAGUGAAAGGAUGUUUCAACUUAGAGAAGCUGCCAAAUGCACUAUGCACCCUCACAUCUCUUAUAGAUUUGGUAAUUCAUAAUUGCCAGAACUUGUGCCAUUCCUAGAGACAAAUAUGUUGCCCAUGCUAAGACUUCUUUUGGUGAAAAAUUGUGAGCUUUUGGAGACGUUGGCCGAUGGAAUGGUGAGCACCAGAUGUGCCUUUGAGUGCUUAGAAAUUGUAGAUUGUCCAUCUCUUAUUAGAUUACCAAAAGGUAAGCUAUCGACCACCCUUAAGAAGCUACUCAUUAUAGAUUGCCAAAAACUAGAGUCUCUACCUGAGGGAAUUAUGCACCACACUUCAAUUGACAGCAACAACACUUGUCGUCUUGAACAACUACAUGUAUUGGGAUGUUUGUCUCUCAAGUGCAUUCCAAGAGGCAACUUUCCUUCCUUUCUUGAGAUGCUUUUCAUUUGGAAUUGCAAGAAAUUAGAGCCAAUUCCAGGCAAUAUGCUGCAAAAUCUCACAGCUCUUGGUAUGUUGGGUCUAUGUAAUUGUCCAGAUGUGAGGUUGUCUCCAAAAGAAUUUUGGACCACCAACCUUAAAUAACUUGCGAUUUCAGAUUGUGAGAAUAUGAAGAAGCCUCUAUCCUUUGUGCCAAAGGAAGGGCUGCCACCAUCACUUGCAAGACUUGUAAUCAUGGGUGUCCUAUUCUAGAACAAAUGAAAAGAUUGGCCCAAUAUUGCCUACACCCCCUAGAUGGAAAUAGAUGGCAUUGUCUAACAAUAACAAUUUCAAUCAGGUACCCACAAUUCUCUGUAAUCUUCCACCAAAUAUUCUACUUGCUAAUAACUUUCUUUCUCUAAAACGUUCUAUUCUUCAUGUUGUUCCGUAUCUCAGUUCCACUUGUUAAUUCAAAUGAUUUUAUUAUUUCUUAAAGAAGCUUAAAAUUCACACAGAAAAAGCACCGUACUUUAUGUUUUCUUUAUUUAUUUUCCUUUCCCCUUUUUAAUCUUAAUCAUUAACAGUUCUUUUAAAAUAUUUGUCGUCAGAUACUUGUUACAGAGGGGGUUGUGCUUAGCCAGUGUGUGACUCUGGAAACCCCACGUAAAAUGUAUGGCAACAACUGAGUCCUAUCAAUACUUGCAACAUUACAUAAUCAAGAGAGAUGUCCUAUUCUGAAAAGGAGGUCCAUGAAGAACAAAGGAAUAGGAUGGCCCUAAACUGCUCAUAUCCUCCCAUAUCUGGAGAUAGAUUGCAUUGUACAGCAGUAAAAAGGUCAAUCAAGUACCCCAAUUAAUGAUAGUCGCUCUUUUCUCUUGUUGCUCACAUCCAUCCUUCUAUCUGAUUGGAAAUUUAGUUCUCUAAUUCAUCAGUUAUGUGCAACAAUUUAUAUUUGCAUUAAAAAAAUUUCUGAAUAUAUAUUCAAAAUGAAAUGCUCUUGAUCUUAUUUUUUUGCCUUUUACAUUGAAAACAUAUAACUCUUUUUCAUUAUUAUGCUAACAGAAAGGAAUAUUGAGUUUCAUCCUGCAGAUUCCAUGUCUGAAGUGAAUAUGGUGUUGGUUGUUCAUUCUCUAAUAUGGUGAUGGUGAAAAGAAGAUGAAAGGGCCUAGGAAAAGCAUGGUACAUAUGCUAUUUUCAUUUUUUAUCUUAUAUUUCCUAUUUUAAUUUUAAAAUAAAAUGGCUACUGGGCCAUGCCUUUUUAAUCAUAUCAACAUGGAAAAGCAGUCAAAAAGAGUUGGAAAAACAACCUGCUUAUGAUUACAUUCGUUGGUCUACCUAUAGAUCUUGGGUUGGAUAUGGUGCAGAGGAAGAUUUUUACAAACAAACCUAUUUAAGGUAUUUGGGACUAUCCUCUUCCAAACACAGGUGAUUAUUAGUCUAUUGAAUUGUAAGUCUGAUAUAAAAAACAAUCUCCAUUUCUAACUCAAAAUAUUGCUUUUGCUUCUUGAUAAUGAUGGAAUUUACUUUUUAGAUGCAGGAUGGCAAUCAAAGGGACUGAUGUAGAUGAAAGCAAAAUUCAUGGCCAUUGAUGCAGCUUAUUAGCAUCUGCAAAGGUAAAUAUCCUAAACAUGAAAGAGCAGUACUAAAUGCAUCAUUCUAGGCCAUGUAAAUUUAAAAAAAAAAAUUCAAUCAGGUCCAAAAAGAGUUUUAAGCCCAAUCGAAUUUGCCACCAGCUUCACAUGGCAAUAAUUUCACAUAGAGAUACAUGGUUGAUACACCUAUUAAAAGUCUUGUUGCAUUUUUUCUUUCUUUCUUUUUUCCGUUUUCAAUAUGCUUCAAUUUCAUGAUGCAAGGGGCCUUACAUCUGGUGGUUCAUUUUGCUUAAAGCCAGAAUACUAUUUCCAUCACCAUUAAUAAAUACAAGGUAAUUAAGAUUUUGCUUGAGUUCUCUUUGAUUUUAAACCAAAUUUGCAUCUUAUUAUGCUAAUGAGCCUCUUAUUUGAUUUUACUGUGUACAUUAAUCACUCAGGCAUGCUCCCUAAUUUAUUCUUCCCUUUGCUUGGAAAUAUGUACUACAAAAAAGCAAGAGGUAUCACUCUCUCAAACCUUUCAAUUGCCUAGUAAUAUGGUUCAUUUUAGCAUGUAGCAUUUCUCAUCAAACCUUUGAAACUACUUGGAAAUAUAGUUGAACACCGUGUUUCUCAUCUUUUGUUCCUUUUUUCUGCUUAUGCAUACAAGGCAACAAGCUAAAAGAGCCUUAGGGUGUGUUUGGAGUUGUUUUCAAAAAUGGUUUUCUAUUUUUAAGAAAAAAAAAAAGGUCAUAACAUGUUUGAUAAUCGGAAAACAAAAAGCAAAGUGUUUUCCAAGAAUAUAUUUUAAUUGUUUUUGGUGGUUUUAACUUUUUUCUAAAUAUUGUUUUAAAAAUAAUUAUACAAAUAUGGAGAAUGAUUGAAAAUUAAGUAUUUACAAAUUAAAGUUAUUUAAAAAAAUAUUUAAAAAUAUAGAAAAUAGGUUAAACACAUUUCAGAUUUUCAAACAAGAUUUGUCAAAUUUAUAGGAAGUGAAUUGGCAUUUUCCUCAAAACUUUGAUUUUGCUUUUUAAUAUUUUAUUCUAUUUUAUGACGAUAGUAUUUUCUUGUACCUCUCCCUUAAAUUUGAAACUAGUUUUUCUGAUUUUUUUAUUGGUAAGUAUAACCUAAUUUAAUUUCCCCAUCAUAGUAGGACUAAAAAGUGGAGAUUCUUAUGGAAUGAAAGAAAUGCAAUCAACUCUCACACUAUGAUGAACUGCAAGCAUAUUUCAAUAUUUUGAUGGUAUUUAUUCUAUUUCACCAAAUACUAAUGGAAAGUUAUUCAUUACUUGAAUCAUUCUAACAGGCAAUUGAGCUGGUACAUCACAAACUGAAUUGAUAGGACAAUGAUAGUGACAAUAUUCUUAGCAAGUUCGGGUCAUGUAUUACAUAUAAGGUUUCUUCAGUUUUUACAAGAUGUUUUAUGGUGAAUUACACCCUUAUGACACACGCAAACCCAAAAAAAAAAAAAACAAAGGAUUUUAAGUCAUUUCUUUUUUUCCCUUUUGUUAAUUUGGUAUGGGCAGGUGGUCAUAAACAAAGGAGCUCAAUGAGUUAGAACUACAGCCUCACUGUNNNNNNNNNNNNNNNNNNNNNNNNNNNNNNNNNNNNNNNNNNNNNNNNNNNNNNNNNNNNNNNNNNNNNNNNNNNNNNNNNNNNNNNNNNNNNNNNNNNNNNNNNNNNNNNNNNNNNNNNNNNNNNNNNNNNNNNNNNNNNNNNNNNNNNNNNNNNNNNNNNNNNNNNNNNNNNNNNNNNNNNNNNNNNNNNNNNNNNNNNNNNNNNNNNNNNNNNNNNNNNNNNNNNNNNNNNNNNNNNNNNNNNNNNNNNNNNNNNNNNNNNNNNNNNNNNNNNNNNNNNNNNNNNNNNNNNNNNNNNNNNNNNNNNNNNNNNNNNNNNNNNNNNNNNNNNNNNNNNNNNNNNNNNNNNNNNNNNNNNNNNNNNNNNNNNNNNNNNNNNNNNNNNNNNNNNNNNNNNNNNNNNNNNNNNNNNNNNNNNNNNNNNNNNNNNNNNNNNNNNNNNNNNNNNNNNNNNNNNNNNNNNNNNNNNNNNNNNNNNNNNNNNNNNNNNNNNNNNNNNNNNNNNNNNNNNNNNNNNNNNNNNNNNNNNNNNNNNNNNNNNNNNNNNNNNNNNNNNNNNNNNNNNNNNNNNNNNNNNNNNNNNNNNNNNNNNNNNNNNNNNNNNNNNNNNNNNNNNNNNNNNNNNNNNNNNNNNNNNNNNNNNNNNNNNNNNNNNNNNNNNNNNNNNNNNNNNNNNNNNNNNNNNNNNNNNNNNNNNNNNNNNNNNNNNNNNNNNNNNNNNNNNNNNNNNNNNNNNNNNNNNNNNNNNNNNNNNNNNNNNNNNNNNNNNNNNNNNNNNNNNNNNNNNNNNNNNNNNNNNNNNNNNNNNNNNNNNNNNNNNNNNNNNNNNNNNNNNNNNNNNNNNNNNNNNNNNNNNNNNNNNNNNNNNNNNNNNNNNNNNNNNNNNNNNNNNNNNNNNNNNNNNNNNNNNNNNNNNNNNNNNNNNNNNNNNNNNNNNNNNNNNNNNNNNNNNNNNNNNNNNNNNNNNNNNNNNNNNNNNNNNNNNNNNNNNNNNNNNNNNNNNNNNNNNNNNNNNNNNNNNNNNNNNNNNNNNNNNNNNNNNNNNNNNNNNNNNNNNNNNNNNNNNNNNNNNNNNNNNNNNNNNNNNNNNNNNNNNNNNNNNNNNNNNNNNNNNNNNNNNNNNNNNNNNNNNNNNNNNNNNNNNNNNNNNNNNNNNNNNNNNNNNNNNNNNNNNNNNNNNNNNNNNNNNNNNNNNNNNNNNNNNNNNNNNNNNNNNNNNNNNNNNNNNNNNNNNNNNNNNNNNNNNNNNNNNNNNNNNNNNNNNNNNNNNNNNNNNNNNNNNNNNNNNNNNNNNNNNNNNNNNNNNNNNNNNNNNNNNNNNNNNNNNNNNNNNNNNNNNNNNNNNNNNNNNNNNNNNNNNNNNNNNNNNNNNNNNNNNNNNNNNNNNNNNNNNNNNNNNNNNNNNNNNNNNNNNNNNNNNNNNNNNNNNNNNNNNNNNNNNNNNNNNNNNNNNNNNNNNNNNNNNNNNNNNNNNNNNNNNNNNNNNNNNNNNNNNNNNNNNNNNNNNNNNNNNNNNNNNNNNNNNNNNNNNNNNNNNNNNNNNNNNNNNNNNNNNNNNNNNNNNNNNNNNNNNNNNNNNNNNNNNNNNNNNNNNNNNNNNNNNNNNNNNNNNNNNNNNNNNNNNNNNNNNNNNNNNNNNNNNNNNNNNNNNNNNNNNNNNNNNNNNNNNNNNNNNNNNNNNNNNNNNNNNNNNNNNNNNNNNNNNNNNNNNNNNNNNNNNNNNNNNNNNNNNNNNNNNNNNNNNNNNNNNNNNNNNNNNNNNNNNNNNNNNNNNNNNNNNNNNNNNNNNNNNNNNNNNNNNNNNNNNNNNNNNNNNNNNNNNNNNNNNNNNNNNNNNNNNNNNNNNNNNNNNNNNNNNNNNNNNNNNNNNNNNNNNNNNNNNNNNNNNNNNNNNNNNNNNNNNNNNNNNNNNNNNNNNNNNNNNNNNNNNNNNNNNNNNNNNNNNNNNNNNNNNNNNNNNNNNNNNNNNNNNNNNNNNNNNNNNNNNNNNNNNNNNNNNNNNNNNNNNNNNNNNNNNNNNNNNNNNNNNNNNNNNNNNNNNNNNNNNNNNNNNNNNNNNNNNNNNNNNNNNNNNNNNNNNNNNNNNNNNNNNNNNNNNNNNNNNNNNNNNNNNNNNNNNNNNNNNNNNNNNNNNNNNNNNNNNNNNNNNNNNNNNNNNNNNNNNNNNNNNNNNNNNNNNNNNNNNNNNNNNNNNNNNNNNNNNNNNNNNNNNNNNNNNNNNNNNNNNNNNNNNNNNNNNNNNNNNNNNNNNNNNNNNNNNNNNNNNNNNNNNNNNNNNNNNNNNNNNNNNNNNNNNNNNNNNNNNNNNNNNNNNNNNNNNNNNNNNNNNNNNNNNNNNNNNNNNNNNNNNNNNNNNNNNNNNNNNNNNNNNNNNNNNNNNNNNNNNNNNNNNNNNNNNNNNNNNNNNNNNNNNNNNNNNNNNNNNNNNNNNNNNNNNNNNNNNNNNNNNNNNNNNNNNNNNNNNNNNNNNNNNNNNNNNNNNNNNNNNNNNNNNNNNNNNNNNNNNNNNNNNNNNNNNNNNNNNNNNNNNNNNNNNNNNNNNNNNNNNNNNNNNNNNNNNNNNNNNNNNNNNNNNNNNNNNNNNNNNNNNNNNNNNNNNNNNNNNNNNNNNNNNNNNNNNNNNNNNNNNNNNNNNNNNNNNNNNNNNNNNNNNNNNNNNNNNNNNNNNNNNNNNNNNNNNNNNNNNNNNNNNNNNNNNNNNNNNNNNNNNNNNNNNNNNNNNNNNNNNNNNNNNNNNNNNNNNNNNNNNNNNNNNNNNNNNNNNNNNNNNNNNNNNNNNNNNNNNNNNNNNNNNNNNNNNNNNNNNNNNNNNNNNNNNNNNNNNNNNNNNNNNNNNNNNNNNNNNNNNNNNNNNNNNNNNNNNNNNNNNNNNNNNNNNNNNNNNNNNNNNNNNNNNNNNNNNNNNNNNNNNNNNNNNNNNNNNNNNNNNNNNNNNNNNNNNNNNNNNNNNNNNNNNNNNNNNNNNNNNNNNNNNNNNNNNNNNNNNNNNNNNNNNNNNNNNNNNNNNNNNNNNNNNNNNNNNNNNNNNNNNNNNNNNNNNNNNNNNNNNNNNNNNNNNNNNNNNNNNNNNNNNNNNNNNNNNNNNNNNNNNNNNNNNNNNNNNNNNNNNNNNNNNNNNNNNNNNNNNNNNNNNNNNNNNNNNNNNNNNNNNNNNNNNNNNNNNNNNNNNNNNNNNNNNNNNNNNNNNNNNNNNNNNNNNNNNNNNNNNNNNNNNNNNNNNNNNNNNNNNNNNNNNNNNNNNNNNNNNNNNNNNNNNNNNNNNNNNNNNNNNNNNNNNNNNNNNNNNNNNNNNNNNNNNNNNNNNNNNNNNNNNNNNNNNNNNNNNNNNNNNNNNNNNNNNNNNNNNNNNNNNNNNNNNNNNNNNNNNNNNNNNNNNNNNNNNNNNNNNNNNNNNNNNNNNNNNNNNNNNNNNNNNNNNNNNNNNNNNNNNNNNNNNNNNNNNNNNNNNNNNNNNNNNNNNNNNNNNNNNNNNNNNNNNNNNNNNNNNNNNNNNNNNNNNNNNNNNNNNNNNNNNNNNNNNNNNNNNNNNNNNNNNNNNNNNNNNNNNNNNNNNNNNNNNNNNNNNNNNNNNNNNNNNNNNNNNNNNNNNNNNNNNNNNNNNNNNNNNNNNNNNNNNNNNNNNNNNNNNNNNNNNNNNNNNNNNNNNNNNNNNNNNNNNNNNNNNNNNNNNNNNNNNNNNNNNNNNNNNNNNNNNNNNNNNNNNNNNNNNNNNNNNNNNNNNNNNNNNNNNNNNNNNNNNNNNNNNNNNNNNNNNNNNNNNNNNNNNNNNNNNNNNNNNNNNNNNNNNNNNNNNNNNNNNNNNNNNNNNNNNNNNNNNNNNNNNNNNNNNNNNNNNNNNNNNNNNNNNNNNNNNNNNNNNNNNNNNNNNNNNNNNNNNNNNNNNNNNNNNNNNNNNNNNNNNNNNNNNNNNNNNNNNNNNNNNNNNNNNNNNNNNNNNNNNNNNNNNNNNNNNNNNNNNNNNNNNNNNNNNNNNNNNNNNNNNNNNNNNNNNNNNNNNNNNNNNNNNNNNNNNNNNNNNNNNNNNNNNNNNNNNNNNNNNNNNNNNNNNNNNNNNNNNNNNNNNNNNNNNNNNNNNNNNNNNNNNNNNNNNNNNNNNNNNNNNNNNNNNNNNNNNNNNNNNNNNNNNNNNNNNNNNNNNNNNNNNNNNNNNNNNNNNNNNNNNNNNNNNNNNNNNNNNNNNNNNNNNNNNNNNNNNNNNNNNNNNNNNNNNNNNNNNNNNNNNNNNNNNNNNNNNNNNNNNNNNNNNNNNNNNNNNNNNNNNNNNNNNNNNNNNNNNNNNNNNNNNNNNNNNNNNNNNNNNNNNNNNNNNNNNNNNNNNNNNNNNNNNNNNNNNNNNNNNNNNNNNNNNNNNNNNNNNNNNNNNNNNNNNNNNNNNNNNNNNNNNNNNNNNNNNNNNNNNNNNNNNNNNNNNNNNNNNNNNNNNNNNNNNNNNNNNNNNNNNNNNNNNNNNNNNNNNNNNNNNNNNNNNNNNNNNNNNNNNNNNNNNNNNNNNNNNNNNNNNNNNNNNNNNNNNNNNNNNNNNNNNNNNNNNNNNNNNNNNNNNNNNNNNNNNNNNNNNNNNNNNNNNNNNNNNNNNNNNNNNNNNNNNNNNNNNNNNNNNNNNNNNNNNNNNNNNNNNNNNNNNNNNNNNNNNNNNNNNNNNNNNNNNNNNNNNNNNNNNNNNNNNNNNNNNNNNNNNNNNNNNNNNNNNNNNNNNNNNNNNNNNNNNNNNNNNNNNNNNNNNNNNNNNNNNNNNNNNNNNNNNNNNNNNNNNNNNNNNNNNNNNNNNNNNNNNNNNNNNNNNNNNNNNNNNNNNNAGCAAAUGUUCCUCAUUGACCAAACACACUAAGAAGCUCAAUGAUUCUAUUUUUUAAAGAAAUAUGCAUGGCAAAGAGACUCUGAAACAAAAGUUUGACUAAUUUCGGUUUUGUUAAUAACAAAACAAGGUUUGAAACUAAUAAUUCAUUUUAAGUGUUUUUUAGCAAGAGGAUUUCCAAAGAACCAAUCACAACAACAUAAUAAAGUGAAAUCAAGAAAAAAGAGAAGACCUUAAAGAGGAAAUCAAGCAAGACUCAUGUCUAGGAUCUUUUUAUAAAAUUGUUGAUGCACUAGGUUCAAAGUGCAUUUUAUUUUUAUUUAAGUACCUAAAAUCAUCCAAUUUUCUAAAUCAACUUUAUUCUUUUAUAAAGUAAUGAAGAAUCUUUCUAAAUGUAAACCAACUUUAUUUAGUACUAUUCAUAGUUUAAAAGGUCUUUAAAAGGAAAAGGAGUUUAUCUACCUAGGUUUUCCUAAGAAUUUUGUGAAAAUUAUAGAAUUCAUUUAUGCAUAUUUCAAUGAUUUUUACAUGUCAAAUUUAAAAUUGAUUAUUUCAAGAUAAAAACUCAGAUUUUGACAUAUAUUUCAUCAUUUAAAUGAGUACUUUUUUCAAUAUUAUGUUUUCAUAUUAAAAUAAUUUGAGUCAUUAAAAGUCAUUUAUGUAUCAAUUUUCCAUAUUUUGCAUAUGCUUGAUUGAAGUGACUCAAUUGGUUGAAUUGGUUAUUGUUCACUCAAUUGAUUGAGGAUUGGUAGAAUUGGUUGAGCUCUUAUGAUGUAAUAGUCAUUUUUUUGUAUCUUCUAUCACCCAAAACUAGUGACCAAUUGGUUGACUAAUCGAUCCCAAAUUGUUUUUGACAAUUAGUUUAGGUCUUCAACUUUUAAUUAAAGGAUCCAAGCUUUGUGUACCAUUUAUUAUAGAUUUUUUAUUCCAUUGAGCCAAUUUAUAAACCAAAAGUUAUAUUCUUGUCAAAUCUUUUCUCAUAUACCUUGUGAGGUAGGCUCAAGUGUGGGGUAAAACUUGAGGAAUUCCAAAUGUGGUGUGACUUUUAAAGAAUUCAAAAGUUGUUCUCUUAAAGGUGUUUUGUAAAUGGUGCUUGAAAUCAUUUUCUGAAAGGGUACUUGGAGUCACAAGUUUAAAAGGAUUGAUUAGAAUUAUAAUUCAAUUGUGAAACUUGAAGACUCAUAUUGAAGCUUUGAUUAAUAGAACCCUCACUCAAUUAAGAGUUUAAGGAGAUGGAUGUAGGCGGACUUGUGCUGAACCAUUCAUAAAAACUAGUGCUUGCAUUUGUGUUUUCUUUACGUACUUGCAAUAUCACUUACUUUCUAAAUCUAAAUUUGUAAAAAGUGACUAUUACUAUUCACCUCUUUUGUAAAGUGAUUAUCUUAUAUUGGUAUACCUCAAAUUGUAAUAAAAACCACAAAACAUAAGAACAACAAAAUCAAACACUUAUCCUAUUGGACAGUGUGAACACUUACAUAAAACCAAACCAGAUUUUUUAAUCAAGCCUUCUUGAAAGGAAACAAUGAUAAUCAUAUAGUAGAAAAGCUUGAAGAAAGUUAUGAAGGAGACAUGAGGAAAUGUGCGGAAAUUCAUUUUUCAUUUUUUAUUUUUUUUUAAAGUCCAAGUGUUUUGAUUACGUGGCAUUUGACGGCAAUCCCACAUCGAAUUGCUUAUGUGGCUGGAGGAGUAUGGGCAAAUAUGGAAUUCUUAUUUUAACAUCCUUGAAGUGCUUAUUUGAGAGACUAUUUCUACGUGAUGUAGCUGGUAUAAAAGACAAGGAUUGCCUUCUUUAAAAUAAUACAUUUUUUUAAACCCAUAUGGUUGCAUAAUCGCCCUUCGGAUUUUCUAAACAUAGAGCAGUGUGUAUCAUACUCUCUCUUCAGUAAUUGAAUGGCAGCACACACCACAUCAACCACCACAGCAAUCCACACCUCUUGGUCAAUUCUUCACAUUAUUUUUUAAACCCUCACAUACAAUUGGCUAUAAUAUAACAUGGAGUUUCAUAAUUGAUCAGUUUCAUAAUAAACAUGGAAACAGCAUAUGUUUCCAUGUUUAAAUAAUUUUAUUUUACGAGGUUGUUUCCCAACUUCUCCAUUAAAAUUUGUAUUAGUUUAUAUAUUUUCCAAACACGGAUCAGUGCAGCCCAUGUGCCCCUCUCUCUGCCACGCUUUCCUUUUCCAAACCUUGUUGACCCAGCAACCACCAUUGCAAUCUACACCAGUUGCUCACGUCUGCGCUGAUAAAAUUUUCAAUCUCGCUUGUUUCUUUUGUCUCCACUGCCUGCCCUUCGAUUUCUGGAAAGAACUAGCCGAUGGAGGUUGUUGGAGAGUCUGUUCUUUCUGCUGCCCUCCAAGUUCUGUUCGGUAAGUUGGUUUUCCCUGAGUUGCUCAACUUUGCUGGCCAAGAGGGGGUCAUUGCUGAACUUGAAAACUGGAAGGAGAAACUGAUGAUGAUUAAUGAAGUGCUGGACGAAGCUGAGGAGAAGCAGACAUCAAAGCCGUCCGUGAAAAACUGGCUUGACAAUCUCCGAGACUUGGCUUACGACAUGGAAGAUGUGCUGGAUGAGUUCGCGACCGAGCUGUUGCGAUGCAGGUUGAUGUCAGAAGGUGCUGAUCAGGUGGCCACCACAAGUAAGGUACGGAGCCUCAUCCCGACUUGCUUUACUGGUUUCAAUCCUGUUGAUGAAGUUAAGUUUAAUAUUGAGAUGGGGACCAAGAUCAAGGAAAUCACUAGGCGGUUAGGCGAUAGUUCAACCCGGAAAGCUGAGCUGGGUUUUGAUAUGGUCCCGGGUGUUGAAACAAGUUGGGGAAGUUUUGCAUCUGGAGCAGCUUCUACUUGGCAACGACCCCCUUCUACAUCUUUGAUUAACGAAGCUGUUCACGGCAGGGAUAAAGAUAAAGAAGUCAUUAUUGAGAUGCUGUUGAAGGAUGAAGCAGGUGAAAGCAACUUUGGGGUAAUUCCCAUUGUAGGUAUAGGUGGGAUGGGGAAAACUACACUGGCCCAGUUGAUAUACAGGGAUGAAAGAAAUAGUGAAGCAUUUUGAGCCAAGGGUGUGGGUGUGUAUCAGAUGAGAGCGAUGUAGAGAAGUUAACGAAGAUAAUUCUCAAUGCCGUCUCUCCGAAUGAAGUCCGUGAUGGGGAUAACUUUAAUCAAGUGCAGCUCAAGCUAAGCAAUAAUCUGGCUGGAAAAAGGUUUUUGCUAGUUUUGGACGAUGUGUGGAACAUCAACAAUUAUGAGCGAUGGAAUCACUUACAGACUCCCUUUAAGUCCGGAGCUAGAGGAAGUAAAAUUGCAGUAACAACACGUCAUGGGAAUGUUGCAUCUUUGAUGAGAGCAGACAGCUUCCACCAUUUGCUCAAGCCUUUAUCCAAUGAUGAUUGUUGGAAUGUAUUUGUGAAACAUGCAUUUGAAAACAAGAAUGCCAAUGAACAUCCAAAUUUGGAAUUAAUUCAACAAAGGGUCGUAGAGAAAUGUAGUGGCCUGCCCUUAGCAGCAAAGAUGCUUGGUGGGCUUCUACGCUCCGAACCACAGGAUCGAUGGGAACGUGUACUGAGUAGAAAAAUUUGGAAUAAGAGUGGUGUUUUUCCAGUGCUAAGAUUAAGCUAUCAACAUCUCCCUUCACAUCUAAAAAGAUGUUUUGCUUAUUGUGCGUUGUUUUCAAAGGACUAUGAAUUUAAGCAAAAAGAGCUAAUUUUAUUGUGGAUGGCAGGGGAUUUAAUUCACCAAGCAGAAGAAGAUAACUGUCAAAUGGAAGAAGAUCUAGGUGCUGAUUAUUUUAAUGAAUUGUUAUCAAAAUGCUUUUUCCAACCAUGAUAGUAAAUCCGAAUUCAUAAUGCAUGACUUGAUUAAUGAUCUUGCUCAAGAAGUUGCUACAGAAAUAUGUUUCAAUUUCGAGAAUAUAUAUAAGGUCUCUCAAAGGACUCGUCAUUUGUCAUUCGUGCGUGGUGAGUAUGAUGUGUUCAAAAAAUUUGAAGUCCUAAAUAAACCAGAGCAAUUAUGAACAUUUGUUGCACUACCCAUCACACUAGAUAAUAAGAAGAAAUGCUACUUAAGUAAUAAGGUGCUUAAUGGCUUGUUGCCAAAGUUGGGACAAUUGAGGGUGCUCUCUUUUGAGUGGUUAUGAAAUAAAUGAGUUACCGGAUUCGAUUGGUGAUUUGAAACAUUUACGAUUUCUUAAUUUGUUUUCUACAAAAAUCAAACAGUUACCUAAAACAGUGAGUGGUCUUUACAACUUACAAUCGUUGAUAUUAUGCAAUUGUGUGCAACUCAUUAAUUUACCUAUGAGCAUCAUAAAUUUAAUUAAUCUUCGCCAUCUUGAUAUUAGAGGUUCAACUAUGUUGAAAAAGAUGCCUCCACAAGUUGGCAAGUUGAUAAAUUUGCAAACGUUGAAUAGGUUUUUUCUAAGCAAGGGUAAUGGGUCACAAAUAAAAGAAUUGAAGAACUUAUUGAAUCUCCAAGGAGAGCUUAGCAUUAAAAGGUUGGAGAAUAUUUCGGAUCCAAGAGAUGUGAGGUAAGUCAAUUCGAAGGAGGGACGGAAUAUUGAAGACUUAAUCAUGGUAUGGAGUGAAAAGUAUGGCAAUUCAAGGAAUGAAAGCACCGAGAUAGAGGUCCUUAAGUGGUUGCAACCUCAUCAAAGUUUGAAAAAACUGGAUAUUAGAUUUUAUGGUGGCUCAAAAUUCCCAAAUUGGAUAGGAGAUCCAUCCUUCUCCAAAAUGGUGUAUCUGGAUCUUAUAAAUUGUAAAAAUUGCACAUCUUUGCCAGCACUAGGGGGACUACCUUUCCUCAAAAACUUGGUGAUUGAAGGCAUGAAUGAAGUUAAAAGCAUAGGCGAUGAGUUCUAUGGGGAGACUGCGAAUUCUUUUCGGGCUUUAGAACAUAUGAGAUUUGAGAAAAUGCCCCAAUGGAAAGAUUGGUUAAUUCCUAAAUUGGUUCAUGAGGAAACCCAAGCAUUGUUUCCUUGCCUCCGUGAGCUUAUAACAAUAAAAUGUCCAAAACUCAUCAACUUAUCUCAUGAGUUACCUUCCCUUGUGACGCUUCAUGUUCAAGAAUGCCAAGAAUUGGAAAUUUCAAUUCCACGACUUCCACUUCUUAUUAAAUUAAUAGUAGUUGGGUUGUUAAAAAGUUGGGUUGUUGAUGUCCCCUCACUCACCCAAUUAUACAUUUGGAAAAAUCAAGCCUGAGUUGUUUAUGGGAAAGGCUUGCACGGAGCUUAAUAGCCAUUGAAGAUCUGGGAAUUGCUGAAUGUGAUGAACUGGCAUGUUUGAGGAAGCCUGGAUUUGAACUGGAAAACCUUGGUGGUGUGCGACAUUCAUGGAUCAAAGGGUGUCAUGGGGUUGUAUCCUUGGAAGAGCAGGGGCUGCCUUGCAAUCUUCAAUACUGGGAAGUGAAUGGAUGUUACAACUUAGAGAAGCUGCCUAACGCAUUACACACCCUCACAUCUCUUACAGAUUUGCUAAUUCAUAAUUGCCCAAAACUCCUAUCAUUCCCAGAGACAGGUUUGCAGCCUAUGCUAAGACGUCUUGGGGUCAGAAAUUGCAGGGUUCUGGAGACACUGCCUGAUGGAAUGAUGAUGAACAGUUGUAUACUUGAGUACGUGGACAUUAAAGAGUGUCCAUCUUUUAUUGAAUUUCCAAAAGGUGAGCUACCCGCCACCCUCAAGAAGUUGACGAUUGAAGAUUGUUGGAGACUAGAGUCUCUACUUGAGGGAAUUGACAGCAACAACACUUGUCGACUUGAAUGGCUACAUGUAUGGGGAUGUCCAUCUCUCAAGUCCAUUCCAAGAGGCUACUUUCCCUCCACACUUACUUUCCAUUUGGGACUGCGAGCAAUUGGAGUCGAUUCCAGGGAAUCUGCUGCAAAAUCUCACAUCUCUUCGACUUCUGAACAUAUGUAAUUGUCCAGAUGUGGUGUCCUCUCCAGAAGCGUUUUUGAACCCCAACCUUAAAGAACUUUGCAUUUCAGAUUGUGAGAAUAUGAGGUGGCCUCCAUCUGGGUGGGGCCUCGACACACUCACCUCUCUUGGUGAGCUAUUUAUUCAAGGCCCAUUCCGAGAUCUGCUUUCUUUUUCUAGCUCUCACCUUCUUCUUCCUACAUCUCUCACCACUCUCCGGUUGGGAAAUCUCCGCAAUUUGAAAUCCAUAGCCUCCACGAGUCUACAAAGCCUCAUCUCUCUUAAAAGCCUUGAAUUCCACAUUUGCCCUAAGCUCCGGUCCUUUGUGCCAAAUGAAGGGCUGCCAGCAACACUUACAAGACUUGUAAUCAGGGAAUGUCCCUUUCUAAAAGAGAGGUGCCUCAAGGACAAAGGAAAAGAUUGGCCUAAGAUUGCCCACAUCCCCUACGUGCAAAUAGAUGGCAUUGUACAACAAUUAAAAAACAAAUAACAACUUCAAUCAGGUACUGCCAAUUCUCUAUUAUCUUCCAUCAAAAGUUUGACAUUCUAAUUGCUACCGUCUCUAUAAUAUUUGAGCCUCCCUUUUGUUCUGUAAUCAGGGGUUUGCCAUGGUCAACAAUAAGCUACAAUGUUUUGUGCUCAAAACCUCGAUUCUCAUGAAUGUGUACCCUUAGCUUUUUCCUUGCUUUUCGGAUGACAGGCCUUCCUACCGCAGUUUAAUAACUGGGUAUUUGGCACUGCCCUCUUCCAAAAUAGAGGUGCGUAUUAAUGCAUUGAAUUGUAAGUUCUGAUAGAACACAAUUUCACGAUUUUCAACUCAACAUAUUGCUUUCAUUUUCUAAUAAUAUUGAUGGAAUUUAUGUUGCACAUAUAGGAUUGCAGGAAAAGGGAUUGAUGUAGAGAUGAAAGUAAAAUUCCCUGCCAUUUGUAUCUGCAAGGGUAGAUACAAAAUAUCCUACACAUGAAAGGAGAUGUAAUAGAUGCACCAUUCUUUUUUAAUUUUCAGGUUUACAUGCGAUUCCAGUUUCAUGUGUAAAUUUUCUGUUAAUCAGGUCCAAAGGAAGUUUUAAGGCCCUAUCAAAUUUGGCACCAACUUCACUUCCUACUAAGGGAUGGGCAGCUUGGUCAACUUGUAGAACUAACCCACAACAAUGGGCCCUGAAGCUGGUACUCCAUUUUGCUUAAAGCCAGUAUACUAUUUCAAUCACCAUUACUUAAUAAAAGGUAUUCAUGAUUUUGUUUUAUUUCUGUUUCAUUCCAAUCUAAAUUUGAAUCUCAUUCUAUUAAUGAAGCCUUUUUAUUUGAUUUUGUUUUGUACUUUAAUCACACAGGAAUGCUCCCUUAUUCAAUGCCUAGGUUUUCUAGGAUUCUGGCAUUUGCUUGGAAAUAUGUAUUGCAAAAAUGGGAGAGGUAUAACUUUCUCAAACUUUGAAACUGAACAUUGCAUUUCAUCGGGUUGUGUUUAACUUUCUAUCUUUUUUCUUUCUGCUUAUGCCACUUCAACUUUUUUGACUAAUUGCAUGACAUUGUAAUUGUUGUUGGCCUAGAUAGUACCCUUUCUACUGGCAAUUGGUAUGUCAAGUGGUUCAGGAUGCACAGAAAGGGAAUAUAUCCCAGGUUGUUCUUUUUCUCAUUAUCUCUCCUCAUUUUUAUUGAUUUCAAAAAUGUGUUCUUUCAAAUUUAUAUUAGCAUAAUAUAAAUUGAAGAUAAAAUCCUCUAAUGACAGGUGGUAGUUAGGUCUUUGUAAGUUAGUUGUUGAAAGUAAAGAAGAGAGGGCAAUUAUUGGUUCAAUCAACAAUUAGUACCUCCCUUGCUAUGUGCUUUGGUCUAGGUGCAAGAAAUGAGAUUGAACAAUGCCCUCCCUCUGCUUCCUGCCUUUUCUUUUCUUUGUUUCUUUUAUUUUUUAUUCUUAUUUCUUUCAUUUUUUUUUCUCUUUAUAUUGAACCUCAUGACUCUCAAGAAAUGGCUCUCAAAGACUCCUGGCAAGAUAUUGGUGAAUUGUAAGAAUAUUUGUAAUGGUAAUGUUAAGAUUGCAAAAUUUAAAAAUAAUUAGAUGAAUUUAUUGAAGAGUGGUUUGAUAAAGAGGUGAAAUAACUUAUCCAAAGGAAGGAAAUUACCUUACGUUGAGAGGGAAGAGUGGAUCCUUUCCACACGAUGAGGAGCUUAAAAAGAGGGAAGAGUUAAAGAAAGUAAAAUGAUAACCCUUGGAUCCUCUUACAAAGAGUCAAGUAUGGACUCCUGCUUUGGCAAGAGCAAAAUUUGCUAAGGGAUGGUCUAAGUUAUGAAUAGCAUAAUCUAUGAAGUAUGGAUUUCUGCUUUGCCAACAUGCCACCUGGUGUGACACCAAGAAUAAUUUCUUGUCUUAAUGAAACAUGUAGAAAAACUUUGGACACACUUGUAAUUUCCAUAUUGCAGAUUCAUUUUUUGAAAAUUGCCAUCUGGAUAUCUAUCAUCUCUAUGCCACAAUAAGAAAAGUGUUCUCCUAAGGUCCUAGUCUAACUUUCAAGGCCAUAGACCACCACAAGCCAAAAUUUCUUGAAUAACAGGACAUUUGUAUACUUUAGGACUUGAUAACAAUGAGAAGAAUUUUAGUGGAGGUAGAAUGAAGUAGGUCUGCCCAUGUAACAUCUCCAACAUUCCUUUGACUCUAAAGCCUUUUUUACUCUCUUCCUACUUUUCCAUUCCUUGUCAUGUGUUUGGCUACACCUUCAUGUUCUUUGUCUAUAUACAUGGAAAACAGUUAUAUUCUUAGGGCUCUUCAUUUAGUACUUCAGUAUAUAUAUUCAACACACACACACACACACACACAUAUAUUAAUUAUAAUCAGAAUUCAUUGCUUGAAUAUUAAUCUAUAAAGAAUCCAUAAAACUUGAUUUUUGCUUCUCUUUGCAUUCCAUACUUAUGCAAUCUUUAAUUGUUGUUGCAUUAGAGUUAGUCUUCAGGUGUUGAAGAUGUGGAUGAGGUUCAUACAACAGUUUUUGCCUUCCAAAAGGUGAGCUACCGACCACCCUUAAGUGGUUGUUAAUUGAAGAUUGUCAUAAAAUGGGGAUGUUCAUCCAAGGGAAUUAAGCACCAUGCUUUAAUGGACAACAAUAACACUUGUUGUCUUGAAUGAAUAGAGGUAUGAGGAUGUUCAUCUCUAAAGUCCAUUCCAUGGAUCUCCAAAGCCCCAUCUCUCUUAAAAUCCUUGAACUCUACAACUGCCUAAACUCUCGUCCUUUAUGCCAAAGGAAGGGCUGCCACUAACACUUGUAAGAGUUGUAAUGGGGGCAUGUCCUAUUCUAAAACAAAGGUGCCUCAAGAGCAAAGGAAAAUAUUGGCCCAAGAUUGCCCACAUCCCCCACAUGGGAACAUAUGACAUUGUAUCACAAUAACAAGUUCAACCAAGCACCCCAAUUUUUUGUAAUCUUGCACCAAAGAUUCUACUCACUAAUUAUUAUUUUGUUUAAAUAUGGUCUAGUCUUUUCUUGUCCUUUUGUACCUCAAGGAUUCUAUUAUUUCUAAAAGAAGCUCCAAGGGUUUCAUGAAAUUGCCAACAACCCACCCUGAGAUAGAUAGCAUUGUACAACAGUAAAAAGUUCAAUAAGGUAUCUCAAUUCAUAACAGUGAAAUUUCAACUUCUAUGUUUCAUGUGAUUGCAAUUCCAACUUCAAUUUUGCUUUUUAAUUUGCAUACAAAUUGAUUCGUGCCCAGUCGGUGUAUCAGCUGAUUCAUGUCCAACUUUUGCUUCUUGAUUGAGGGAGUAAUCAACAAAAUUUAUAACCUAUUACACCAUGUACUAGGGUAGCAAAGACAAAGCUACUAUAGCAUAGUGGCUCUAGGAUCGUUCAUUGGGAUGAGUUUUCACUUCACAAAUGAUAUUAAUUCAAAGCUGAAUUGGUGCCUUUUCAUUUCAAGGUUAGCUUUAAAAGAAAACAUAAAGAUGUUUGAAUGAAAAAGGUUUGGUUUUAAACUAACAAAAAAUAGUAACCGAUUUUACUUACAAAGAAAAGUGCUUCUUGGAGUUUAGAUCACUAGGAUCAAAUUCCUUGACAAAAAGGGAAGUUCCAGUCACUUGUUUAUUUUCCUCGUAUUAGAGAUUUAACAUAUAGUUAUUUCCCGAACCGGUGUGGUAUAGAUGCUUCCCUUUAAUGGGUUCAAACACUAAAUCCCUCUCACUGAUGCACUUUGCAAUGGCUCAUACUUCUCACCUAGCACUUGCCAUUCAAGGUGAUCUUUAACCUUGGAUUAUCUGUCAAAAACUCGCAAGAGAUAACUAAUGGAUGUCUCCGUGGAGUCCAAAAGCUUAUCAAGUGUUAGCUAUUCUAGAAAAUCCUACCUUCAAAUCACCUCCCAAAGGCUCGCAAGAGAUAAACUAGUGCAUCUCAAUGGAUGAAGAUCACUUGCCUUAUCAAGUGUUGGCCCAGGUGAUUUAAUGGCGUUUUAAGUUAACUAAAAAGAUAAAAACCAUUAAUGGGUCACACUUUCUCUUCAUUAAAAACUAAAACAACAAAACUUCCAAUUUAUGGAUGUGGAAACUUACCCAGCUUUCCUCACUCCAAGAGACGAAGAGUCUAACCUCUCAUCCUCUGAGGAAAAAUCCUCAGAGUUUGAUUGGCUAGAAAGAAAAAGAAUGAGAAAACAAAAGCAGAGCAAGUGCUUUGUAUUUUACUUCCUUACAAAACUGGACAAAGGAUAGAUCGAUAUAUUUUCGAUAUCUUGUGUAAAGGAAAUUACAAACUAUAUAUAAGGGUUUAUUUACCCUUUUUCCAAAUUUAAUAACUAAGGAAUCCUAUCAUUGGUGGGUUACAAGGAGACUUUGGGAAUUUAGACAUAAAAUAUCUAAAGCAAAAUAUCCCAAAGUGUCGGUCGCAAAUAUCUAGAAGCUUCAGGAGAACACUGCAGCACUGUACAAAAUUGUCUGUGAAACUCUCCGAGUAGGCGCUAUUAGAGGAUCCGGAUACGUCCAUCCGGAGAAGUUGAAACGCUCUUCUUUUCUAUCCGGCGUCAGAAUUCCAGACGUGAACAUCCGGGGUGGAAGUGCGCGGCAGUCGAGGUGCAAAAUGGCGACGCACAUUCGGGUGCAAAUGGCGGCAGCCGGGUGCAAAAUGGCGGCAACCUGGUGUAAUUCCUGAUUCGUCCCUAGCAGUGGCAGUGGCAAUGGCACCAUUUGAUUCGAGGUUCGAUCCCCGGCAACGGCGCCAUUUGAUUCGUGCCUAAUUGGUGUCUCAGCUGAUUCGUGUCCAGCUGGUGCUCCUUGAUUGAGGGAUUAAUCAACAAAAUUUAUAACCUAUUACACCAUAUACUAGGGUAGCAAAGACAAAGCUACUAUAGCAUAGUGGCUCUAGGAUCGUUCACUGGGAUGGGUUUUCACUUUGCAAAUGAUAUUAAUUCAAAGUUGAAUUGGUGGCUUUUCAUUUCAAGGUUAGCUUUAAAAGAAAACAUAAAGAUGUUUGAAUGAAAAAGGUUCGGUUUUAAACUAACCAAAAAUAGUAACUGAAUUUACUUACAAAGAAAAGUGUUUCUUGGAGUUCAGAUCACUAGGCUCAGAUUCCUCAUACAAAAAGGAGAGUUCCGGUCACUUGUUUCUUUUCCUCGCAUUAGAAAAUUAACAUAUAGUUCCUUCUCCAACCGGUGUUGUACAGAUGCUUCCCAUUAAUGGGUUCAAACACUAAAUCCCUCUCACUGAUGCACUUUGCAAUGGUUCAUGCCUCUCACCUAGCACUUGCCAUUCAAGGUGAUCUUUAACCUUGGAUUACCCGUCAAAAGCUCGCAAGAGAUAACUAAUGGAUGUCUCCUUGGAGUCCAAAAGCUUACCAAGUGUUGGCUAUUCUAGAAAAUCCUACCUUCAAGUCACCUCCCAGAGGCUCGCAAGGGGUAAACUAGUGCAUCUCUAUGGUUGGAGAUNNNNNNNNNNNNNNNNNNNNNNNNNNNNNNNNNNNNNNNNNNNNNNNNNNNNNNNNNNNNNNNNNNNNNNNNNNNNNNNNNNNNNNNNNNNNNNNNNNNNAGAGCAAGUGCUCUGUUCGUUGAUUCUAUAUAUUAGAUUACAUCUAUAUUUUACAUACUUCCCCCCCAGCAUCUCCUGAGAGUGUUUACAAGAGAGUUUAUAUAGGAAGGUAAUUUACCUUUCCUUGGAUACUUCCUAGCUAAGGAAUUACAUGAGUGGUUGAAUACAAGGAGAAAAUGGAAAUUUAGACACAAAAAUCUGAAGAAAAAUAUCUAAAAGAGUCGGUGCAAAAAUAUCGGGAAGCUCCAGGAACAUUUCGCAGGUGAAAAAUGGUGUUUGCGAGAUUUCGCAGACACUCAAGAGGGCUGCGAAAUAUUUUAGCAUCAACAAGUUAAACUCGUAGGGCUGCUAAGUUGGCUUCCACCUUGUGGUGUUUGGCUUCCAUCGCGGCGUGAAACUUCAGGAGGAAAUCCACAACACUGUACAAAAAGGCUGCGAAAUUCUCGCAACAAAAGGCUGAUUUCGCAACACUUUAGAGUGAUUGACUUGCAGUGGCUGUAACUUCUUCGUUUCAGCUCCAAAUCGUACACGGUUUGAAGCGUUGGAUUCUUGACUUCCUGAGCUUUGAAAUGGUAUAUAGCAUGUAGAAAAUGAACUUCGGGAAGUGCUCCAAAAGUGCGAAAGAAGACUGCAGCUGCUGUCCUCUGUUUUCUUCACUCUGUUUUUCCUCUCUCCUUGCUUCUCUCCUUGCAUACUUUGAACGACUUUGGCAAAGGGUUAUGGAGCUCCAAAGCUUGGUUCUUCAUGAAUUUGAGCUUCCAAAAGCUUUGCCAUAACUUGUCCAAGUAGCUCCUCCAUCAUUUGGCAUGCUUGAAUUGAUUCAUAAGCUGAUAAAAACAUGUAAACUUGCCACAAAAUGGUUAAAACCAAUUACUAAGGACCUUAAUGAAUUAAUUGGGUUAAAUGAAUAUGAUUACUACUCAAAGGUGCUUAAAACCUUUAUAAUUAGGUCUAAAAAAUAGCACUUUUUGGUAGUAAUCAAUUCCUACCCGGAUAUGUUGUUCGGACGCCCUCCGAUGGUGUAUCCGGACGCCCUGUCCGGGUAUAAUCCUUGCAUGGAUUCCAAAGAACUCUCCUCCAUAUCAAAUUUCUUUGGUGAUCAAAAAGCUAUCAAAACACCAAAACUUAACACAAUUUGAUUAGAAUUGAUUGCAAGGGUCCUUAAUAUGUUAAUUGGGUUAAAAGGUGAUAACUACUACUCAAAAGUGUUUAAAAAAGUUAAUUACAAGCUAUGAAAUAUUACUUUUUGAGUAGUAAUCACAAAUGCUUUUUUUUUUUUUUGGCAGCAUUUAGUAAUUGGUGGUGCCACCUUAAAUUUUUGUCUUUCUGUUGCUCAAAUGCAUCAUUCUACAUUAUUGGAAUUGUAGUUUUCUAAUUCGUCAACUAAUCAUUUAACGUUAAACUAAAAAUGUGUAAAUCUCACCAUUUUUUUUUCUUCUCAAUUUAGCAAUGCAAAUAUGGAUAUACAAGUAUAUUUUGCAUUAAUAUUUUUUUUUGGUUAAAUACUCAAAAUGAAAUGCUUUUGAUUUUAUUUAUCAGGCUUUUAUGUUAACAACAUGAUAAUUCCUUUUCAUUAUUAUGCUACAAGAAAGGAAUAUUGAAUUUCAUAUUGGAGACACCAUGUCUGAAGUGAAUUUGGUGUUAGCUCUUCAUUCUAUAUCAUGGUCAUAGUGAAAAUAAGAUGAAAGAGUACUUAGGAAAAGCAUGCUAUGCUAUUUUCAUUUGUUUAUCUUACAUUCCCCAUUUUGAUUUUAAUAAUACUUAAUUUUUGAAAAUCCAUCAUUUUAACCUCUGAUACAUUCUUCGACUACUUGCUAGAGAAUGGCUCAUGCACCAGGCUUGUUCUCUCAUGCAGCCCAAUUUCCUAAACCCGUAGUAAAUGUGAAAGCCUUUCAAUCACGGUAACCCAAAAAGGCAAUAGAAAAGGCUGCAUGAUCAUCUCAUAUCUCUUGUAGAGUUGACACUCAUCAUGCUCAAAAAUCUUUUCCUCUGAAGGGACUGUCAUUUUGUGGUUAGUGAUUCUGAGGAGAAUACUUUUAUUAUUGACUUAUCUGCUUUUGAAUUCCUCACUGAUUAAAAUUUGAUUAGGAGUUUUGGCUUUUGACUGUAGUUAUAGGCUCUAAACACUAACAUCUCUCUUAAACAAUCACCUAUAUGCAUGGUCCCAUCACUCCAACUUCUCUAGCAUCCAAAAACUUUGGAAUCGGGAAUGUGCCCUUAGCUUUGUCCUCAUUGACCAAAGAAAGCCAUUCUUGCCGCACUUUAAUUUGUAAGUUCUAAUAGAAAGCAAUUUUCACUAUUCUCAACUCAAAAGAUUGCCUUUACCUUUUGAUAAUGAUGGAAUUUAUGUUGUACAUGUAGGAUGACAUGCAAAUGAAAGCAAAAUUUCUUAGCUCUGGUGCAGCUCAUUGGUAUCUGCAUGAGUAAAUAUCCUAAUCAUGAAAUUUUGUGUUUAAUGAAAGCAAAAUUGUUGCCUUUAGUGGACCAUUCUUUUUUUACUUUUGGUACAUGUGAUUCCAAUUUCUAGUCUAACAUUUUUGGUUAAUCACCUCUUGCACUAUUCUCAAAAGGUUUUGAGGUCAUGCAUUACAUAUAAAGACUCAUCAGUUAAAAAAAAAACACAAAACUAAUUUUAAUCCUCUUCUUUUUGUUCUGUUUUUGAGGUGAUGUGAGUUUUUCCUCCUUUAGUUUGGCAUGGCAAGUGGUGUUAAUAGGAGUCUGAGGGCCUUGGUUUUCAAAUCCAGGGUGAGCCUUGGUUUUCUGCUUUCCAUGUUUCAAAUUAAGCUUUUAAUCUGUUAUCUCGGUCUUUUAGUUAUGCUAGUGCUUAUUUUUUUUAUGAUCUAAAUUGAGCCUUCACUUCUACCAUGUCUCAAUUGGUGCUUGCAUUUCUAAGUGUCAUGUGUCAUUAUUUUGGAGGUUAUUCUAAUUUCAGACUAUGACUAGAUAAAAUCUCAAUGCAAUCCUAAUUACACGUUUUCGUUCUAGAAUCAUUUGAACUUAGUAAUAAUUCAAACUAUGUUUUGAAUUUCAGGAUAUGAGACUUCUAUCAUCUGAAAAAGAAUGUAGCUAGAACCCAAGUGAAUCCCACCAUUUGAAAACUUAUGCAUCAAUGGUUGCUGCUCUUGCCCACCCAGAUUUGGAUUUGAGAGAUGGAAAUACAAUGCAUCAAUGGUUUAGUUGGGAAAACAGUUUUCAUACAUGGAGAGAGAGCAUAAGAGGAUUCUUGCAAGUAGCCAAGCGUUUCCUUACGUACAAUUUUAUUAAUUGCCUUAAAUGCAUUGUACCUUAUGGAGAGAGAGCAUUUGCCUAUCGCCAAAAUUUUGAAAAAAUCACCGGCAUUUUGAAAAAAUCGAUGAUUUUUUAACAAUCUUCCUCUGUUGCUUCGUGUGUCACUCUAUGCUCGAUUUUUUCAUCAAAUUUUCACCUCCAAACCGAUAUAUCAUCGAUAUUACCGAAUUUUUUUUGAAAUUCUCAUCGAUUGAUAAUUGGUGCCUAAUAUUAUGUCGGGCACCAUUGAUAUUUGAUAUAUCAACGAUAUUUUGCUGAAAAAUAUGAAAUUUUAAUCUUUGCCUAUAGGCAAGUGUUUCCUCCAUCCCACUCAACUAGAUAUCAAAACAAUCAAAACAUAUUUACUAGGCAAAACCUCAAUAUAUAUAUAUAAAAUAAAAAAACAAAAAAAAAAAACUAGAAAGCAUUGGCCUUAAGUUAGUGAUUAUGCCUAAAAUAUUAAUGCCAAAUUAUCUUCACCAAUAAAUACAAUAUUCUUACUACAUUUUUUCAAACGAUUCUCCAUGGCCAAAAUCUAAAUAAAUAAAAUAAGAAUAAUAUCUUAUAUGUGCCUUUUAUAUGUAGUAUAUUGGUUUUGCGCAUGCAUGUAGUAUAAUUAUUUUGUAAAUAAAAUAAUUUUUGAAAGAAGAAAUAAUAAUAAAAAUAAUGAUAAAGUGAAUAAUUGAAAAAAAAUGAAAAGAUAGACUUUAUCUUCUUUUUGCUUUUGCCCUAUUCAUUUUUUUUCCUUUCUAGCAACACUACUGCAACAUUACCAUUUUUCAAACCAACAAGCAUCCACUAAGCAACACUCUAUUCUCUCUCUCUGUCUCUCUGUCUCUGUCCCUCUCUCUCUCUCUUUUCCAUUGCAAUUGUGGACCAUGCAACACCUAUUUUUUGGCAAUUGUAACACAUUCACGUUUUUUCAACCAUGGAGAACUUUUUACUUUAUUCAAAUAUGAUUAACCUUUUAUUUUAUUUUAUUUUCAAUUAAAACAAUCCAUUUUUUUUUAUUUUUUUUUAAACAUAAAAAUGAUGGAGAAAAGGAUAAAACAUAAAUUUGAAAUCUUUACCAUCAAAAAUUUUCAAACAAAAAAUAAAGUGCAACCUUCAAAGCUUCUAAGAACAAAGUGAAUGAGUUUGAAGAUAGUUUUUUUAUGUUUGUGCUUUUGAUACCAUGGGUAUCCACAUUUGCAGAUGCAUUUUAAAAGAAAUCCAUAACUCUCUACUUGCAUUGAAUCGACUAAUUUUUUUUUAUUUUAAUAGUAGUCAUUUAUUGUCAUGCCUUAUGAUUGUUGUGUAUAUUUAUAUCCUUAUUCUCUUCAAAUAUUGAUUAUAUAUUAUAGCAUUUGAUUACAUGCUUUAGAUAUCCAACAAAAAAUAAUCGUAGAAAUCAUUGAAGUUCUCUCAACUUGAUAUUAGAUAUUGAUUUAGGGUUUAAAUGGGUGUUAUAACUUAUGUCAUACUGUAGACCCCCAUUUUGGGGUGUAUUUUUGCAGAUCAUUUUUGCCAGGUGGAAGGCUCUUGGAAGACCACAUGUUGCCCUAAGAUUGGUCAUUGGGUAGUUGAUUCGUCCCCAAUUGGUGUACUCUUGAUUCAGUCCUUAGACAGGAGUUAUCAACAAAAUUUAUAAACCUAAUUCACCAUAUACUAGGGUAGCAUAGCUAGCAUAGCAUAGUGGUUCUAGGAUCGUCCACAGGGAUGAGUUUUCAUUUCACACAUGAUAUUAGUUUAAAGAAUUGGAUUGGUGCUUUUUCUUUUAUGAGUUAGCUUUAAAAGAAAACAUAAUCUUUGGUUGAAAAAUGUUGGUUUUAAGCUAACCAAAAAAAUAGUAACUGAUACUAAUUAUAAAGAAAAGAUUUCUUGGAGUUUCAGGUCACUAGGCUCAGGUUCCUUAUACAAAAGGGGAUAUUCCAGAUCUUUUCCUUGCAUUGAGGAUUUAACCUACAGUUAUCCUCCCAACCGGUGUGUUACAGUUGCUUCCCAUUAAUGGUUUCAACGCUAAAUCCCUCUCACUAAUGCAUCUUGCAAUGGCUCGUACCUCUUACCUAGCAUUUGCCAUUCAGGGUGAUCCUUAACCUUAAAUUACCCUUCAAAAACUUGCAGGAGAUAACUAAUGGAUGUCUCCAGGGAAUCCAAAAGCUUACCAAGUGUUGGCUAUUCUAGAUAAUCCUACCUUUAAACCACCUCCCAGAGGCUCGCAAGAGAUAACUAAUGGAUCUCUAUGGAUUGAGUCCGAAAAGCUUACCAAGUGUUGGCCCGGGUGAUUAUAAGGGAUUUUAAGUUAACUAAAAAUAUAAAAACCAUUACCGGGUCACAACUUCCUCUUCAUUAAAAAUUGAAACAAGAAAAACUCCCACUUUUGUAUCCGGGUCCCUUACCUAGCUUCCUUCAGUCCAAGAAACAAAAAGUCUAGCCACUCAUCCUCUAAGAAAACAUCCUCAGAGAUUGUUUGGCUAGAAAGAAAAUACAAUCAAAGUGAGUAGGUAAGGUAGAGCAAAGCUCUAUAUAUUUCUUACUAAAAAAUGUACAAGUGAUCCCCAAGAAUGUCUUCCGAGAUUCUGAGAUAGAUAUUACAAAAAGAGAUAUGUUAAGACAUAUAUAGAGAGAUAUUUUUAACCCCUCAAUUAGAUAUCCUAAAUAUCUAAAAAGAUAUUUAGCUGAUUACAAGGAGAGAAUAGAUAAUUACACAAAAUAUCUUGAAGUAAAAAUCUAACUGAGUCGGUGCACAAAUAUCUGAAGAUUACAUGAAGAUUUCGCAAGUUAGAUAUGGAGUUGUGAAAAUUUCGCAAGGUUGAAAAGGAGUUGUGAAAUUUUUGCAAUGUUGAAAAGGAGUUGCGAAAAUUUCUUCUGGCUUGCAAAAAUUUCGCAAAUGGUGAAAAGAGGUUGCGAAAUUCUUCAGUGUUAGAUUUCUUCUCUGAUUCUCUUCCUUGCAUACUUGAUUGAUUUGGAAAAGGCUUCGAAGCUCUCCAAACUUGAAUUUUUCAUGUAAUUUAGCUUCAAUCUUGCUUUGCCAUGGAUUAUACCAAGUUCUCCCUCAUUCUUGGUUUGUUUUAAUGAUAAAAAAGCUAUAAAAAACAUCAAAACUUGCCAAAAACUGAUUAGUAACACUUGUAAGAGUUCUUAAUGUGCCAAUUGAGUUAAAAGGUAAUAAAUACUACUCAAAAGUGUUUAAAAGAGUUUAUAAGAAGCUACAAAAGAGCAAUUUUUGAGUAGUAAUCACUCCCCCCAACCGACAUAUUGCUAGUCUCUUAGCAAUGAAGGAGAGAAAAACAAAAAUAAGACAGUAAAAUAAUUUACAAGUUCAUGUUGAUCACUCCAAAAAAUCAUAAGUAGCAUGAUUGUAAAGCAUAUUCUCACACGGAAUAUUAAAGAAGCAAAACCCAUCAUUCAACAAGAGGAUAUAAAAAAUCUUACCUGAUCAUAAUUCAUAUAGAGUAGGUAUUACACAAAUUUAAGUAAUGAGAGGAUUUUCACUCUCCUAAGCUCAAUCAUUACUCUUCCACAAAAAUCUGUGUUAAGCUUAUUAGUUUCCGAAUAUAGUACUCUGAAAUAAUCUCUUCCCCCAACCUAGUUUUUUCUCAGACUUUAGCAAACUGACCACUUCCAAUAAGCUAAGAACGCAUCUUUUUUAUUUCACAAUUUUUUUUCUUGUAGGCGUGCAAUGCUAAAGGUAUUGUUUUCUAAAGUGUCCAUGUAACGGGGAUCCAUCAAUGACUCCCAACCAAUCAAGGUUUAGGGCAUCAAGCUUUAAGGAUCAUUCGACCACUAACUCCUCGGAUUUUUACCCCGGACUUUUGAAAUUGAAAUUUAAUACCUAAGCACCUACAAUAUGUUAAACUCCACCUAUUCACCCUUGUGACGAGCAUUAAGGUCGGUGACUCCCAACUAAUAAAGGCUUAGGGCACCGGGUUUUAAAGACUUUCGCCAUAUACCCCUCGGACCUUGCUUGGGUUUCAAGGCAAGCGAAACACUUUAUUCUUUUUUUUUCAAAGGCUCAUUGGCCUUUUAUCAGAUGUCUCAACACUAUUAAAAUGAGGUCAAAGGUACCAAGUCUAAAUUUUCCUAAGUUCAAGUGGUGAGAUAGUUUUUCAUCUUAUAAACGGAACCUAAUGUGCAUAAUGUGUGGUACGAUUAAAGUGGAAGAAAUAAGGUUGAAAUCAAUAAGAGUUUCAAUAAUUCAUCAACUUCAAUAAACAUAAUACGACUCUAAUAUUCAAGUAAAAAGGUAAGAACUCAAUUUCUCCCAUUUCAUUUUGAGAAUUUUUCCUUAAUAACCAUGGAGAGUAGAGUAAAAACUUUUAAAAUUAAGCAUUUUUUUUAAAUUAAGCAAAAAGUACUUAAUUAACAAAAUAACUUAGCAUUAUUAACAAUACUUCCUUCUUUUUACUUUCUCCCGAACCAAGAUCAACAUUGCCCUCAAUGUGGCAAGAAUGGUUGUAAAUAAAGGGAGGAAGUGGUACCUCCUGAGUGACAUGGAGUCUGAGUCAUAUAAGAAAAACCACAUGAUUCAAAAAACAAAAGAUUAAUGAGUAAACAAGCCACCCUGGACCUUGAUGGUAGGAACAAUGCAGAUCCAUCCUGAAGCGUAGUGGCACGGGCUGGGAUACAGGUCUAAGAGCCAACUGAGUCAACAAACCACCCUUCAUGAGCUUUUGGAAAACUCGACUCAAAGGGAUACCUAGCUGGGAGAACUGUCAUGUCUGUCUCUAUACAAGAGGAAUAACAGUCUGUGGGGCUCGGGGCCGAGGGUAUAAAGUAGGAGGUCUCUUUGAAACCUGUGCAACAAAAACAAGAUCUAAGGUCUGGUGUAGGUAUGUAGGAGCCAUGGGCCUGAGCAGUCUAUAUUGAACAUAACACUAUGGGUAAUAGUCUCCUGAAGUCUGCCCAAAUGUCUAAUAACACCUGAGAGGUCUCGAUCCUGUUGAACUAAUAUUACCCACAUCUUCUGGUCUCUGUCAUCCUGAGGGCUUCUUCCCUUUUGAGUCAGGAAGGGAAGACUCGGGCCACAAUCCUCUAGCAGUGCCCUCUUCUAUACCAUAUAAAGCCUGUACCAAGGAUCCAAAAUCCAUAUGAGGAAAUCCCAUCAAAUGUCUGGCGAAUCUGGGUUGUAAACUCCUCAAAAUCACACUAAUAUGGUCUCUCUCUGAAGGACGAUCAAUAAUCUGAGUGAUCUUCUCCCUCCAUCGGGAGAUAAACAAAGUCACUGACUUCUCUGGUCCCUAUCUCAAGACCUCUAACUCUCUCCUUGAGAUGUCAAUGACAACAUUAAAUGCAAACUGUCUCAAAAACUCUUGGGUCAAAUCAUCCCAAUUCCUACGGUGUGAGGCAUCUAAGGAAGCAAACCAACGCUAUGCUACACCACUCAACGACAUGGGGAAAAACAUGAUCAAGUGGGCCUCAUCCAAACCAUGGGCCCUCAUCACACUACUGUAUAGCCUCAAAUGAAUCUUAGGGCAACCUAUGCCCAUAUACCUCUCAAUAUCUGGCAUCCUGAACUAGGUUGGUAAACUGGCCAUUGGUGCUUCAUCAAAAUCAUCCCAACUGAUAGCUCCAUUUGAAACCCUCACCCGUCUCAUUCUCUGCUCGAAUAUAUCCAUAUGAGCAUGUGCAUUCUCUAAGAUCGGAACGGGUGCUACGACAGGAAGUGGGGUAACAUCAGUCUGAUUAUGUAAAACAUGCGGUGCAGGGUGUGGAACCGACUGAUUGAGUUGAGGGGGUGGUGAUGUUGUAGAGUCAUAUUGUGCACUAUCCCGAGACGGGGCCUACUGCCCAUCUAUUCUCUAGGAGAGGCCGGCUAUAACCUCUUGAAUCAAAGCCAUAGUCGCAGCAAACUGGGCAAUAGUGACUACCUGUGAGUCCAUAUCUCUCUAAUCUAGUCUUUGGUCUGGCUGAUCUGAUGCUCUAGUCAACCUGCCUCUAACUCUAGUCCACGAAGGCGAAUCCAGAUUGGGCACAAAAAUACUUCUAUAAACACAGAAACACUAGAUGAGAUGCUAUACAGGAGUAGCUCUGUAGGAACCGACUUAAAGGUAAUCAAGCAUACAACCCAUGUAUGCUGAAACUGAUACUCGUAUCUGAUCAUACCAAAAUGAGAAUAUGGAGAGGGUAACCGAACCAAAUUGUAACCAAGGCAGCUCUGAAGGUCCACAGAUGCACCCACGUGUGGGAAUGAAAUCUUAAUUAGGUCUAAGCUAACCUAAAAGAUUGAGGUGGCUCUAUAAGAUAAAAUGAGUGGGUUAAAGGAUCCCUAACAAAAGUGAUCGUACCCUCGACGAUACGCAACCCUCUGCACACCUCCAAGGAAAGGAGAUGCUUCCAUGCAAGGUGGUCAUCACCUCCACACAUGCAUUUCCUCGCGUUCCUAGGGGGUUUCUUAAUGGUAAAGGCUCUCUCAUAUCUCAAUACUCAAGGAAAAUCUAAAGUGUAGAGUGAAGGAUGUGGGUGCAUAAGAAAAACCUAAGCUCUAAAGUGAGAUAGUGAACAAAGACAAGAAAUCAUAUAAUCAUGCAAGAGAAAGGGUUGUCAUACAACAAGCAGUCAUUCGAAGUAGAUAAGUAUCAUACAAUCAGGGUCCUAUCUAACAUAUGUGAAAGUGAAUCAUGCUGAAGUGAGCAAAGCAAUCAAGUGACCCUUCAAGGCAAUCAAACAUGUUAGAUAGCAAACCAAGCAAGCAAACAAACUAAAUCACCUUGUUUUAAAAAAGGAAGUACCCUCUAAUCGACCAAAUAAAUGCCACAUUUUCCUCAACUAAUGUUCAAGCUUGAUCCUCAAAAUCCCCAGUGGAGUCAGCAAUUUGUGGACCCGCAUUUCUCACUUGCACCCCCACUCUAUUGUGAGACUCGCUUUUAUUGGUGAAAAAUUGAUUUUGGAAAAGUCAGAGUCGCCACUUAUUUUAUUUUAUUUUAAAGGGAAAUUAAAAUAAGAAAUAAAACCCUAGAAAAAAAUGACUUCAUAGUUUUUGGAAAAGUGUGUCUUUGGAAAACCCGAGUCUAGGUUCAAGAAUCAGGUUACCUAUUGGGAAUGUACCUCUAAAAGGUAACACCCCUCUAACUCCUACAAAGGUCUCUACUGACUAAGUUGAGGGAAAUGUGGCAAUUAAUUGAUUAAUUGAGGAUACCUAGGUAGACUAAGGUGAUUUAAAAAAAAAUAGAAUGCCAAACAAGAUCAAAUCAUAAUAAAGAAGAGUUAGGAUGCGUACCCGAACCGCUUCUUAAGCGCUAUCAUAAAACAUCAGAGUUAGUAUAGAAAUAUAACACACGACAUGUAUUUAAUCACAGCAAAUCAAGCACAUAUCUAAGCACUUAAGGAUCAUAUCAAGCAUAAAUAAGGCUCACGACAACAUGCAUGUUCAUGGAAUUCCGAAAAAAAAUGAUAGAGAGCGUACCUUGAUAACAUGCAUAAUUUAUAAGAUUCCUCCAAAAAUGUUAGAAUGGUUAGGAAAAGUAUAAAUUAUAUAACAUCUCUAUUAUGUCUAAUAUACAGUACCAAAUCCAAAAGUGAACCAAGGUAAGUCAAAUGACUCCAAAAGCAUAUAACAAAUUCGAGCAAGUACUGAGUCAUCAACAUGCAUAUAGUAAAGAGAGCAUCACAAAACAAUUGCUAAAAAAAUGUCUUGGAGUGGAAUUUAAUCACAAAAAAUUUCAGGAAGCUACUCCUACAUAUCUAGAACAAGAUACCAAAAUCCAAACACUCAUUUGAAUGAAAAAUUACAGCAAAGACACUAAAAAGUUUCAAAAGGUCCAGAUUAGGUAAAAAAAUAGUGACAUGCAUAAAUGAAUUUUUUAAAAAAAUAAUAAGACAUCACAUAAAUCCGUACAAAAAAUCACGUACAUCGUUCAAGGUGUCUAUAUCAAAAGGAAAACAAAUUCAGGGUUGGGUAGUACUCUAAAAUAUUUUUAAAACGCUCCAACGUAAUUAGAUGUCCAGAUUCCAUCAUGCACAGUAGGUGUCUAAGAUCAAUUUCAAGAAGCCUAGAAUUGAGGAAAAAUAUUGGAUCAAAUUUAAAAAGUUGUCUGGUAUUUUAAUUUUGCAAAAAGAUCUCGGGUGUCUAGAUCUGGGUGAAAACAGACUCCCCUUAAAAACUCAUUUAUAUCUUUUAUUCUAGAAUGGCUUUCUAACUCAAACGAAACUUUAAAUUUCAAGUUCAAGAAGUGAGGAAAGUCAUACAAGAUUUGGAAAAUUUUUUAAAAACAUUCCAAAGUUGCUAAAACAAAUUUUAAAUCUAAAGGGUCAGUGGCUGAGUGAAAAUGGGUAGCAAGGAAGAGUUUUGAAAAUUUUUCUUAUGUAGGAAAUUCACCAAUUCCCCAAUUAUUAUACAAAAGUCUAGCCUAGAAUCAUCCCAUUUAUUUGGGACCACAAACUUUGAUUCGUGUUUUAUUCAAAACCAAAAUUUUCAUUGAAAAUCGAGAAAAAUGCAAACUGAUCAAAAAAUGGUUGCAUGUUAUUUUAAGAAAAUGAGAUUUGGAUUAUAAGGACUCUAAAUGGAUUUUUUUUAUAAAAAAAAUGGAUUUUUAUGAGGAACAUUUUGAGAAAUGUAUUUUAUUUUAUUUUAAAAUAAAAUAAUUUGAAAAACAACAGAACAUAAUAAACAAAAUACCAAGCAAAACAAAAGAAAAAACAAAAUCAUAAAAUGAUUAUUUUUUUUACAACUGAGCAAACUAAAAUAGUAAGAAUGGAGGCCAAUCUUCACUAUUUUCCGAUGGCCUCCAAAAAGUAAAUUUUACCAGAGACUACUAAAGCAAUAAACUGUUCAAACUUAAAUCAAUUAAAUUAAUGACUAAUAUUCAAGGAACAUAUCAAUUAAGAGUAAUAAUCACGAAUUAACACGUGAUCGAUUAAACACACAAACGCAUCUAGAUUGAUUAAAAUAGACCAAAUUAAAUCAGGGCAAACAUGAAUUUUCAAUCAUAGAAUUAAUUUUAUUAGUGAGCUAAUAUUAUAGAAAAUACCUAACUGAAUAGAUGAGUGAAGUUAAAUCAGCGUAAACUAAACACAGACACCUUUUAAAUGUGGAUUUGAUUUUAUUAAUAACUUAGAAUUAUAAAAAAAAUACCUAAAAUAAUUAAAAUGAAUCAAAUGAAAUGAAAGCAAGCUAAAACAAAAUAUGAAUUCAUAGAAUCAAUUUCCUAAAUAAAUUUACAUUAUUAAAUUGAAAUCUAAGCUCAAAAUGAAUUAAACACUAAUUACGACAAAUUUAAGAAUCAAAUAUUUAUCAAAUAAGAUCAAUUAUUUCAACAAACUAAAAUUUUACUUUAACCAAAAAUUAAAUUAUAAAACUACCCAAAACAAAUUUUAAAACUAAAUUUCUAACCUAUAAAAUCAAACUCAUUAACAAAUGGAUAAGUAGAUAACACAUAAAUAAAUAAAUAUGACUAAAACGAAAUAUGAACUCAUGGAAUUAAUUUUUUUUAACUAAACUUACAUUACUAAAAUAAAAUUUAAGCUUAACAAACGUUUUUAACACUAAUUAAGGCAAGUCUAAAAUCUAAUAUUUAACACAUAAAAUCAAUCAUUUCAACAAACUAAAAUUUUACUUAAACCUAAAGCCGAUUCAAACUACCUACAACAUAUUUUUUUAAAAAAAAAAUUAAAUUUUUAACCCAUAGGAUCAGUCUUAUUAAUAAAUAAGAAAUAAAUAAAUAAAUUACAAAUCAUUAAAUUAGUAGCAAAUAAAUAAAUAAACAACUAAUAAUUAAAUGAAUCAAAACUAAAUUAAAUAAAGAUCAAACUAUAUUUUUUUCUCAAAGUAAAACUACAUAAAAUUUUAUUUUCUGAAUUUAAUAUAAUAAAUCAAAAUUGACCUUAAACACAAUUCUAAUCUUUAGUGUAAUAAAUCAAAAAUUAAACAAGAGUGAGAUUCAUGCUGCCAUGUCAAAACAAAUACAUGUUGGAGCUAACAAUAUAAGUCAAACCACUCACCCAAUAUAAUAAUCACACUUGAAAAAUAAACCAAAACUUUAAAUUCUACUGAAAACCUAUAUAUAUAUAUAUAUAACUUACCUAGUCGGCUUACCAAAACAACUUGGUGGCGUGUAGCUGUUUUCUCUUCUCCGAUGAUGCUCUAGAACAAUGGUGUACUGGUUGAUGGAGUUUUGGUUCUUUAGCCAAUACUAUUCUUCCCUAUCAGCAGAUAAACAGUACAGAACUCGUCUCAAGGAACGGUAAGUAUAAAUUUAAGAACUCCAUGCAAUUGGUUUUCAACUAUUCUGAUAGCCAUCGGAAUACGGAUAUUGUGUUCCAGAAGUUGGAUGAACAUGGAAACGUGUGGCAAGAGAAUGGAGAAAAGCAAAUUCUUUCGAAUCUUAGUGUGGCCUAGUUGCAUAGAUCGACCCUUGACGAUGAUGGGAAUUUGAGAGUUUACCAUUUUCAGGAAGGCAUGGAUGGGUGGGCUGUUGUUCGACUGGUUCUCGGUUUUCGGCCAAAUGAAGAUUCAGAAUACUGACGCGACAGGAAAAUUCAAAUGACGCAAACACCAACUCCAGCUUGACUACGUCAACUUCAGCGACGGGGUCGACCAAAACAAUCUGGGUGUUCAGGUUGUUACCAUCGGUGAGUCCAAAUGUCGCAUUCCUUCUUUCGCUUCGAAAUCCUCCUGUUCUUCCCUCUCUUCUGAUGCGUGCUGAAAGUGUAUCAAGAAUGGUGCGGCUGGUUGAUGGUUCCCUUCCAAAAGACGUCAAUUUCUCUAAAAAUAAAAAAUCCAGCCUUCAUCCGUGAAUCCACCCUCCAACCUUUUUUCGAUGAUCUCCUCAAUAAAGUUGGAGAUCUCUUCUUUACUCUCUGUGUAUGGCAGCCUCUCCCUCUCCUCUCCAGAAUGCUGGAUCCUGUUCCACAUGCCCUUUCUUCUUCUUUUUUUUUUUCUUUUUUUUAAUCUCUUCUCAAUCACCCCUCAGCUCCUCUCUCCAGCCACGGUAAUAGAAGGAACAGUAGAAACAAUCGUCAUUUCUCCUUUCAGAUCACCCUCAAUCUUUUUCAGUAAUCCAUCAUACCUCCCCUUAAUAGUGCGUUUUUUUUCUUUUUUUCUUAAUCUUUUCUCCAUCACUUAGUCAGCUUCUCUACAACCACGGUGAUGGAAAAAAUGGCAGAAAAAGGUUUUCUUCUCCUCUUCCAAUCAUCCUCCAUCCCCUCCAAUUUUCUUUGUUUUUCCUUUUCUCUCUUCAUCUCUCUCCAAUCCACCGACUGCCUCCAUCUUUCCUUUCUAAUGGUGUUUUUCUUUUUUCUUUUACGGAACACGUGGGAUCCAUGCAAAACAAAUAAUAAAAAAAAUAAAUAAAUAAAAAUACCAAUAAAAGAAAACUAAGAGUUACAAUAAUAAUAAAAAAACGUGUAACUAAGAAUUAAAAAUCCAAAAUAUGCAAUUUUAAACGAAAUUAAAAAAUAUAGGUCACAUGCAAAACUAAAAUAAAUUAUCAACUCAAGUAACUUUAUAUCAAAAUAAACUAAUAAAUAGAUAAAUAAAAACAAAAUGAAUAUGAUUAUUAAGCUCAUGCAAUUUCCUAAAAAUAAAUAAAUAAAUGAAUAAAAAUAAUUAAUAGAGAAAGAUAAAAACAAAAAAAACAAAAAACAAAAUCAAGCAUAUACAAGCCAUACGAGCUAUGCAACCAUGCAAGCCAUGCAAACCAUGCAUCCAUGCAAAAAAUGACCUAAGUGGGCCUAAGGUGCCUAAAUGGGCCUAUGGUGCAUAAGUGGGCCUAUGGUGCCUAAGUGGGCUUAAGGUGGUGCCUAACGGGCCAAGCGUGCCUAAAUGGGCGUAGGGUGUCUAAGUGGGUCUAGGGUGGUGCUUAAGGGGCCAAGUGUGACUAAAUGGACCUACGGUGCCUAAAUGGGCCUAAUGUACCUAAAUGGGCCUAGGGUGGUGCCUAAUGGGCCAUGUGUAUCUAAGUGGGCCUAAAGUGGUGCCUAAUGGGUCUAAGGUGCCUAAGCGGGCCUUAGGUGCCUAAGUAGGCCUAUAGUGCCUAAUGGGCCUAAGGUUCCUAAGCGGGCCUAAGAUGCCUAAACGGGCCUAAGAUGCCUAAGCGGGCCUAAGGUGCUUAAGCGAGCCUAAGGUGCAUAAGCGGGCCUAUGGUGCAUAAGUGGGCCUAAGGUACCUAAGUGGGCCUAAGUGGACCUAUGGUGCAUAAGUGAGCCUAAUGGUGCCUAAGUGGGCCUAUGGUGCAUAAGUGGGCCUAUGGUGCCUAAGUGGGCCUAUGGUGCCUAAGUGGGCCUAAGAUGCCUAAAUGGGCUUAAGGUGCCUAAGUGGACUUAUGGUGCCUAAGUGAGCCUAAUGGUGCAUAAGUGGGUCUAUGGUUCCCAAAUGGGCUUAAGUCUAAACUAAGGUUGCCAAGAGUCACAAUGGAGUUAAAUAAAUCCCUCAACCAAAGUCCCCAAGGUGACUUAGAAAAGAUAGGCUACAUGAGUAGUAAUGGGCCAUCAGGGAAUUGUUGUAAAAUACGGAACAAAUACCUAAUAGGACAUGUGCUAAGAGGACAAAAUGGAGGGUCUACAGUAACAUGAUCUCACAUCAUUAGGAGAGUUGAGAAUUUCAUCAUGCUAAAAAAAAAAUUCCUCUAAGGGAAUGGUUUAUCAUCCUUGUUGUCGCAUUUUGUACUUAGUGAUUGAGUGGAAUACUUUUAUUAUUGACUUAUCUGUUUCUGAAUUCCUCAUUGAUUAACAUUUGACUAGGAAAUUUGGCUUUAGACUGCAACUAUAGGCACUGAAUGCUAACAUCUUACUAAAGGAUUCAUCUAUAUGCAUCCAAAAAACUCUGUAAUCAGGGAAUGUGCUCUUAGCUUUGUCCUUAUUGGUUAAAGGAAGUAUUUCCUGCCAUACUUCAAUUGUAAGUUGUGAUAGAAAACAAUUUUCAAAAUACUGAUUUUACCUUUUGGUAAUGAUGGAAUUUAUGUUGUACAUGCAGAUGAAAGAAAAAUUUCUUACCUUUGGGGCAACUUAUUAGUAGGUGCAAAGGUAAAUAUCCUAAACAUGAAAUUUCUAUUUAAUGAAAGUGGAAUUUCUUACCUUUGGUGCUCUAUUCUUUUUUAAUUUUGGUACAUGUGAUUCCCAUUUCAUGUCUCAAAGUUUUUGUUAAUCACCUCUUGCACUAUUCUAAGAAGGUUUUGAGGUCAUGUAUUACAUAUAAAGUCUCAUCAAUUAAGAAAAAAAAAAAAAAAAGAUGAUAUGAGUUUUCUCCCAUUUUCAUAUAGUAUGGGUGAGUGGUGUUACCAAAGGUCUGAGGUCCUUAAGGAGUUAGAAACCUUUAUCAAUCAAAUCUUCAAUAAAUGAUAAGAGAAAUAAAAUUAGAUAGUGGAGAGAAGAAAAAACUUCAAAUCUAGAAUGAGCCUUUGUUUUAUGAUUUCCAUGUUUCAAAUUGAGCUUUUAAUUUGGUAUCUCAAUCUUUAGUUCUACCUAGUGCUUAUUUUUUAUGAUCUAAAUAGUUGAGCUUUAAUGUUAUUCUACUGAAGAUAUGAGUCUUCACUUUUACCUUGUCUCAACAGUUCUUGCAUUUCUAAGCAUCAUGUGUCAUUCUUUUGAAGGUUAUUCAAUUUUUAGACUCCUACUUCACUCAAAUUUUCUUAUGGGAUUCAAUAAAUUGUCAUCAUUGUAGGAUAUGGGAUAGGAUUGAGAAAUAGGAGCUGAUGUUAUCUACUCUUUGGAGAGAGUGUGGAUGAAUAAAAUGUGAUUCGAUUAUGUGUAAAAAUAUGUUUUAUAUGUAUUUUUAUCUUUUGAUUGAGCUUUUGGGAUGUUUUCUUUUCAUAAUAAGGUUAAAGUUUCAAUAUUUUCUCUUGUAGUUCACACUUCAAAUGAACAUUUGUAAGUUUGAUAUUGUUGUAAGCACUAGUCUUGUAGAUUCUUUUUUUUUGGAUGCUUGUGACAAUUUUUAUCUCAAGAAUAAGAUGAAUUCAUAUUAUUAUUCAUCACAUGUUCUUUCUUUGAAAUCAAAAUAGGGGUUCAUCUUGUGAAAUACUCUUGGGAGUGAAAAAAACCCUUCUUGGGAGCCCUAGAAACUCUUGCAUUCUUGGCAUGAACUUAAAAUUUCAAUCUAUAAUGAGGUAAGAACAAAGUAUUUGUAUUAUUUAGUGGCUUGUUUUGGACAAUAUAUUGCCUGUGACAAGACAAAAUCUCAAUGCAAUCUUAAUUACACGUUUUUUCUUUCUAGAAUCAUUUGAACUUGGAAUUUCAACUUAUGGUUUUAUUUCCUAUGUCUUGAAUUUCAAGAUAUGAGACUUGUUUCAUUAGAAAAGAAAGGAGCUAAAACAUUUGAAAACCUAUGCCAUCAAUGGUUGUUGUUGUUUCAGUUGUGAAGGAAGUUUUCAUAUAUGGAGAGAGACCAAAAGAGGAUUCUCGAUAAGCUUGACACUUCUACCAUUCUCUUCCCCUGGCUACUAAAGUGAAACACCAAUGGGUUUUACUUGAUUUCUAGUUCCAUGAAUUUAUUGAACAUUUGUAAAAUGAAGCAAGACAAAAAUGCUCUCUUCCAUAGAAUUUGAAGUUAUUUGGAGAACAAAAAUUGAGUUGGGGCAUGCUAAUUAAUACUAUUUUAAUCACCUUCACCCAUAAUAUUAAUAUUUAAAUAUAAUUUAGAUAGAUAACCUUUUGGGGUUUUUCUCCCACGCUUCCUAAAAUAUGCAACACUUGAUCUUCACUCUCUCUAUCUUUUUUUUUUCCAUUGCGACCAUGGACUAUGGAGCACCCUUUUUUGAUUGCUCCAACACCUUACCUUUUUCCAACCAUGGAGAACUUUUAACUUUUCUCAAAUAUGAUUAGACUUUUACUUUUUUUUUUUUCAAGUAAACAAAAUUAAAACCCCCUUUUUCUAUUUUUAAUCUAAUUACUUAUGGUUUUAAAUACAUAUAUUUUAACGAUGUAUGUUGAAACUAACUUUCAACUUUAAUGAAUGGAAACAUAAAAAUGAGAGGAAAAAAGAAUAAAAUAUAAAUUUGAAAUCUUUACUAUCAAACUUUUUCAAACAAAGAAUAUAUAGACAAAAGAAAUACAAGUUUUAAAAUAAUUUUAUUAUAUUCUUUUUAAAAAAAAUUUAUUAAAAAAAACAAAAUAUGUGUUUCUAUUUUCAAUUAUUUUAUUGGUUUUAAGAUUAAUAUGGUAUAAAUUAGUCGCAACAAUUAUUUAUGAAAUAUUUGGUCAUUAUUUGUAUUAUAUAUAAAAGGAUAAGGUGUAUGUUUUUUUAACUUUUGUCUUCUAAGAUAGCAAUUUUGAGGCUUGGGACAUACUAACGAUUAUUCAUGAGGGCACUUGGUUGUGAAGUUGUCUAAGAUUCAAAUGCUCAGAGCUAUAUUUGAGAGUUUAAGGAUAUGAGAUGCUAAAACGUUUGCUGGAUUCAUUUUUAAAUUAAGUAAUAUUUUCAACUUGAGGUUUAACCUUGGGGAAAAGAUUCUCUAUUCUAAGGUAGUUAUGAAAAUCCUUAAUUCUCUUCCUAAAAGGUUCAAACACAAGGUAAUUGUUAUAGAAGAAAACAAGAACAUUGACUCCAUGAGAGUUGAUGAAACUUAUAGAUUUUUACCAACUUAUGAGAUGUCUCUACUAUUUUCAAAAGUCUUAGGGUGCAACCUUCAAAGCUUUCAAUAACAAAGGGAAUGAGUUUGAACAUGUUUUUUUUUUUCUUCUUCUUUUUUUCUUCUAUAUUUAUGCUUUUGAUAUCAUGCAUAUCUAGAUUUGCACAUGCUUAUUAAAAGACAUACAUGACUUUUUACUUACAUUGAAUUGACCAAUUUCUCUUUUCUUGGGGGAAUGUAUGAAGGAGAACACGGUGCCUUUAUCCUUAGGAGAAUAUUGAAUAAUAGUGAACAUGACUUUAAUAGUUGAGUAAUAGAUUACAAUACUUAGAGGAUUUAAGAACAUAGGUAGAAUAACAGUCAAAGAGUAAUUUUAAAAGGGAAAUGAGAAAUCUCCCAUAGCAGCCACAAGGGCUUGGACAAAUUUUGGUGUAAAGGUAAGAUUGUUUUAGGUGUGGGAAAUAAUGGAGAGAGUGUCUUGUGAAGGAUUUCUCCCAAACCAAAACCAGAGGACUUUUGGACAACAAAUUCGUCCUUAGUCUUUGCAAAACCACAAUGUCAUUUAACCCUUCCAUCACAAACCAAAGAAACUGACCAUUUAAUUUUCAAUAGAAAUCAGGAGUUCAUGGAAUUUAGUCAUGAUCCUAAUAGGAGUUAAUGUAAUUAAGGAGGUAUUAUUCAAGGACAUGUGUAUGUUAUAGAUAAAGUGAAGGAAGAUAAUGCUCUUGCCUUUUUGGAAGAUGCUAUCCUAGUUUAUAAUUCUUGAGCAAAAGUUCCAUUUGAUUCUAGAACAACAACUCUUUCUUUUUUGCCUUCUUCAUGAAUGCACUAGAAUUAGUACUUAAGGGACAUAGAUCCUCUUUAUCUAUUAGUCCUCCUAUGGGACAAACCUUAGAGAGAAAAAGAAUAUGUACAGUAUUUAAUAUGACAAUUCUAAAUCAUGAAUUAAAAGGAGAUUUAGUUGUUUUAGAGAUGUUAGAAUAUGAUGUAAUUUUAGGCAUAAAUUUUUAUCCUCCCCACCAUGCUAUUAUUGACUAUUUUAAAAGAAAGGUAAAGAUUCAUAUCUUAGGAAGGGAUGUAGUUUAUUUCUUUGAUGAUAAGGGUGUACCAUUUCCUUGUCCUCCAUUAAAUUAGUAUUAUCAAUUAAGAUUAAAGAAAGAUGGUAAAUACUUUUUGACAAGUGUUUAAGUAGAGAUUAAAGGAAAAAAAAGAUUUGCAGUCCUUUCAUGUUAUUAAUUAAUUUAUUGAUGUUUUUUUUGUUUGAAGAAUUACUUGGAUUGUCUCCUAAGAGAGAAUGUAACUUUACCGUUGAAGUUUGUCCAAGUAUAUUUCCUACAUCAAUUACACCCUAGUUAAGUUACGAGCAUUGAAGAUUCAACUUCAAAAACUUCAAGAUAAGGAAUUCAUUAGACGAAGUAAUUCUCCAUGGGGUGUUCCUAUACUAUUUUUUAAGAAGAAAGAUGGUUCUUUAAGUUGUGAAUUGAUUAUAAGAAAUUGAAUGAAGUCACCAUUAAGAAUAAAUACCUUUUGCCAAAGAUUGAUGAUUUGUUUAAUUAAUUAAAGGAUACUAGAUAUUUCUCCAAAACAAGGAAGAGAACAAUCACACUCCUCCCUGACCAUCACCAUCUUCUCCUUUGCCCUCCUUGAUCUCUUCUACCUUAUCCACUUCAUCCUCCAAUACAACCUUUUGAUGACUCAAUUGAUUCCCUUACUUGAAAUCAAAGCGAGCUUGCUCUGUAAAGGAUGCAGUCAGUGUUACAGAGAUAGUAAAAGUCUUACUACAUAUUGCAACAACAUCAACAAUUGAAGAUUUUAUAGUCAAAGCUUAGUUAUCUGUCUCUUGAGACUUUCUAAAGUUGUCACAUAAUCAAUAAUCCCUAAAUUGUGGUUAAGAAGACCAUCCUUUAAUCAACUUUCAAUAUGUGAAAUAGAAAUCCUCUGCCAUAUGUUUAGCUAAUAAGGUGGUCCACCACUACGCCCAUCAUUAGCCACAAAGCUAUUAUGAGACCCACCACAUUGUAAUGCAAUAAAUGUGACUAGACUACUACCAUCACACAUCACAAAAUGGGUCAUUCCCACACAAAAGAGGACCACUGUUUGGAUAAUACAACCACCUACUUGAAAGACUGACCUUCGCACAAAGAGCACCCUUGUGCAUUAAUUAUAAAAUGGACAUGACCCCCUCAUUAGUCAAAUAAUGGUUAAAACUUAAAAGUUGUUGAAAAAACUAUUCAUUGUCCUAACAAUUAUAUAUGUCAUAAUCAUCUCAUAAUGAUUAAAGCCUUAAAGAUGAACAUAAUAGAAAUCAUUUAAAAUAAUACCUAACGAACAUCUCAUUUAUAGUCUUCCCAUAAUCAAUCUAUCAAAAGGUAACUACAAGAAGAAGACCAUAUUUUAGAAAAAGUACACAAAGUGAACUCUAUCUCAUAUCUCUUAUUCCUACUUUAAUCCAUGACAAACUUGAUCAUCUCAAAAGGGUCGACCUAAGCAACCCAACCUUUUCUCAUCAUUCUCGCUCUCUCACUCUUUCUCCCUAAUCUAUUGGAAAACUGUGAUGCCUAGUUCAACCAUAGUCGAAGGAAUGUGUAACAAAUUCCAAAUCUAAUGAGACUUAAUGCAUAGGAUUUGACAAUUUUUAAAAAUAAUUUAUAAUUUAAAACCAAUCUAAUUAAUACUAAAAAGUCAUGAAACUAAAAAAAUUGAUCCAAUUAAUACUAGAAAGUCGACCAAAAUUGAUUUUGAAUGACUUUGUUUGUUUUCUCCUUUACAUCUAACUAUAAACCAAAAUUUAUAAGGUUUUUCAUUAAGCAAAUAGAAUCAAAAUCCAAUAAGACUUGAUGUGUUAGAUCUAUUAACAAGUGUUAAAGAAAAUUAGAACUCAAACACCAAAAAUUACUAUCAAAGAUUCUUGAACCAGAUUUGGUACUUAAAUGACUGUUAUUUCUCUUUUACACAUAAUGAAAUUUAUGUGAAUUUUCUAUGUAGAAAAAUGUACUUCAAAUUAAGCAAAACUUAAUACAUCAGAUUUAUUAAAAUGUUUAGUAGUUUUUUAAUAAAGAAAUAAAAAUUAAAUACCAAACUAAUUAAUAUUGGAAUUUGUGGACAAACUCUUUGACAUAGAACUAUAAUUCUCAAAAUUUUCUAAUUGGACAAGUGAAUUCUCUUCCAAAUUAAACAAGACAUAAUAUAUUAAUAUUGUUAACAAGUUUAUUAAUUUUUAAAAAUAACUUAAAAAUAAAAUAAUAACGUAAUUAUUAUUAGAAAUUCAUAGCAUAAAACUAGUCCAAAAAAACUUUGUUGUUUCUCCUCCACAUAUAAUUAUAAUUUUAUGAAUUUUCUGGUUAGGCAAAGAAACUCUAAAUUAAGCAAAACUCAACAUAUUAGAUUUGUAGAUGAGCCUAGUAAUUUUUUAAAAUAAUUUAAAAUUCAAAAAUAGAAUCAAUAAAAAAAAAAGGAUAAAAAUUAGUCUAGAAUGAACAAUAAUUAUAUUGUUUCUCAUAUGCGCAUAACUAUACCUUCUCAAAUUUUUUUAUUAGGUAAACAUAUGUUAAAUUAAUUGAGCCCAAAUCAAAUGAGAAUUAAUGUUUUAAAUUCUCUAAUUAAUUUACUAAUUUUUAAGAAUAAUUGAGAAUUUGAAAAACUAACUCAAUUAUUAGCAUAGCACUUUGACAAUGGCUAAAUAUUAAAUGCGCACAGGUAAUGCAAAAACUUAACAUAUUUACCACUUUUAUAUAUAUAUAUAAGUGAACUUUAUUGUUUUUAAAUUCACUUUAAGUAAAAUAUUAUUAACCAUUAUUAUUUGUAAAGUAUUAUUAUUCAAUUUUAACAAAAAAAAAAAAAAAGAAUUAUACCUUUAAGAAGAUAUUAAUAUCCAUAUUUUAUUAUAUCUAUUUAAAAUUAUAUCAUUUCUAAUUAAAAAAUUUACUUAUAAUUUUAUUAUAAUAUUAGUAUUGGUAUUUUACAAAAAUUAUUUAUUUUUCAUUAUAUAAUAAUUAUUUUCUAUUUUUAUUAAGACUUGAAUUGAAUUGAAUUGAUAUUAAUAUAAAAUGAGUGUACAAUUUUUAUUUUUAUUUUUGUACAAAAUGAAAAUAGAAAAACUAUUUUUAAAAGCAACUAAAAUUUACUUAUCCAAAAGUGUUUUUGUUUUUUUGCUUUUUGACAAAUAUGUUUAAAAACAACUUGCCAAGUAUUAUUAUUUUUAAGACAUACGUAAAAAACUUAUUUUUUCUUUUUAACUCUAAAAUAAUUUUAGAAACAAGGUUAAACAUACAUGGGCAAACAGAAAUGUAUGUCUUAAAAGAGGCUUAGAAGAGGCUUAACUCCUUCAGAAGUUUACAUAUGCCAACAAAAGAAAAACUUAUCCAAUCCCUCGAUAGUUUUUUCCGAAGCUUUCUCCAUUCAUAAGCAUGGAAUGAUGUGCUUUUCUCCCUUCUUGAGAGCUUCCCUAGCUUCUUAGCAAUCCAUCUGCUACCUUUCCACUACAUCCUUUUCCUUUGUGUUGGCCUUCCUACAAUAUUGUACUCCUUAGGCAAAAUUGUUUUAGUUUCUUAAUUACUUGCUUUAACUUCUCCAAUCCCUACGAAAAAAAAAAAAGUAAUUUUUGUUUGUUUAAUGAUUUUUUUUUGUCUAGUACUAAAUCAAUCCAUCAAAUAAAUGGGUUAAGAUUGUAUUAUUUGGUUAUAAAAGAAGGUGAAUGCAUUAUUUAAAAAAAAAAAACAAUUUUAUGAAUUUUUUAGCUAAGUAAUAAAUUUCAAAUCAAACAAUACUUAAUGUAUUUGAUUUAUUAAUGAGUUUAGUCACUUUUAAAAAUAAUUUGAAAACAAAAUACUGAAGUAAUUAGUAUCAUAGAUUUAAGAUCAAACAUGUUCUACAUAGAACUAUAAUUUUCAAAAUUUUCUAACUAGACAAGUAGAUUCCGAAUCAAGCAGGACACAAUGUGUUAGAUUUGUUAAAAAGUAUAUUAAUUUUCAAAAAAUAAUUUUAAACCCAAAAAACUGUAAGGGAAUUAUAGAACUAUCUUUAUUUUACUCUAAGUAUUGAUAUUCAAGUCUGUGCCAACACAGGAGUUCGGAUUUAAUCUACAGAUCUGUACUUAUUUGAAUAAGAGAUUUGUAGUUUAAUUAACUUCUCCAAUCGCUUAUAGUUUUUUCAGAUGCUUUCUCCAUUCCUAAGCAUGGAAUGUGGUGCUUUUUUCCCUUUCUAAGAGCUUCCCCCACUUUUAAGCAGGAGUCCAUCUGCUACCCUUCCACUUUAUCCUUUUCCUUUGCGUGUACGCCUGCCAAAAUUGUAUUCCCUUAUUCCCUAAUUAGCGAAACUAUUUCAGUUUCUCAAUUAGUUGCUCCAAGUCUCACCCUCCUGACCAAUUUCCUCUUCUUCUCUUGCUUACGUACCUCUCUCCCUAACUCACUCAAAACUAAGAAACAAUGGAGGUUGUUGGAGAGGUUGUUCUUUCUGCUGGUCUUGAAUUGUUGUUGAAAAAGCUAGUCUCCUCUGAGUUGCUCCAAUUUGCUCGCCAACAGAAAGUCUAUUCUGAACUCAAGAAAUGGGAGGACAAUUUGCUGACUGUGAAUGAAGUGCUCGAUGAUGCUGAGAUGAAGCAGAUGACGUCGCCUGCAGUGAAAAACUGGCUAUGCCAGCUCAGAGACUUGGCUUAUGAUGCAGAGGACGUACUGGAUGAGUUCGCCACCGAGCUACUGCGACACAAGUUGAUGGCAGAACGCCCUCAGACCCCCAACACUAGUAAGGUACGAAGCCUUAUCCCCACUUGCUGUACGAGUUUCAAUCCAUGCCAUGUCGUGUUUAAUGUUAAGAUGGGGUCUAAGAUUAAGGAAAUAACUAACCGCUUAGAAGAGCUUUCAACUAAAAAUUUUGGGCUUGGGCUGCGAAAAGCCACAGUUGAGCUGGGUUUGGAGAGAGUUGAUGGAGCAACUUCUACCUGGCAACGACCCCCCACUACAUCUUUGAUUGAUGAACCUGUUCACGGCAGGGAUGAUGACAAAAAGGUUAUUAUUGAGAUGCUGUUGAAGGAUGAAGGCGGUGAAAGCUACUUUGGGGUAAUUCCCAUUGUUGGCAUAGGUGGGAUGGGGAAAACUACACUCGCCCAGUUGGUAUACAGGGAUGAUGAGAUAGUCAACCAUUUUGACCCAAAGGGGUGGGUCUGUGUAUCAGAUGAGAGUGAUAUAGUGAAAAUAACAAAUGCAAUUCUUAAUGCAUUCUCUCCUCAUCAAAUCCAUGAUUUUAAAGACUUUAACCAACUCCAGCUCACAUUGAGCAAGAUUCUGGUUGGAAAAAGGUUUUUGCUAGUUUUGGACGAUGUGUGGAACAUUAACAAUUAUGAGCAAUGGAGUCACUUACAGACCCCCUUUAAGUCGGGGGCUAGAGGAAGUAAAAUUGUAGUAACGACACGUCAUACAAAUGUUGCAUCAUUGAUGAGAGCAGACAACUACCACCACUUGCUCAAGCCUUUAUCUAAUGAUGAUUGUUGGAAUGUAUUUGUGAAACAUGCAUUUGAAAACAAAAAUAUCGAUGAACAUCCAAAUUUGAGAUUGCUUGAUACAAGGAUCAUAGAGAAAUGCAGUGGCUUGCCCUUAGCAGCAAAGGUGCUCGGUGGGCUUCUACGCUCCAAACCACAGAAUCAAUGGGAACAUGUACUAAGUAGCAAAAUGUGGAAUAGGAGUGGUGUUAUCCCAGUGCUAAGAUUAAGCUAUCAACAUCUCCCUUCACAUCUAAAAAGAUGUUUUGCUUAUUGUGCAUUGUUUCCAAGGGACUAUAAAUUUGAGCAAAAAGAGCUAAUUUUAUUAUGGAUGGCGGAGGGUUUAAUUCAUGAAGCAGAAGAAGAAAAAUGCCAAAUGGAAGAUUUAGGUGCUGAUUAUUUUGAUGAAUUAUUAUCUAGAUGUUUUUUCCAACCAUCAAGCAAUAGUAAAUCCCAAUUUAUAAUGCAUGAUUUGAUCAAUGAUCUAGCUCAAGAUGUUGCUACAGAAAUAUGCUUCAAUUUAGAGAAUAUACAUAAAACUUCUGAAAUGACUCGUCAUUUGUCAUUCAUACGUAGCGAGUAUGAUGUAUUCAAAAAAUUUGAAGUCCUUAAUAAACCGGAGCAAUUACGAACAUUUGUUGCAUUACCCGUCACUGUAAAUAAUAAGAUGAAAUGUUACUUGAGUACUAAGGUGCUUCAUGGCUUGUUGCCAAAGUUGAUACAAUUAAGGGUGCUCUCUUUGAGUGGUUAUGAAAUAAAUGAGUUGCCAAAUUCGAUUGGUGAUUUGAAACAUUUACGGUAUCUUAAUUUGUCUCAUACUAAACUCAAAUGGUUACCUGAAGCAGUGAGUAGUCUCUACAAUUUACAAUCAUUGAUAUUAUGCAAUUGUAUGGAACUCAUUAAGUUGCCUAUUUGCAUUAUGAAUUUAACCAAUUUUCGACAUCUUGAUAUUAGUGGUUCAACUAUGUUGGAAGAGAUGCCUCCACAAGUUGGAAGCUUGGUAAAUUUGCAAACAUUGUCUAUGUUUUUUCUAAGCAAAGAUAAUGGGUCACGAAUUAAAGAAUUGAAGAACUUGUUGAAUCUCCGAGGAGAGCUUGCCAUUAUAGGGUUGGAAAAUGUUUCGGAUCCAAGAGAUGCAAUGUAUGUCAAUUUGAAGGAGAUACCAAAUAUUGAAGACUUAAUUAUGGUAUGGAGUGAAGAUUCUGGUAAUUCAAGGAAUGAAAGUACUGUGAUAGAGGUCCUUAAGUGGUUGCAACCUCAUCAAAGUUUGAAAAAACUGGAAAUUGCAUUUUAUGGUGGCUCAAAAUUCCCGCAUUGGAUAGGAGAUCCAUCCUUCUCCAAAAUGGUUUGUUUGGAACUUACAGAUUGUAAAAAUUGCACAUCAUUGCCAGCACUUGGGGGUUUACCUUUCCUCAAAGACUUGGUGAUUGAAGGAAUGAAUCAAGUUAAAAGCAUAGGUGAUGGGUUCUAUGGGGAUACUGCGAACCCUUUUCAGUCUUUGGAAUAUCUGAGAUUUGAGAAUAUGGCAGAAUGGAACAAUUGGUUAAUUCCCAAAUUGGGACAUGAGGAAACUAAAACAUUGUUUCCUUGCCUUCGUGAGCUUAUGAUAAUAAAAUGUCCAAAACUGAUCAACUUACCUCAUGAGUUACCGUCCCUUGUGGUUUUUUUUGUUAAAGAAUGCCAAGAAUUGGAAAUGUCAAUUCCACGACUUCCACUUCUUACUAAAUUAAUUGUAGUUGGCUCGUUAAAAAGUUGGGAUGGUGAUGUCCCCUCACUUACCCAAUUAUACAUUUGGGGAAUUUCGAGGCUGAGUUGAUUAUGGGAAAGGCUUGCACAACGCUUAAUGGUCCUUGAAGAUCUGGGAAUAAAUGAAUGUGAUGAGUUGGCAUGUUUGAGGAAGCCUGGAUUUGGACUGGAAAACCUUGGUGGUCUGCGACGUUUAUGGAUCAAUGGGUGUGAUGGGGUUGUAUCGUUGGAAGAGCAAGGGCUGCCUUGCAAUCUUCAAUACUUGGAAGUGAAGGGAUGCUCCAACUUAGAGAAGCUGCCAAAUGCAUUGUACACCCUCGCAUCUCUUGCAUAUACGAUAAUUCAUAAUUGCCCGAAACUCGUGUCAUUCCCAGAGACAGGUUUGCCGCCCAUGCUAAGAGAUCUUAGUGUGAGAAAUUGUGAGGGUCUAGAGACACUACCUGAUGGAAUGAUGAUUAACAGUUGUGCCCUUGAGCGGGUGGAAAUUAGAGAUUGUCCAUCUCUUAUUGGCUUUCCGAAAAGGGAGCUACCUGUCACGCUUAAGAUGCUGAUAAUUGAAAAUUGUGAGAAACUAGAGUCUCUACCUGAGGGAAUUGACAACAACAACACUUGUCGUCUUGAAAAGCUACAUGUAUGCGGAUGUCCAUCUCUCAAGUCCAUUCCAAGAGGCUAUUUUCCCUCCACACUUGAGACGCUUAGCAUUUGGGGCUGCCUACAAUUGCAGUCGAUUCCAGGGAAUAUGCUACAAAACCUCACAUCUCUUCAAUUUUUGCACAUAUGUAAUUGUCCAGAUGUGGUGUCCUCUCCAGAAGCGUUCUUGAACCCCAACCUUAAAGCACUUUCUAUUACAGAUUGUGAGAAUAUGAGGUGGCCUCUAUCUGGGUGGGGCCUACGCACACUCACCUCACUUGAUGAGCUCGGGAUUCAUGGCCCAUUCCCAGAUCUGCUUUCUUUUUCCGGCUCUCACCUACUUCUUCCUACAUCUCUCACCUAUCUCGGGUUGGUAAAUCUCCACAACUUGAAAUCCGUAACCUCCAUGGGUCUCCGAAGCCUUAUGUCUCUUAAAAGUCUUGAAUUCUACAGUUGCCCUAAGCUCCGGUCUUUUGUGCCAAAGGAAGGGCUACCACCAACACUUGCAAGACUUGUAAUCUGGGAGUGUCCUAUUCUAAAAAAGAGGUGCCUCAAGGGCAAAGGAAAUGAUUGGCCCAAGAUUGGCCACAUCCCCUAUGUGGAAAUAGAUGAGAUUGUACAACAAUAACAGCUUCAAUCAGGUACUCCCAAUUCUUUGUAAUCUUCCAUCAAAGGUUCUACUUACUUAUUGCUGCUUUCUCUGUAAUAUUUGAGUCUCCCUUUUGUUCCGUAAUCAGGGGCUGCCGUGGUCGACAAUAAGUUGUGGAGUUUUGUGCUCAAAACCUCGACUCUCAUGAAUGUGCCCUUAGCUUUUUCCUUAUUUUUCCAAAGGAAGGUCCCUGCCCUCUUCCAAAACAGAGGUACUUAUUAAUGCAUUGAAUUGUAAGUUUUGAUAGAACACAAUUUUCACCAUUUUCAACUAAAAAUAUCGCUUUCAUUUUCUGAUAAUGAUGGAAUUUGUGCUGCACAUUGAUGUAGAUGAAAGCAAAAUUUCUGGCCAUUGGUGCAGCUUAUUUGCAAGGGGAAAUAUCCUAAACAUGAAAGAGUUGUACUAAAUGCACCAUUCUUUUUUCAUUUCAGGGUUUACACUUUCAAUUCCAGUCUCCACUGUCAAUUGUUUUUGGUAAUCAGGUCCAAAAGUAGUUUUAAGGCCCCUAUCAAAUUUGGCACCAACUUCAUUUCCUACCAAGGGAUGGUCAGUUUUAGGGCCCAACUUCAUUUCCUACAAUAAGCUAAACAGUUUUGUGCUCAAAAACUCACCUCUCUUGAUUGUGUUCUUAGCUUGUUCCUUAUUUUCUUAAGAAAGGCCUUCCUACCAUAGUUUAAUAACUGGAUAUUUGGCACUUUCAACUCAAAAUAUUGCUUUCAAUUUCCAAUAAUGAUGUCUUGUACAUAUAGGAUGGCAGGAAAAAGGAUUGAUGUAGAUAAAAGGGUAAUUUCCUGGCAUUGAUGCACCUUAUUCAUAUCUGCAAGGGGAAAUGCCCUACACAUGAAAGGAGCUGUAAUAAAUGCACCAUUCUUUUUUAAUCUUGGGGUUUACAUGUGAUUCCAGUUUCAUGUGUACAAUUUUUUGCUAAUCAGGUCCAAAAGAAAUUUUAAGGCCCUAUCAAAUGUGGCACCAACUUCACUUCCUACCAAGGGAUGGGCAGCUUGGCAAACUUGCAGAACCUAACCCACAACAAGAGGCCUUAUAUCUGGUGCUUCAUUUUGCUUAAAGCCAGUAUUCUAUUUCAAUUACCAUUAAUUAAUAGAAGGUAUUUCCGAUUUUGUUUUAGUUCUAUUUCAUUCCAAUCUAAAUUUGCAUCUUAGUAUCUUAAUAAAGCCCUUCUAUCUGAUUUUGUUUUGUACUUUAUUCACACAGGAAUUCUCCCUUACUAAACACCAAGGUUUUCUGGGAUUCUGCCAUCAGCUUGGAAAUAUGUAUUGCAAAAUGGGGGAGAGGUAUAACUUCUUUGUUGAUGAGAUUUUUUUCCCUUUUUUCUGCUUUUCCACUUAAUUUUUUUUGACUAAUUACAUGACAUUGUGAAUGCUGUUGGCCUAGACCCUUACUACUGGCAACUGGUAUGUCAAGCAGUUCAGGAUGCAGAGAAAGGGCAUAUAUCCCAGGUUGUUCUCUUUCUUAUUCUCUCUCUUCUCACUUGUAUUGAUUUAAAAUGUGCUCUUUCAAAUUAAGGUCUUUGUAAGUAAGUUGUUGAAGGUAAAAUCCCCUAAUUGGGGCACAUGAUGAUUGUAACCUAGCCAGGUAAGGUGAUAUUUUAUUACUGUCUUUCUAGCUUUUACAUUUGCAUAUUUCUAUAUGGUUGCUUAGGCUUCUGCACCAGAAUUCUUUUGACUUGGUGCUACAUAAUUUUUUUUUAUUUUUAUCAUACUGUUUGCUACAAUGGGCAUGCUCUGCCCAUGUGAUACCAGAAGGUGAAGGUUGUGGAUUAGUAAAAGACUUGACCCUGAUGAUUCAUGUUACAAACUGAUGAAGAAGAGAGUCCACUAAUAUCUCUAGUUAGUCUUUGUAAAAUAAUUACUUAGGCCCUCUUCCAUAAUCAGUUUGUAUUUGGAGUCUCAUUUGUAUUUGGAGGCUCACUUCAUGUAGCAUUAAUCUGCCCAAUCUAAUAGGGAUAAAAGGCCCUCUUUCAUAAUCAGUUUAGGGUUGAAGAGAGGGCAAUUAUUGGUUCAAUCAACAUAGGGAAAUGAGAUUGAACCUCAUGCCCUCCACUUCCCACCUUUUCUUUUAUUUUUUAUUUUUUUUCUCUUUAUAUUGAACCUCAUGACCCUCUAGAAAUGCCUCUCAGAAUCAUGGCAAGAAAUUGGUGAAUUGUAAAGAAUAUUUGUGAUGGUAGGAAUGUUAAGAUUGUAGAAUUAAAAAAAUAAUCUGAUGAAUUUACUGAAGACGGAUUUGAUAAGGGGUGAAAUAAUUUCUGUAAGGGAAGGAAAUUGCCUAACCUCUAGAGGGAAGAGUGGAUCCUUUCCAUGCUAUGAGGAGUUUGAAAAGAGGAAGAGUUAAAGAAACUGAAAUGACAACCCUUGGAUCCUCUUAAUCUGUAGAAUUUAAGGAGUAUGCAAGGCAAAAGUUAUUGAAUAGCAGGACGUGUAUUCUUUUGGACUUGAUAACAACGAGAAGAAUUUUAGUGGAGGUAGAAUCAAUUAGGCCUGCCCAUGUGGCAUCUCCAGCAUUGCUUUGACUCUAAAGCUUUUUCAGAUUCUUCCUACUUCUUUUCCAUUCUUUGUCAUGUGUUUGGCUGCACCUGCAUGUUCUUUGUCGAUAUACAUGACAAAUAGUUAUGUUAUUAGUGCUUUUCAUUUAGUGCUUCAAUUUAUAUAUAUACAUAUAUAAUCAGAAUUUAUUCCUUGAAUAUUAAUCUAUAAAGAAUCCAUAUACCCUUGAUUUUCACUUCUCUUUGCAUUCCGUACUUAUGCAAUCUGUAAUUAUUGUUGCAUUAGGGUUAUUCUUCAGAUGUUGAAGAUGUGGAUGAGGUUCAUACACCAGAUUCUGACUAUAUUAAAUAAGCUAAAUCUUGGCAAGCAUAGGGGGCCACAAGUAAAUAGUUUUUCUUUCCAUUAAGAUGGUAUACACAAACACAUAUUUAUGUGUUGGUGUCUGAUUUUAUAAUUUUCCACUCCUUAUGUUAUAUAAUUUAUUUCCAGAUUAGCAUUUCACAAAUGCAUUGAUGAAGUUACAGAGAGCUGGUAUAAUAGGGGAGUUUCUAAGUAUUUUUGUAAAUGAGUUGGUAAAUUCUUGUCUCCUAAUUGUACUUUGUCUUGUUUCUUAUCUUCUUUUUUGCUUCACAUUUGGUCAAUGGAGAAUAUCCUAUUGCAGUCCUUUUCCACAUAAAAGAAUUGCGAUGGUGUAAGGCUGAAUGAGUCCUAAGCUUCAACCCUUAUUGCAAGAAGAAUAGAGAAAGGACAUAUUCAUCCAUUGAAAGAUUCAUAUUUUCUCUUAAUAGGGGAAUGAGCAGAGAUCAUGUUUCCCUCCUUAUAUGACAAAUUUUGCUUCUACGCCUUUGCUAAAUUUGAAAAAAAAAAUUAUUUUUUAUUUUUUUAUAAUAAUUAUAAACUAAUUUCCCCAUUAUAUAGUGUGUAGCACGGCUUAAAAGGUUCCAUUCUUGUGAAGUGAAAGAAAUACAAUCACCUUUUGCACUAUUCUUCGUUGAUUUUGGAGUAAUGCAUUAUAUAAAGUUUCAUCAAUGUUUCCAUGAUAUUUUAUGGUGAAUCACAUCCUUAAGACACAAAAAAGUAUGAUUUUAUUAUUAUUAUUAUUUAAUUUGUUCUGUUUUUGAUAUGAAAUGAGUUUUUUCUACUCAUUUUCCCCCUUUUUAUUUGGUAUGGGCAGGUGGUCUUAAUAGGGGUUCAAAGAUGUCUCUUAUUGGCUUUCUAGAAGGUGAGCUACCCACAUUGACCCACCACCAACACUUGCAAGAGUUGUAAUGGGGAGAUGUCAUAUUCUAAAAGAGAGGUGCCUCAAUGACAAAGGAAAAUAUUAGCCUAAGAUUGCUCACAUCCCCUAUAUGGAAAUAGAUGACAUUAUAAAACUACAACAAGUUCAACCAGGUACUCCCAAUAUAUGGAAAUAGUUGUGCCCUUGAGUACCUGAAAAUUAAAGAUUGUCCAUCUCUUAUUGGCUUUCCGAAAGGGGAGCUACCUGCCACCCUUAAGAAGCUGAUAAUUAUAAAUUGUGAGAAGCUAGAGUCUCUACCUGAGGGAAUUGACAACAACAACACUUGUCAUCUUGAAUAUCUACAUGUAUGGGGAUGUCCAUCUCUCAAGUCCAUUCCAAGAGGUUACUUUCCCUCAACACUUGAGACCCUUUCCAUUUGGGACUGCCAGCAAUUGGAGUCGAUUCCAGGGAAUAUGCAGCAAAAUCUCACAUCUCUUCAAGUUUUGCAAAUAUGUAAUUGUCGAGAUGUGUUGUCCUCUCCAGAAGCGUU
rnacentral:lncRNA from 1 species